GGACGCAUCCACCGCCCACCGCGGUGGGAAAAAAAUCUCCACAACACGAGGAGACCGUAGCUGCCGUGCCGUGUCCACGUUCCAUUUCCACUUCCCCUGUUUCACGUCUGUUGACUCCUCCCACCUUCCUCUGCUCCGGUAGACCGUAAAAAUGGCCGCAUCACUGCCGUACCUCCCUCCGCCGCCGCCUACGCCGUCGCCGGNNNNNNNNNNNNNNNNNNNNNNNNNNNNNNNNNNNNNNNNNNNNNNNNNNNNNNNNNNNNNNNNNNNNNNNNNNNNNNNNNNNNNNNNNNNNNNNNNNNNGAACCCGUAGGGUCUACACACUUAAGGUUCGAUGACGCUAGGGUUAUAGGGAAUUGUUAUAUGAGCUUACCGAAAGUUGUUCGGAGUCCCGGAUGAUAUCCCGGACGUCACGAGGAGCUCCGGAAUGGUUCGGAGGUAAAGAUUGAUAUAUAGGACGGAUGGUUUCGGACACCGGAAGUGUUUCGGACACCGGAGGUGGCCCCGGGGGUCCACCGAAGGGGGGCAACAACCCCGGGAGGUAAGGUGGGCCAAGUGGGGGAGGGAACCAGCCCUAGGUGGGCUGGUGCGCCUCCCCACUUAGCCCAAUGCGCAGGGGAGAGGGAAGGGGGGGCAAACCCUAGGCACAGGUGGGCCUUAGGCCCACCAGGUUGUGCGCCACCCCCUCCCACCCUAGCCGCCGCCCCCUUUCCCAUCUGGUGGCUGCCGUACCACCUAGGGGGGAACCCUAGGGGUGGCGCACCCCCUCCCCUCCUCCUAUAAAUAGAGAGGGGUUUUGGCCCUUGGGAGAUAGACUUCUCCCUCUCCCUCGGCGCAGCCCUGCCCUUCUUCCUCCUCCUCUCUGCCGGUGCUUGGCGAAGCCCUGCCGGGAGACCUCGUCUCUCCAUCGACACCACGCCAUCAUGCUGCUGGAGUUCUUCCCAACCUCUCCCUCCUCCUUGCUGGAUCAAGGUGCGGGAGACGUCACNNNNNNNNNNNNNNNNNNNNNNNNNNNNNNNNNNNNNNNNNNNNNNNNNNNNNNNNNNNNNNNNNNNNNNNNNNNNNNNNNNNNNNNNNNNNNNNNNNNNCGAUCUAGAGGAAAAACUAUGGAGGUAUGUGGUCGGGCAGCCGUGAGAAAAGUCGUCUCAAAUCAGCCCUAAUACCUCCGUAUAUAUAGGUGGAAGGGGGAGGGAAGAGGCAGCCUCAAACCCUCAAGGGUUGGCCGAAAUUGGAGGUGGAGGAGUCCUACUCCAAUCCUACUUGGAGUAGGAUUCCACCUUCCCACUUGGAAACUCUUUCCACCUUGUGUUUUUUCCUUCUCAAACCUUAUGGGCCUUAGUGGGAACUUAUUCCAGCCCACUAGGGGCUGGUUUAUAUCUUCCCAUAGCCCAUGAGACCCCUUGGGGCGUGANNNNNNNNNNGUCGUCUCAAAUCUGCCCUAAAAGCCCCAUAUAUAUAGGAGGAGGGAGGGGGACCUUGCCUUGGAGUACAAGGGACUCCAAGGGGGUCGGCCGAGCCAGGGGGGAGGACUCUCCCCCCCCAAACCGAGUCCUACUUGGUUUGGUGGGAGGGAGUCCUUCCCCCUUCCCACUUCCUCCCUUUUUUUUCUUUCUUCCUUUGAUUUUUAUUCCUUGGCGCAUAGGAUUUAGUGGGCUGUCCCACCAGCCCACUAAGGGCUGGUGUGACCCCCACAAAAUACCUAUGGGCUUCCCCGGAGUGGGUUGCCCCCCUCCGGUGAACCCCCGGAACCCAUUCGUCAUUCCCGGUACAUUCCCGGUAACUCCGAAAACCUUCCGGUAAUCAAAUGAGGUCAUCCUAUAUAUCAAUCUUCGUUUCCGGACCAUUCCGGAAACCCUCGUGACGUCCGUGAUCUCAUCUGGGACUCCGAAAAACAUUCGGUAACCAACCAUAUAACUCAAAUACGCAUAAAACAACGUCGAACCUUAAGUGUGCAGACCCUGCGGGUUCGAGAACUAUGUAGACAUGACCCGAGAGACUCCUCGGUCAAUAUCCAAUAGCGGGACCUGGAUGCCCAUAUUGGAUCCUACAUAUUCUACGAAGAUCUUAUCAUUUGAACCUCAGUGCCAAGGAUUCAUAUAAUCCCGUAUGUCAUUCCCUUUGUCCUUCGGUAUGUUACUUGCCCGAGAUUCGAUCGUCAGUAUCCGCAUACCUAUUUCAAUCUCGUUUACCGGCAAGUCUCUUUACUCGUUCUGUAAUACAAGAUCUCACAACUUACACUAAGUCACAUUGCUUGCAAGGCUUGUGUGUGAUGUUGUAUUACCGAGUGGGCCCNNNNNNNNNNUAUACCUAUUUCAAUCUCGUUUACCGGCAAGUCUCUUUACUUGUUCCGUAAUACAAGAUCCCGCAACUUACAUUAAGUUACGUUGCUUGCAAGGCUUGUGUGUGAUGUUGCAUUACCGAGUGGGCCCCGAGAUACCUCUCCGUCACACGGAGUGACAAAUCCCAGUCUCGAUCCAUACUAACUCAACUAACACGUUCGGAGAUACCUAUAGAGCAUCUUUAUAGUCACCCAGUUACGUUGCGACGUUUGAUACACANNNNNNNNNNCUUCGGAGAUACCUGUAGAGUAUCUUUAUAGUCACCCAGUUACGUUGCAACGUUUGAUACACACAAAGCAUUCCUCCGGUGUCAGUGAGUUAUAUGANNNNNNNNNNCUUCCGUAAUACAAGAUCCCGCAACUUACACUAAGUUACAUUGCUUGCAAGGCUUGUGUGUGAUGUUGUAUUACCGAGUGGGCCCCGAGAUACCUCUCCGUCACACGGAGUGACAAAUCCUAGUUUUGAUCCAUACUAACUCAACUAACACCUUCGGAGAUACCUGUAGAGCAUCUUUAUAGUCACCCAGUUACGUUGCGACGNNNNNNNNNNNNNNNNNNNNNNNNNNNNNNNNNNNNNNNNNNNNNNNAUUUAUUAUUGCCUCUAGGGCAUAAUUCCAACAGNNNNNNNNNNNNNNNNNNNNNNNNNNNNNNNNNNNNNNNNNNNNNNNNNNNNNNNNNNNNNNNNNNNNNNNNNNNNNNNNNNNNNNNNNNNNNNNNNNNNGCCAGUAACGAGAUUGAACAAGGUAUUGGUAUACCGACGAUCUAAUCUCGGGCAAGUUCUAUACCGACAGACAAAGGGAAUUAUAUACGGGAUUGAUUGAAUCCUUGACAUCGUGGUUCAUCCGAUGAGAUCAUCGUGGAACAAGUGGGAGCCACCAUGGGUAUCCAGACCCCGCUGAUGGUUAUUGGCCAGAGAGGUGUCUCGAUCAUGUCUGCCUGUCUCCCGAACCCGUAGGGUCUACACACUUAAGGUUCGAUGACGCUAGGGUUAUAGGGAAUUGUUAUACGAGGUUACCGAAAGUUGUUCGGAGUCCCGGAUGAGAUCCCGGACGUCACGAGGAGCUCCAGAAUGGUCCGGAGGUAAAGAUUGAUAUAUAGGACGGAUGGUUUCGGAUAGCGGAAGUGUUUCAGGCAUCACCGGUAACGUACCGGGACCACCGGGACCACCGGAGGUGGCCCCGGGGGACCAUCGAAGGGGGGCAACGACCCCGGGAGGUAAGGUGGGCCAAGUGGGGGUGGGAACCAGCCCCUAGGUGGGCUGGUGCGCCUCCCCACUCAGCCCAAUGCGCAGGGGAGAGAAAGGGGGGGGCAAACCCUAAGCCAGGUGGGCCUAAGGCCCACCAGAUGGUGCGCCACCCCCUCCUCCCCCCUCUGGCCGCCGCACCUCCCAUCUGGGGGGGCUGCCACACCCCCUAGUGUGGGAACCCUAGGGGUGGCACCCCCUCUCCCCUCCCCCUAUAUAUAGUGGGCACUUUUGGCCAUUGGAGAUCAGAUUUUUGCCUCUCCCUCGGCGCAGCCCUGCCCUUCUUCCUCCUCCUCUCUGCCGGUGCUUGGCGAAGCCCUGCCGGGAGACCUCGUCUCUCCAUCGACACCACGUCGUCGUGCUGUUGGAGUUCUUCCCCAACCUCUCCCUCCUCCUUGCUGGAUCAAGGUGCGGGAGACGUCACCGGGCUGCACAUGUGUUGAACGCGGAGGUGCCGUAGUUCGGCACUAGAUCGGAAUCGCUGCGAGUACGACUCCAUCAACCGCGUUCUAGCAACGCUUCCGCUUAGAGAUCUUCAAAGGUAUGAAGAUGCUCUUACCCCUCUCUCGUUGCUGGUCUCUCCAUAGGAAGAUCUGAAUAUGCGUAGGAAAAUUUUGAAUUUAUGCUACGUUACCCAACAGAUACGUCUCAAACGUAUCUAUAAUUUUUUAUGGUUUCACGCUGUUAUCUGAUCAACUUUGGAUAUUUUGUUUACCUUUAUAUCUUUUAGGGACUAACUUAUUAACUCAGUGCCAAGCGCGAGUUCCUGUUUUUUCUGUGUUUUUGAUUCUUUUCAGAUCUGAUUUUGGAACGGAGUCCAAACGGAAUAAUUCUUUCGCGAUGAUUUUUUAUAGAAAAUAUCAAAAAUACCGGAAGAAAAAGAUACCAGAGGGGGGUCCCGAGGGCGCCACAAGCCCUGUCGCCGCGACCCCCUAGGUCGCGCCAAUCAAGGUCGUGGGCCCCUCGGGGGCCCACUUGAUGCAACUCCACCGCCAUAUGGUCCUAUAAAUUCAGAAACCUCCAGAAAGAAACCUAGAUCGGGAGUUCCGCCGCCGCAAGUUCCUGUUUCCACGAGAUCUCAUCUGGAGACCCUUCCCGGUGCCCUGUCGGAGGGGACUUUGGAGUUGGAGGGCUUCUUCAUCAACAUCAUCGCCCCUCCAAUGACUCGUGAGUAGUNNNNNNNNNNNNNNNNNNNNNNNNNNNNNNNNNNNNNNNNNNNNNNNNNNNNNNNNNNNNNNNNNNNNNNNNNNNNNNNNNNNNNNNNNNNNNNNNNNNNUUCCUACGGUCUGAUCGUGGGGGUGAAUAUCUGAGUUUCGAGUUUGGUGCUCACUUAAGACAAUGUGGAAUUGUUUCACAGUUAACACCGCCUGGAACACCAUAGCGUAAUGGUGUGUCCGAACGUCGUAAUCGUACUCUAUUAGAGAUGGUGCGGUCUAUGAUGUCUCUUACUGAUUUGCCGUUAUCAUUUUGGGGCUAUGCAUUAGAAACAGCUGCAUUCGCUUUAAAUAGGGCACCAUCAAAAUCCGUUGAGACAACACCAUACGAACUGUGGUAUGGCAAGAGGCCAAAGUUGUCGUUUCUUAAAGUUUGGGGAUGCGAUGCUUAUGUCAAAAAGCUUCAGCCUGAAAAGCUGGAACCCAAAGCGGAAAAGUGCGUCUUCAUAGGUUACCCGAAAGAGACAGUUGGGUACACCUUCUAUCUCAAAUCCGAGGACAAAGUGUUUGUUGCUAAAAACGGAGCUUUUCUCGAGAAGGAGUUUCUCUCGAGAGAAUUGAGUGGGAGGAAGAUAGAACUUGACGAGGUUGUCGAACCUCUCAUCCCUCUGGAUGGUGGCGCAGGGCAAGGGGAAACCUCUGUCGUUGCGACGCCGGUUGAGGAGAAAGUUAAUGAUGAUGCUCAUGAAACUCCAGUUCAAGUUUCUGUUGAACCACGCAGGUUGACGAGAUCACGCGCUGCUCCAGAGUGGUACGGUAAUCCCGUCUUAUCAAUCAUGUUGUUAGACAACAAUGAACCUGCAAAUUACGAAGAAGCAAUGGUGGGCCCAGAUUCCAACAAAUGGCUAGAAGCCAUGAAGUCGGAGAUAGGAUCCAUGUAUGAGAACAAAGUGUGGACUUUGGAGAUACUACCUGAGGGCCGCAAGGCUAUUCAGAACAAAUGGAUCUUUAAGAAGAAGACGGACGCUGACGGUAAUGUGACCGUUUAUAAAGCUCGACUUGUGGCAAAGGGUUUUUCACAAGUUCCAGGAGUUGACUACGAUGAGACUUUCUCACCCGUAGCGAUGCUUAAGUCCGUCAGAAUCAUGUUAGCAAUAGCUGCAUUUUUCGAUUAUGAAAUCUGGCAGAUGGAUGUCAAAACGGCGUUCCUUAAACGGUUUCCUUAAGGAAGAGUUGUAUAUGAUACAACCCGAAGGUUUUGUCGAUCCUAAGAAUGCUAACAAGGUGUGCAAGCUCCAGCGAUCCAUUUAUGGACUGGUGCAAGCAUCUCGGAGUUGGAACAAACGCUUUGAUGAGGUAAUCAAAGCAUUUGGGUUUAUACAAGUGGUUGGAGAAUCUUGUAUUUACAAGAAAGUGAGUGGGAGCUUUGUGGCGUUUCCAAUAUUAUAUGUGGAUGACAUAUUACUGAUUGGAAACAACGUAGAGUUUUUGGAGAGCAUAAAAGGUUACUUGAAUAAAAGUUUCUCUAUGAAGGNNNNNNNNNNCUGUGACGUUUCUAAUAUUAUAUGUGGAUGCAUAUUACUGAUUGGAAACAACGUAGAGCUUUUGGAGAGCAUAAAAGGUUACUUGAAUAAAAGUUUCUCUAUGAAGGACCUAGGAGAAGCUGCUUACAUUCUAGGCAUUAAGAUCUAUAGGGAUAGAUCAAAACGCCUGAUAGGACUUUCACAAAGCACAUACCUUGAUAAAGUUUUGAAGAGGUUCAAAAUGGAACAGUCCAAGAAAGGGUUCUUGCCAGUUCUGCAAGGUACGAGAUUGAGUAAGACUCAAUGCCCAGCAACUGAUGAAGAUAGAGAGCAUAUGCGCUUCGUCCCCUAUGCUUCAGCCAUAGGUUCUAUCAUGUAUGCAAUGUUGUGCACUAGACCGGAUGUUAGCCUGGCCAUAAGUAUGGCAGGUAGGUUCCAGAGUAAUCCAGGAGUGGAUCACUGGACAGCGGUCAAGAAUAUCCUGAAGUACCUGAAAAGGACUANNNNNNNNNNNNNNNNNNNNNNNNNNNNNNNNNNNNNNNNNNNNNNNNNNNNNNNNNNNNNNNNNNNNNNNNNNNNNNNNNNNNNNNNNNNNNNNNNNNNGAAGGCCGAGAUCAUCGUCGAGCUGUACGUGUGCUGAACGCGGAGGUGUCGUCCGUUCGGUACUAGAUCGUGGGACCGAUCGCGGGAUUGUUCGCGGGGCGGAUCGAGGGACGUGAGGACGUUCCACUACAUCAACCGCGUUUUCUAACGCUUCUGCUGUACGGUCUACAAGGGUACGUAGAUCACUCAUCCCCUCUCGUAGAUGGACAUCACCAUGAUAGGUCUUCGUGCGCGUAGGAAAAUUUUUGUUUCCCAUGCGACGUUCCCCAACAGUGGUAUCAGAGCUAGGUUCAUGCGUAGAUGUCUUCUCGAGUACAACACAAAAGUUUUUGUGGGCGGUGAUGUGCGUUUUGCUGCCCUCCUUAGUCUUUUCUUGAUUCCACGGUAUUGUGGAUUGAAGCGGCUUGGACCGACAUUACUCGUACGCUUACGAGAGACUGGUUUCAUCGUUACGAGUAACCCCCUUUGCUCAAAGAUGACUGGCAAGUGACGGUUUCUCCAACUUUAGUUGAAUCGGAUUUGACCGAGGAGGUCCUUGNNNNNNNNNNNNNNNNNNNNNNNNNNNNNNNNNNNNNNNNNNNNNNNNNNNNNNNNNNNNNNNNNNNNNNNNNNNNNNNNNNNNNNNNNNNNNNNNNNNNCGGGAGACUUGUUCAUCCCUUGCAUGUUGUAGUUCAACACAAAGCCUUUAUAGCUUGGCGGCAGUGAUUGAAGGAUUCUGUCAGUGAUAUCUUCUUGCGGGAGUUCAAUCCCCAGCUCAGCUAGACGGUUUGAGUACCCAGANNNNNNNNNNAGGUCCAGCUUUGGGUUUCUUCGACGGAUUGGCAACAGGCUUGCCGCUCUUCUUCGAAUUGCCCUUUUUGCCUUUGCCGUUUCUCUUGAAACUAGUGGUCUUAUUCACCAUCAACACUUGAUGCUCUUUACGGAGUUCAGACUCUGCGACUUUCAGCAUCGCAAACAACUCGCCGGGAGACUUGUUCAUCCCUUGCAUGUUGUAGUUCAACACAAAGCCUUAAUAGCUUGGCGGCAGUGAUUGAAGGAUUCUGUCAGUGAUAGCCUGUUGCGGGAGUUCAAUCCCCAGCUCAGCUAGACGGUUUGAGUACCCAGACAUUUUGAGCACAUGUUCAUUGACAGACGAGUUUUCCUCCAUCUUGCAAGCAUAGAAUUUAUCGAAGGUCUCAUACCUCUCGAUCCGGGCGUUCUUCUAGAAGAUAAACUCCAACUCCUGGAACAUCUCAAAUGCACCAUGACGCUCAAAGUGACGUUGAAGUCCCGGUUCUAAGCCAUACAAGACUGCACAUUGAACUAUNNNNNNNNNNCUGACAGACGAGUUUUCCUCCAUCUUGCAAGCAUAGAAUUUAUCGGAGGUCUCAUACCUCUCGAUCCGGGCGUUCUUCUGAAAGAUAAACUUCAACUCAUGGAACAUCUCAAAUGCUCCAUGACGCUCAAAGCAACGUUGAAGUCCCGGUUCUAAGCCAUACAAGACUGCACAUUGAACUAUUGAGUAGUCCUCCUUACGUGCUAACCAAGCGUUCUUAACAUCCUGAUCAACCGUAGCGGGUGGUUCAUCUCCUAGCGCAGCAUUAAGGACAUAAUCCUUCUUCCCAGCUUGUAAGAUUAGCUUAAGAUUACGAGCCCAGUCUACAAAGUUGCUUCCAUCAUCUUUCAACUUAGCUUUCUCUAGGAACGUAUUAAAAUUCAGGAUGACUGUCGCGUUAGCCAUGAUCUACAACACAAAUAUAUUCAAAGUGGACUUAGACUAUGUUCAAGAUAAUUAGAGUUUAACUUAAUCAAAUUAUUCGCUAAACUCCCACUCAAAAAGUACAUCUCUCUAGUCAUUUGAGUGGUUCAUGAUCCACUUGCACUAGCUCAAGUCCGAUCAUCACGUGAGUUGAGUAUAGUUUCAGUGGUAAGCAUCCCUAUGCUANNNNNNNNNNNNNNNNNNNNNNNNNNNNNNNNNNNNNNNNNNNNNNNNNNNNNNNNNNNNNNNNNNNNNNNNNNNNNNNNNNNNNNNNNNNNNNNNNNNNGCGAAAGAUGAAGUGACGAUGCGCGUAGGAAAUGGUUCCAAGGUUGAUUCAAUCGCCGUCGGCACAGUGUCACUUCAGCUACCGUCGGGAUUAGUGAUGAACUUAAAUCAUUGUUAUUUAGUGCCUGGGUUGAGCAUGGACAUUAUGUCUGGAUCUUGUUUAUUGCGAGACGGUUACUCUUUUAAGUCAGAGAAUAANNNNNNNNNNGCAAUCGUCGUCGGCACAGUGUCACUUCAACUGCCAUCAGGAUUAGUGAUGAACUUAAAUCAUUGUUAUUUGGUUCGUGCGUUGAGCAUGAACAUUAUAUGUGGAUCUUGUUUAUUGCGAGACGGUUACUCUUUUAAGUCAGAGAAUAAUGGUUGUUCUAUUUCUAUGAGUAACAUCUUUUAUGGUCAUGCACCGAAUGUGAGAGGAUUGUUCAUAUUGAAUCUUGAUAGCGAUACGCAUAUACAUAACAUUGAGACCAAAAGAGUUAGAGUAAACAAUGAUAGCGCCAUAUUUUUGUGGCACUGCCGCUUGGGUCAUAUUGGUGUAAAGCGCANNNNNNNNNNACAAUACGCAUAUACAUAACAUUGAGACCAAAAGAGUUAGAGUUAACAAUGAUAGCGCCAUAUUUUUGUGGCACUGCCGAUUAAGUCAUAUUGGUGCAAAGCGCACGAAGAAACUCCAUGCUGAUGGACUUUUGGAGUCACUUGACUUUGAUUCACUUGACACGUGCGAACCAUGCCUCAUGGGCAAGAUGACUAAGACUCCGUUCUCAGGAACAAUGGAGCGUGCAAGUGACUUGUUGGAAAUCAUACAUACCGAUGUGUGUGGUCCGAUGAGCGUGGAGGCACGCGGCGGAUAUCGUUAUUUUCUCACCUUCACUGACGAUUUAAGUAGAUAUGGAUAUGUCUACUUAAUGAAGCACAAGUCUGAAACAUUUGAAAAGUUCAAGCAAUUUCAGAGUGAAGUGGAAAAUCAUCGUAACAAGAAGAUCAAGUUCCUACGGUCUGAUCGUGGGGGUGAAUAUCUGAGUUUCGAGUUUGGUUAUCACUUAAGACAAUGUGGAAUUGUUUCACAGUUAACACCGCCUCAAACACCACAGCGUAAUGGUGUGUCCGAACGUCGUAAUCGUACUUUCUUAGAGAUGGUGCGAUCUAUGAUGUCUCUUACUGAUUUGCCGUUAUCGUUUUGGGGUUAUGCAUUAGAAACAGCUGCAUUCACUUUAAAUAGGGCACCAUCAAAAUCCGUUGAGACGACACCAUACGAACUGUGGUAUGGCAAAAGACCAAAGUUGUCGUUUCUUAAAGUUUGGGGAUGUGAUGCUUAUGUCAAAAAGCUUCAGCCUGAAAAGCUGGAACCCAAAGCGNNNNNNNNNNNNNNNNNNNNNNNNNNNNNNNNNNNNNNNNNNNNNNNNNNNNNNNNNNNNNNNNNNNNNNNNNNNNNNNNNNNNNNNNNNNNNNNNNNNNGCAAUCAAAGAGCUCAACUUUGAUUUCAAACUUGCCGGUGAGAAGCGGUUGUUUGAUAUCAGCUCGUUAGAUGAAUGGAGAGCCCAGGCAUAUGAGAAUGCCAGGUUGUUCAAGGAAAAGGUUAAGAGAUGGCACGACAAACGAAUACAGAAACGAGAGUUCAAUGUAGGUAAUUAUGUCUUGCUAUACAAUUCUCGUUUGAGAUUCUUUGCUGGCAAGCUUCUCUCUAAAUGGGAAGGUCCCUAUGUUGUCGAGGAAGUAUAUCAUUCCGGUGCCAUCAAAAUCAAUAACACGGAAGGAAAUUUUCCUAGAGUGGUAAAUGGGCAAAGAAUCAAGCAUUACAUCUCUGGUACUCCCAUAAAUGUUGAGACCAAUAUCAUCAAUGUCAUAACUCCAGAGGAGUACAUAAGGGAUGUUUAUCAGCCUGUUUCAGACCUUGAAAACGAAGAUGUAUCUAUUUCGGCAAGAAAUUGGACUCCGAUACUUUUCCAAUAGGAAAUUUCUUCCGUUUUGGAAUUUUUGGAAAAUUAGAAAAAUAAAAAGUAGUCCGGGGAGAAAACGAGGCAACCACAAGGGCCCACUCCGCCACCACCCCCCUGGUGGCGGUGGGCAAGCUUGUGGGCACCUCGUGUGCCUCCCGGACUCCGUUUUCUUGCGGAGGACUCCUUCUGGCCUAGAAAAAAUCAAUAUAUAGUCGCCCGAAGGUUUUGAUCUCUGUAUCGCGCAAUUUUCCUCUGUUUUCGUUUCGAGCUUGUUUCUGCCGCAGAUCUAGAUCAUCAUGACUUCCCCAAACGCUCCUAAGGACAAGAUCUUCGAGAAGGUCAUCAAUCCCUACCUCACGGAAGUGCCGAAACACCCUCAAUCUAUCAACAUGAGCGAGGGGAUGUUGCACAUCCGUGAUGUUGAGGGGCCUAAGAAGACCGGAAGCAUGGAGACGAGGCUCGAAGCAAUGGAGCAACAAGUCUUCAAGUGCCAAGGGAUGGUUGAGCGAGGACUCAACGCCAACCACACGAUGAUCAAGGAGUUCACUAGCAAUCACAAGAUGGAUGCCAUUGAUAUUGGGAAACACCUCUCCAGGCUUUACGAUAGGGUUGACCAACUUCAGGACCAGAUCUAUGACCUGCAGAAUCAAAACUGUGAGUAUGAGUACAGAUUUAAAUCAAUAAGGUUGGCUGCAGAUUUGAGGAUUCCGGCGACUCGUUCAUCCUGCCAUGAUGGAGCACCUAUGCCUUGGAAGACGGAGGAUCAGACUGCUCCGACAACAACACCACCAUCACCACCAAAGGAAGACAACUAAGCAUUGGUAUGGGCAAUCCCCUUGGCUUCUGCCAAGCUUGGGGGAGUUGCCCUGGUAUCGUAUCACCCUUAUAUCUUUUGCUUUUACCUUUGUUUUAGUUCUUUCCUUUUCAGUUUUUAUUUCUUCUUUUAGAGGAAUAAGUCUUUAGUUUUUAGUUUGAGUCUUUUGCUUUUGUCUCUCCCCCGAUGUAUUCGAGCUUACGAGCUAUAUAAUAAAGAGUGUCUUAGUCAAGGGCUUUGCUUUGUGCCAUGAUCAAAAGUAUGAAAAGAACAAUAGCAUGAAAGAUCAUGAGACGAUCUUAUGGAAAGUGAUAACUUCACUUAUGACACGUAUGUUGAUUGAAACUUGUUGAGAAUAAAUCAACAUAGACCUCAGUCAUUGUUGCAAUUAAUAAGAAGUAAUAAGGAAAGAGAGGUUCACAUAUAAAUAUAUCAUCUUAGACACUUUUUGCAAUUGUGAGCACUCACCAAACUAUUACAGGCCUAGGAGUAGAUGUUGGACAAGGAAGACAACAUAAUGAAUUGUGUUUGCUUGGUUCCAAACAAUGUUAUAUGAUUAGAGAUCCCUUAGCAUGUGACGAUUGCUUCCACCUCAUAUUAGCCAAAACUCCCGCACCAAGUAGAGAUACUACUUGUGCAUCUAUAAACCUCCAACCCAGUUUUGCCAUGAGAGUCCACCAUACCUACCUAUGGAUUGAAUAAGAUCCUUCAAGUAAGUUGUCAUCGGUGCAAGCAAUAAAAAUUGCUAUCUAAUAUGUAUGAUCUAUUAGUGUGUGGAAAAUAAGCUUUGUACGAACCUGUGAUGAGGAAGACAUAAAAGCGACACACUGGAUAAUAAAGUUCUUUAUCACAGGAGGCAAUAUAAAGUGACGUUCCUCCGCACUAAGAGGACACGCAUUCAAACCUCAAAAGCGCAUGACAACCUCUGCUUCCCUCUACGAAGGGCCUAUCUUGUACCUUUACUUUUUACCCUUGUAAGAGUCAUGGUGAUCUUCACCAAUUCCCUUUUUGCCUUUGUCUUGGCUACCGUCAUAUGCUUUGGAAAGAUCUAUAUUCAUAUAUCAACUUGGAGUUGAGUACUUAUGCUUUAUUGUUGUUGACUUUACCCUUGAGGUAAAUGUUGGGGAACGUCGCAAGGGAAACAAAAAUUUUCCUACGCGCACGAAGACCUAUCAUGGUGAUGUCCAUCUACGAGAGGGGAUGAGUGAUCUACGUACCCUUGUAGAUCGCACAGCAGAAGCGAUGUGAGACCGCGGUUGAUGUAGUGGAACGUCCUCACGUCCCUCGAUCCGCCCCGCGAACAAUCCCGCGAUCAGUCCCACGAUCUAGUACCGAACGGACGGCACCUCUGCGUUCAGCACACGUAUAGCUUGACGAUGAUCUCGGCCUUCUUGAUCCAGCAAGAGAGACGGAGAGGUAGAAGAGUUCUCCGGCAGCGUGACGGCUCUCCGGAGGUUGGUGAUGACCUUGUCUCAGCAGGGCUCCGCCCGAGCUCCGCAGAAACGCGAUCUAGAGGAAAACCGUGGAGGUAUGUGGUCGGGCUGCCGUGGAAAAAAAAUCGUCUCAAAUCAGCCCUAAAACCUCCGUAUAUAUAGGUGGGAGGGAGGGGGCCUUGCCUUGGGGCUCAAGGAGCCCCAAGGGGGUCGGCCGAGUCCAAGGGGGAGGACCCCCCCCCCCCAAACUGAGUUGGACUAGGUUUGGUGGGAGGGAGUCCCCCUUCCUUCCCACCUCCUCCUUUUUUUUCUUUCUCUCUUGAUUUUCUUCUCCUUGGCGCAUANNNNNNNNNNAAAAUUGUCUCAAAUCAGCCCUAAAACCUCUGUAUAUAUAGGUGGGAGGGAGGGGGCCUUGCCUUGGGGCUCAAGGAGCCCCAAGGGGGUCGGCCGAGUCCAAGGGGGAGGACUCUCCCCCCCCCCCAAACCGAGUUGGACUACGUUUGGUGGGAGGGAGUCCCCCUUCCUUCCCACCUCCUCCUAUUUUUUCUCUCUCUUGAUUUUCUUCUCCUUGGUGCAUAGGGCACUUGUGGGCUGUCCCACCAGCCCACUAAGGGCUGAUGUGUCUCCCCAAAGGCCUAUGGGCUUCCCCGGGGUGGGUUGCCCCCCCCCCCCCCNNNNNNNNNNAUCUCAAAUCAGCCCUAAAACCUCUGUAUAUAUAGGUGGGAGGGAGGGGACCUUGCCUUGGGGCUCAAGGAGCCCCAAGGGGGUCGGCCGAGCCAAGGGGGGAAGACUCCCNNNNNNNNNNACCUUGCCUUGGGACUCAAGGAGCCCCAAGGGGGUCGGCCGAGCCAAGGGGGGAAGACUCCCCCCCCCCAAACUGAGUUGGACUUGGUUUGGUGGGAGGGAGUCCUUCCCUUCCUUCCCACCUCCUCUUUUUUUUUCCUUUUCUCUUGAUUUUUUCUUCUUGGCGCAUAGGGCCCUUUUGGGCUGUCCCACCAGCCCACUAAGGGCUGGUGUGCCAUCCUCAAGGCCUAUGGGCUUCCCCGGGGUGGGUUCCCCCCCCGGUGAACUCCCGGAACCCAUUCGUCAUUCCCGGUACAUUCCCGGUAACUCCGAAAANNNNNNNNNNNNNNNNNNNNNNNNNNNNNNNNNNNNNNNNNNNNNNNNNNNNNNNNNNNNNNNNNNNNNNNNNNNNNNNNNNNNNNNNNNNNNNNNNNNNUGAUUAUUAUAUCAACCUCACAUCACUCGUGGUAUACACUCAACCGAUCACCCGUCUACUCAAGCAUAGCAUUUAGAAAUUGUCCUUCUCCGAGAGGGAGGCGGGGUCCUCCUCCGAGAGGGAGGCGGCGGUGGAGCGAAGGGGGCUCGGGGGGAGGGGGUUCCCAGGGCUGUGCCGAAGGUGCAGUAGCUUGCACCGGCGGCAGCAGUGGCGAGGGGACGGGCGGCGGCGGUCCAACGGGUUAGGGUUGGGAAGGGGUCGGCUGAGGUGGGGGGUAUAUAUAGGCUAGGAGGGGGGGGGUUGCUAAGGANNNNNNNNNNNNNNNNNNNNNNNNNNNNNNNNNNNNNNNNNNNNNNNNNNNNNNNNNNNNNNNNNNNNNNNNNNNNNNNNNNNNNNNNNNNNNNNNNNNNNNNNNNNNNNNNNNNNNNNNNNNNNNNNNNNCGGCUGGGAGGAGCUCGGUUUCGGUCUGCAGAGGAAAGGAAAGAGAGGAAGGAAGGAAGGAGAAGGGUGACGUGGGGGGGGGGGGGCUCGGGCAGGGCCCCACUGGCNNNNNNNNNNNNNNNNNNNNNNNNNNNNNNNNNNNNNNNNNNNNNNNNNNNNNNNNNNNNNNNNNNNNNNNNNNNNNNNNNNNNNNNNNNNNNNNNNNNNNNNNNNNNNNNNNNGAGAAGGGGGUAGAGGGGGUCGGUUUGUAGGGGAUUUAGAGCCCACGGAAAGUGGGGAUCUUGGCCGAGUGGCUAAGAUGCGCCCAGGGCGGCGGCUAGGUUAGAAUUUUUUUUAACCCUUUCCUUAUAUCUAACCUUUCCAAAACAGAAAUAUAAAAACUAAUAAAGGAAAAUAAAAUAAAAAUAUUUAUAUAUGGUAUUAUAUAUNNNNNNNNNNNNNNNNNNNNNNNNNNNNNNNNNNNNNNNNNNNNNNNNNNNNNNNNNNNNNNNNNNNNNNNNNNNNNNNNNNNNNNNNNNNNNNNNNNNNGGGGGGUAUAUAUAGGCUAGGAGGGGGGGGGUUGCUAAGGAAGGUGAGGGAGAAACGGGAAGAAAAUCGCAGCUGGGAGGAGCUUGGUUUCGGUCUGCAGAGGAAAGGAAAGAGAGGGAGGAAGGAAGGAGAAGGGUGACGUGGGGGGGGGGGNNNNNNNNNNNNNNNNNNNNNNNNNNNNNNNNNNNNNNNNNNNNNNNNNNNNNNNNNNNNNNNNNNNNNNNNNNNNNNNNNNNNNNNNNNNNNNNNNNNNNNNNNNNNNNNNNNNNNNNNNNNNNNNNNNNNNNNNNNNNNNNNNNAGGGUGUAGAGGGGGUCGGUUUGUAGGGGAUUUAGAUCCCACGGAAAGUGGGGAUCUUGGCCCAGUGGCUAAGAUGCGCCGAGGGCGGCGGCUAGGUUAGAAAAAAUAACCCUUUCCUUAUAUCUAACCUUUCCAAAACAGAAAUAUAAAAGCUAAUAAAGGAAAAUAAAAUAAAAAUAUUUAUAUAUGGUAUUAUAUAUCAAGAAAAUCAGAAAAAGAAUCUCUACCCGAAUAACAUUUUUUUAAAGCCAAAAUAAAAACUUUUAAAAAUGUUUUUUUUUCAGAAAUUCCCAAUUUGCUUUAUUUCUUUUUGCAAUUAUUUUUGCAAAAGAACUUUGGGUUUUCUUUGCUCAAAUAUUUCUGAGAUUUGCCCGCACUUUGGAGGGUCAUUUUCCUCCGCUCUCUCUCUGNNNNNNNNNNCAGAAAUUCCCAAUUUGCUUUAUUUCUUUUUGCAAAAGAACUUUGGGUUUUCUUUGCUCAAAUAUUUCAGAGAUUUGCCCGCACUUUGGAGGGUCAUUUUCCUCCGCUCUCUCUCUGGCGUGCAAGGGAGUUUUCUCCGGACAUUUCUCGCGCGAGGAAAAAUUAGAAAUGCAAAUCAAAGAUGAAGGAAAAUUCACGAGCUAUAUUUAUUUCAAACAAUAUGCAUAGAUGCUUAGCUACAAUGUAGAACAUUCCCAAUUAGGAAAAUUGGGAUGUUACAGCGCUCCGCACCAGAGUCGUACGACAACCGUGUGAUGGAAAUCAUGUUGUUAGACAACGGUGAACCUUCGAACUAUGAAGAAGGGAUGGCGGGCCCAGAUUCCAACAAAUGGCUUGAGGCUAUGAAAUCCGAGAUAGGAUCCAUGUAUGAGAACAAAGUAUGGACUUUGGUGGACUUGCCCGAUGACCGGCGAGCCAUAGAAAAUAAAUGGAUCUUCAGAAGAAGACUGAUGCAAACGGUAAUGUAACCGUUUACAAAGCUCGACUUGUCGUAAAGGGUUUUCGACAAAUUCAAGGAGUUGACUACGAAGAGACUUUCUCUCCCGUAGCGAAGCUGAAAUCAGUCCGAAUCAUGUUAGCAAUUUCCGCCUUUUAUGAUUAUGAAAUUUGGCAAAUGGACGUCAAAAUAGCGUUCCUUAACGGGAAUCUUAAGAAAGAGUUGUAUAUGAUGCAACCAGAAGGUUUUGUCGACCCUAAGGGUGCUAACAAAGUGUGCAAGCUCCAGCGCUCCAUCUAUGGGCUGGUGCAAGUAUCUCGGAGUUGGAACAUUCACUUUAAUGAGGUGAUUAAAGCGUUUGGGUUCAUACAAGUUUACGGAGAAGCCUGUUUGUACAAGAAAGUGAGUGGGAGCUCUGUAGCUUUCCUCAUACUGUAUGUGGAUGACAUAUUAUUGAUGGGGAAUAAUAUUGAGAUGUUGGAGAGCAUAAAGGCCUAUUUGAACAAGAGUUUUUCAAUGAAGGGCCUUGGAGAAGCUGCAUACAUAUUAGGCAUCAAGAUCUAUAGAGAUAGAUCGAGACGCCUCAUAGGUCUUUCGCAAAGUACAUACCUUGACAAGAUAUUGNNNNNNNNNNAAGUUUUUCAAUGAAGGACCUUGGAGAAGCUGCAUACAUAUUAGGCAUCAAGAUCUAUAGAUAUAGAUCAAGACGCCUCAUAGGUCUUUCGCAAAGUACAUACCUUGACAAGAUAUUGAAGAAGUUCAAUAUGGAAAACUCAAAGAAAGGGUUCUUGCCAGUUUUGGAAGGUAUGAGAUUGAGUAAGACUCAGUCGCCGACUACAGCAGUAGAUAGAGAGAAGAUGAGUUAUGUCCCCUACGCAUCAGCCGUGGGCUCUCUAAUGUAUGCCAUGCUGUGUACCAGACCUGAUAUAAACCUUGCCAUAAGCUUGGUAGGGAGGUACCAAAGUGAUCCCGGUAUGGAACACUGGACAGCGGUCAAGAAUAUCCUUAAGUACCUGAAAAGGACUAAGGAAAUGUUUCUCGUUUAUGGAGGUGACGAAGAGCUCGUCGUAAAGGGUUACGUCGACGCUAGCUUCGACANNNNNNNNNNNNNNNNNNNNNNNNNNNNNNNNNNNNNNNNNNNNNNNNNNNNNNNNNNNNNNNNNNNNNNNNNNNNNNNNNNNNNNNNNNNNNNNNNNNNAUGCGGAAAUAAACUAAGAGGGUACUUGUCAAGCACAAAUCCUAAAUGCACUAGGCACUGCAACGUGUAUCAACAACACGAUCUACCAAGAUGGACACAAUACAGUUACUAACAAGCACAAGUAAGUUACACAAACUUACUUGAGCUAUAUCACACGACAAGUAGGUGAACAACACAAGAUACUAGAUCACACUAUAUCACACGAUAUAUUAAAGGCUGCAAGUAUGAACGUGUGGAUAUAGAGGGUAUGCUUGAAUGAUUAAUCUUGUACAAGAAAUAGCCAACACAAUAUAAUGAGCACAAACAACAUGCAAUGUAUGUAUGCUCAAGUAACACAAGUAAACCACAAGUAAGGAGUUAGGGUUAAGGAUAACCAAGGUCACUGAGACGAAGAUGUAUCCCGAUGUUCACUUCCUUGGAGGGAAGCUAGUCACCGUUAGAGAGGUGGAUGUUACCACGGAGGCACACCAACGCCACGAAGGCUCACGCUAUUCUCCCUUUGAGAUAACACCAUGAAGACGUUUCUCAACCACUAGUGGUAAGCCUUUGAGGUGGCUUCCAAACCCUCACAAACUUUUCCGGGGGGUAAUAACACGGAUUGAUUCCUCUCUGAAGAACUCCUACCGCCUAGGAUUCUCCAACCUCCAAGAGUAACAAGAUCACGGGGAAUGCUCAAAACUUGCUCAAAUCUCAAACAGAUUGGGUUGAAAGGAGGAGAGGGAGACGAUCUAUCUUUUGAUUGGAACAACUCUCAAAGGGGCUCACAAAUGCUCUUGGGAUCUAAGAUUUGGUGUGAGCAAAUGUGUGUGAGGUAGAAGUGUGUUCUUAUGAGGAUAAGGCUAUGUUGGGCUGCCCUCUCACGAAGUGGGAGGGGGUAUUUAUAGUGGGGAGAGAAAAACAGCCGUUGGCGACACUUUAAGUCACACAGGGUCCGGACGUCCGACAGUUGCCGGAAGUCUGGGCGUCCGCGAGGGGUCGGACGUCCGACAGGGGUCGGUCGUCCGAGGCCUGUAGAUACGGCUGAAACUAUUUUGAAUUAAACAGCGACCGGACGUCCGGAGAGGACCGGAAAUCCGAGUUAUACAACUCAACUUCUUCUGGUGGUAGGUUCCGGAUUUCCGAAGGGGGUCGGACGUCCGGCCCUCGAACGUCCGGAGGGAGCCGGAAAUCCGAGUUAUAGAGCUCAUGUUCUUCUGGUGCAGGGCUCCGGAUUUCCGAAGCAUGUCGGUCGUCCGACCCUUGACCGGCCCUCGGACGUCCGGAGUGAGCCGGAAGUCCGAGUUAUAUGGCUCAAGUUUCUCUGGUGCAUAGUUCCGGAAUUCCGAAGCUGGUCGGAUAUCCGGGCCUCGGACGUCCGGAGGGAGCCGGAAGUCUGAUUUAUAUGGCUCUGAUUUCUCUGGUAUAGGAUUCUGGAUUUCCGAAGCAUUCGGUCGUCCGGAGGAAGCUGGAUGUCCGAGGCACUGGUUCUAUUUUCAGAUAACAGCAGAGCAGUGGAGAUGUGGUCUAAGCAGAAUAGUGGAGAUAUAGUUUGAGGAGAACAGUGGAGAUGUAGUUUGAGCAAGUUCAUCACAUAUCAAACUAUCAAAGUAACGAACGUGAAUCAUAUGAACAUGAUGAAACUAGCAUGACAGAAAUUCCCGUGUGUCCUCGGGGGCGUUUUUUCUCCUAUAAGACUUUGUUCAGGCUUGUCCCUUGCUACAAAAGGGAUUGGGCCACUUUAUACACCAUUGCUACUACUUGUUACUUGUUACUCUUUGCUUGCUACGUUUCACCUCGCUACAUAAUCACUUGUUACCGCUACUUUCAGUGCUUGCAGUUAUUACCUUGCUGAAAUCCGUUUAUCAGAGCCUUCUGCUCCUCGUUGGGUUCGACACUCUUACUUAUCGAAAGGACUAUGAAUGAUCCCCUAUACUUGUGGGUCAUCAAGACUCUUUUCUGGCGCCGUUGCCGGGGAGUGAAGUGCCUUUGGUAAGUGGAAAUUGGUAAGGAAACAUCUAUAUACUGUGCUGAAAUUUAUUGUCACUUGUCACUAUGGAAACUGUUUCUUUGAGGAGUUUGUUCGGGGUAUCUUCACCACGAACGGAAGCACGAGGAGUUGCUCCUCAACUUGAGGUACCUACUGAAAAUAUCUUUUAUGAAAUUCCUUUGGGUAUGCUUGAGAAACUGCUGGCUAAUCCUUUCACAGGAGAUGGAUCUUCACAUCCAGACUUUCAUCUAAUCUAUGUAGAUGAAGUUUUUGGUUUAUUUAAGCUUGCAGGUUUGCCCGAGGAUGAGGUAAAGAAGAAAGUCUUUCCUUUAUCUUUGAAGGAUAAGGCGUUGACAUGGUAUAGGCUAUGUGAUGAUGCUGGAUCAUGGGGCUACAAUCGGUUGAAAUUGGAAUUUCAUCAAAAGUUCUAUCAUAUGCAUUUAGUACAUCGUGAUCGGAACUUUAUUUAUAACUUUUGGCCUCGUGACAGGGAAAGCAUAGCUCAAGCUUGGGGGAGGCUUAAAUCAAUGCUAUAUUCAUGCCCCAAUCAUGAGCUCUCGAGAGAAAUCAUCACUCAAAACUUUUAUGCUCGGCUUUCUCAUGAAGAUCGUACCAUGCUUGGCACUUCUUGUGCCGGUUCUUUUAUGAAGAAGGAUAUUGAUCACAAGUGGAAUUUAUUGGAGAGAAUCAAACGCAACUCUGAAGAUUGGGAGCUGGAGGAAGGUAAGGAGUCAGGUAUGAAUUUCCAGUUUGAUUGCGUUAAAUCUUUUGUUGAGACAAACACUUCUAGAGAUUUUAGCGCUAAGUAUGGACUUGACUCUGAGAUAGUAGCUUCUCUAUGUGAAUCUUUUGCUGCUCAUGUUGAUCUUCCCAAAGAGAAGUGGUUUAAAUAUUAUCCUCCUGUAGAAAGCAACAUAGCCAAAACCAAUCUAGUUGAGGAGAAAAUCAUAGCUUUUAGUGAUCAUGUUGUUCCUUGUGCUUACACUGAGAAACCACCAUACCCUGCUAGGAUAAAAGGAUUAUUCUAAAGCUCCAACUGUGAUACGUAGGGGUUACAUUAGAUCACUUGCACCCCAUGAGGAGAUUAGAGUUGAACCUAGUGUUGCUAUUAUCAAAGAUCUCUUAGCCGAAGACAUAGACGGGCAUGUUAUCAAAUUCUGUGAGGACUCCGCUAGAAUUGCUAAACCUCACGCGAAAGACAAACACGGACCUGUAGUUGGCCUGCCCGUUGUUUCUGUUAAGAUAGGAGAUCACUGUGACCAUGAUUUAUCUAAUAUGGGAGCUAGUGUUAGUGCAAUACCCCGUUCUCUAUAUGAUGAAAUCAAAGAUGAGAUUGCACCUGCUGAGUUAGAACCCAUUGAUGUCACUAUUACGCUAGCUAAUAGAGACACUAUCUGCCGUGUGGGAAUUGUGAGAGACGUAGAAGUCCUGUGUGGUAAGACGAAGUAUCCUACUGAUUUCCUCGUCCUUGGUACUGCACAAGAUAGCUUUUGUCCCAUCAUAUUUGGUAGACCCUUUCUCAACACUGUCAAUGCUCGCAUUGAUUGCAUUAAGCAGACUGUCACAGUAAGUUUCGAGGGUGUGUCUCAUGAAUUUAACUUCUCCAAGUUUGGAAGACAAACCCAUGAAAGAGAGUCGUCUGGUAGAGAUGAAAUCAUUGCUCUUGCCUCUAUUGUCGUACCUCCUACGGAUCCUUUAGAGCAAUAUCUGCUUGAGCAUGAAAAUGAUAUGCAUAUGGAGGAGAGAGAUGAGAUAGAUAAAAUUAUCUUAGAACAAUAUCCUAUUCUCAAGAAUAAUCUGCCUGUUGAACUGCUUGGGGAUCCUCCCCCACCAAAGGGUGAUCCUGUGUUCGAGCUUAAACAGUUGCCUGAUACUCUUAAGUAUGCCUAUCUUGAUGAGAAGGAGAUAUAUUCUGUCAUUAUUAGUGCUCUCCUCUCAGAGCGCGAAGAGAAGAAGUUACUAAAAACUCCGAGGAAGCACCGCGCUGCUAUUGGAUAUACUCUUGAUGAUCUUAAGGGUAUUAGUCCUACUCUAUGUCAGCACAAGAUUAAAACCGAUCCUGACUUUAAACCAGUUGCUGAUCAUCAAAGGAGAUUAAAUCCUAAGAUGAAAGAGGUCGUUAGAAAAGAAAUAUUAAAGCUUCUGGAAGCAGGAAUCAUUUAUCCCGUUGCUCAUAGUGAUUGGGUAAGUCCAGUACAUUGCGUACCUAAGAAGGGAGGUAUCACCGUCGUUCCUAAUCAUAAGGAUGAACUAAUCCCACAAAGGAUUAUUACCGGCUAUAGAAUGGUGAUAGACUUCCGGAAACUGAACAAGGCAACCAGGAAAGAUCAUUAUCCUUUGUCGUUCAUCGACCAAAUGCUAGAAAGGCUAUCAAAACACACACACUUCUGCUUUUUAGAUGGUUAUUCAGGUUUCUCGCAAAUACCUGUUGCACAAUCUGAUCAAGAGAAGACCACUUUCACGUGCCCUUUCGGUACCUUUGCCUAUAGACGUAUGCCUUUUGGCUUAUGUAACGCACCUGCCACCUUCCAAAGAUGUAUGAUGGCUAUAUUCUGUGACUUUUGUGAAAAGAUUGUCGAGGUUUUCAUGGAUGACUUCUCCGUUUACGGGUCUUCCUUUGAUGAUUGCCUCAGCAACCUUGAUUGAGUCUUACAGAGAUGCGAAGAAGCCAACCUCGUCUUGAAUUUGGAGAAGUGCCACUUUAUGGUUAAUGAAGGUAUGGUCUUAGGACACAAAAUCUCUGAAAGAGGCAUUGAAGUUGAUAAGGCUAAGGUUGAUGCAAUUGAGAAAAUGCCUUGCCCCACAGAUAUCAGAGGUAUACAAAGUUUCCUAGGUCAUGCUGGUUUCUAUAGAAGGUUCAUUAAAGACUUCUCUAAGAUUUCUAGGCCUCUUACCAACCUCUUGCAGAAGGAUGUUCCUUUUGUUUUUGAUGAGGAUUGUGAGGAAGCUUUCAAAAUACUUAAGAAGGCUUUGAUAACCGCACCUAUUGUUCAACCACCUGACUGGAACUUGCCCUUUGAAAUCAUGUGCGACGCUAGUGAUUAUGCUGUUGGUGCUGUUCUAGGACAAAGAGUUGACAAGAAGUUGAAUGUCAUUCACUACGCUAGUAAAACUUUAGACAAUGCCCAAAGAAACUAUGCCACUACGGAGAAGGAAUUUUUAGCAGUCGUGUUUGCAUGUGAAAAGUUCAGAUCUUACAUAGUUGACUCCAAAGUCACUAUUCACUCUGAUCAUGCUGCUAUUAAGUACCUCAUGGAGAAGAAGGACGCUAAGCCUAGGCUGAUCAGAUGGGUUCUCCUGCUACAGGAAUUUGAUUUGCACGUCGUUGACCGAAAGGGUGCUGAUAACCCUGUAGUAGAUAACUUGUCUAGGCUAGAGAAUGUCCUUGAUGACCCACUACCAAUUGAUGAGAGCUUUCCUGAUGAGCAAUUAAACGUCAUCCGCACUUCUCAUAGUGCAUCAUGGUAUGCCGAUUAUGCAAACUAUAUCGUAGCCAAAUACAUACCACCCAGUUUUACCUAUCAACAAAAGAAGAAAUUCUUGUUUGAUUUGAGACACUACUUUUGGGAUGAUCCUCGCCUUUAUAAGGAAGGAGUAGAUGGUGUUAUUAGACGUUGUGUGCCUGAACAUGAACAGGGACAGAUCCUGCAGAAGUGUCAUUCUGAAGCCUACGGAGGACACCAUGCUGGAGAUAGAACUGCCCAUAAGGUAUUGCAAUCAGGUUUCUAUUGGCCCACUCUCUUCAAGGAUGCCCGUAAGUUUGUCUUGUCUUGUGACGAAUGCCAAAGGAUAGGGAACAUCAGUAAGCGUCAAGAGAUGCCUAUGAACUAUUCACUUGUCACUGAACCGUUUGAUGUCUGGGGCUUUGAUUAUAUGGGACCCUUCCCGAGUUCCAAUGGGUACACUCACAUCUUAGUUGGUGUGGAUUACGUUACUAAGUGGGUAGAAGCUAUCCCCACUAAAAAUGCUGAUCACCACACCUCUAUUAAGAUGCUUAAAGAAGUCAUAUUCCCAAGAUUCGGAGUCCCUAGAUACUUGAUGACUGAUGGCGGUUCACACUUCAUUCAUGGUGUUUUCCGCAAGAUGCUAGCUAGGUAUGAUGUCAACCAUAGAGUUGCAUCUCCUUAUCAUCCUCAGUCUAGUGGUCAAGUGGAGUUGAGUAAUAGGGAGAUCAAGUUGAUCCUACAAAAGACCGUCAACAGAUCUCGAAAGAACUGGUCUAGCAAACUUGACGAUGCACUAUGGGCUUAUAGGACUACUUAUAAGAAUCCCAUGGGCAUGUCACUGUAUAAAAUGGUUUACGGUAAGGCCUGUCAUUUACCUCUUGAGCUGGAACACAAAGCUUAUUGGGCAAUCAAAGAGCUCAACUUUGAUUUCAAACUUGCCGGUGAGAAGCGGUUGUUUGAUAUCAGCUCGUUAGAUGAAUGGAGAGCCCAGGCAUAUGAGAAUGCCAGGUUGUUCAAGGAAAAGGUUAAGAGAUGGCACGACAAACGAAUACAGAAACGAGAGUUCAAUGUAGGUAAUUAUGUCUUGCUAUACAAUUCUCGUUUGAGAUUCUUUGCUGGCAAGCUUCUCUCUAAAUGGGAAGGUCCCUAUGUUGUCGAGGAAGUAUAUCAUUCCGGUGCCAUCAAAAUCAAUAACACGGAAGGAAAUUUUCCUAGAGUGGUAAAUGGGCAAAGAAUCAAGCAUUACAUCUCUGGUACUCCCAUAAAUGUUGAGACCAAUAUCAUCAAUGUCAUAACUCCAGAGGAGUACAUAAGGGAUGUUUAUCAGCCUGUUUCAGACCUUGAAAACGAAGAUGUAUCUAUUUCGGCAAGAAAUUGGACUCCGAUACUUUUCCAAUAGGAAAUUUCUUCCGUUUUGGAAUUUUUGGAAAAUUAGAAAAAUAAAAAGUAGUCCGGGGAGAAAACGAGGCAACCACAAGGGCCCACUCCGCCACCACCCCCCUGGUGGCGGUGGGCAAGCUUGUGGGCACCUCGUGUGCCUCCCGGACUCCGUUUUCUUGCGGAGGACUCCUUCUGGCCUAGAAAAAAUCAAUAUAUAGUCGCCCGAAGGUUUUGAUCUCUGUAUCGCGCAAUUUUCCUCUGUUUUCGUUUCGAGCUUGUUUCUGCCGCAGAUCUAGAUCAUCAUGACUUCCCCAAACGCUCCUAAGGACAAGAUCUUCGAGAAGGUCAUCAAUCCCUACCUCACGGAAGUGCCGAAACACCCUCAAUCUAUCAACAUGAGCGAGGGGAUGUUGCACAUCCGUGAUGUUGAGGGGCCUAAGAAGACCGGAAGCAUGGAGACGAGGCUCGAAGCAAUGGAGCAACAAGUCUUCAAGUGCCAAGGGAUGGUUGAGCGAGGACUCAACGCCAACCACACGAUGAUCAAGGAGUUCACUAGCAAUCACAAGAUGGAUGCCAUUGAUAUUGGGAAACACCUCUCCAGGCUUUACGAUAGGGUUGACCAACUUCAGGACCAGAUCUAUGACCUGCAGAAUCAAAACUGUGAGUAUGAGUACAGAUUUAAAUCAAUAAGGUUGGCUGCAGAUUUGAGGAUUCCGGCGACUCGUUCAUCCUGCCAUGAUGGAGCACCUAUGCCUUGGAAGACGGAGGAUCAGACUGCUCCGACAACAACACCACCAUCACCACCAAAGGAAGACAACUAAGCAUUGGUAUGGGCAAUCCCCUUGGCUUCUGCCAAGCUUGGGGGAGUUGCCCUGGUAUCGUAUCACCCUUAUAUCUUUUGCUUUUACCUUUGUUUUAGUUCUUUCCUUUUCAGUUUUUAUUUCUUCUUUUAGAGGAAUAAGUCUUUAGUUUUUAGUUUGAGUCUUUUGCUUUUGUCUCUCCCCCGAUGUAUUCGAGCUUACGAGCUAUAUAAUAAAGAGUGUCUUAGUCAAGGGCUUUGCUUUGUGCCAUGAUCAAAAGUAUGAAAAGAACAAUAGCAUGAAAGAUCAUGAGACGAUCUUAUGGAAAGUGAUAACUUCACUUAUGACACGUAUGUUGAUUGAAACUUGUUGAGAAUAAAUCAACAUAGACCUCAGUCAUUGUUGCAAUUAAUAAGAAGUAAUAAGGAAAGAGAGGUUCACAUAUAAAUAUAUCAUCUUAGACACUUUUUGCAAUUGUGAGCACUCACCAAACUAUUACAGGCCUAGGAGUAGAUGUUGGACAAGGAAGACAACAUAAUGAAUUGUGUUUGCUUGGUUCCAAACAAUGUUAUAUGAUUAGAGAUCCCUUAGCAUGUGACGAUUGCUUCCACCUCAUAUUAGCCAAAACUCCCGCACCAAGUAGAGAUACUACUUGUGCAUCUAUAAACCUCCAACCCAGUUUUGCCAUGAGAGUCCACCAUACCUACCUAUGGAUUGAAUAAGAUCCUUCAAGUAAGUUGUCAUCGGUGCAAGCAAUAAAAAUUGCUAUCUAAUAUGUAUGAUCUAUUAGUGUGUGGAAAAUAAGCUUUGUACGAACCUGUGAUGAGGAAGACAUAAAAGCGACACACUGGAUAAUAAAGUUCUUUAUCACAGGAGGCAAUAUAAAGUGACGUUCCUCCGCACUAAGAGGACACGCAUUCAAACCUCAAAAGCGCAUGACAACCUCUGCUUCCCUCUACGAAGGGCCUAUCUUGUACCUUUACUUUUUACCCUUGUAAGAGUCAUGGUGAUCUUCACCAAUUCCCUUUUUGCCUUUGUCUUGGCUACCGUCAUAUGCUUUGGAAAGAUCUAUAUUCAUAUAUCAACUUGGAGUUGAGUACUUAUGCUUUAUUGUUGUUGACUUUACCCUUGAGGUAAAUGUUGGGGAACGUCGCAAGGGAAACAAAAAUUUUCCUACGCGCACGAAGACCUAUCAUGGUGAUGUCCAUCUACGAGAGGGGAUGAGUGAUCUACGUACCCUUGUAGAUCGCACAGCAGAAGCGAUGUGAGACCGCGGUUGAUGUAGUGGAACGUCCUCACGUCCCUCGAUCCGCCCCGCGAACAAUCCCGCGAUCAGUCCCACGAUCUAGUACCGAACGGACGGCACCUCCGCGUUCAGCACACGUACAACUCGACGAUGAUCUCGGCCUUCUUGAUCCAGCAAGAGAGACGGAGAGGUAGAAGAGUUCUCCGGCAGCGUGACGGCGCUCCGGAGGUUGGUGAUGAUCUUGUCUCAGCAGGGCUCCGCCCGAGCUCCGCAGAAACACGAUCUAGAGGAAAAACUAUGGAGGUAUGUGGUCGGGCAGCCGUGAGAAAGUCGUCUCAAAUCUGCCCUAAAAGCCCCAUAUAUAUAGGAGGAGGGAGGGGGACCUUGCCUUGGAGUACAAGGGACUCCAAGGGGGUCGGCCGAGCCAGGGGGGAGGACUCUCCCCCCCCAAACCGAGUCCUACUUGGUUUGGUGGGAGGGAGUCCUUCCCCCUUCCCACUUCCUCCCUUUUUUUUCUUUCUUCCUUUGAUUUUUAUUCCUUGGCGCAUAGGAUUUAGUGGGCUGUCCCACCAGCCCACUAAGGGCUGGUGUGACCCCCACAAAAUACCUAUGGGCUUCCCCGGAGUGGGUUGCCCCCCUCCGGUGAACCCCCGGAACCCAUUCGUCAUUCCCGGUACAUUCCCGGUAACUCCGAAAACCUUCCGGUAAUCAAAUGAGGUCAUCCUAUAUAUCAAUCUUCGUUUCCGGACCAUUCCGGAAACCCUCGUGACGUCCGUGAUCUCAUCCGGGACUCCGAACAACAUUCGGUAACCAACCAUAUAACUCAAAUACGCAUAAAACAACGUCGAACCUUAAGUGUGCAGACCCUGCGGGUUCGAGAACUAUGUAGACAUGACCCGAGAGACUCCUCGGUCAAUAUCCAAUAGCGGGACCUGGAUGCCCAUAUUGGAUCCUACAUAUUCUACGAAGAUCUUUAUCGUUUGAACCUCAGUGCCAAGGAUUCGUAUAAUCCCGUAUGUCAUUCCCUUUGUCCUUCGGUAUGUUACUUGCCCGAGAUUCGAUCGUCAGCAUCCGCAUACCUAUUUCAAUCUCGUUUACCGGCAAGUCUCUUUACUCGUUCCGUAAUACAAGAUCCCGCAACUUACACUAAGUUACAUUGCUUGCAAGGCUUGUGUGUGAUGUUGUAUUACCGAGUGGGCCCCGAGAUACCUCUCCGUCACACGGAGUGACAAAUCCCAGUCUUGAUCCAUACUAACUCAACUAACACCUUCGGAGAUACCUGUAGAGCAUCUUUAUAGUCACCCAGUUACGUUGCGACAUUUGAUACACACAAAGCAUUCCUCCGGUGUCAGUGAGUUAUAUGAUCUCACGGUCAUAGGAAUAAAUACUUGACACGCAGAAAACAGUAGCAACAAAAUGACACGAUCAACAUGCUACGUCUAUUAGUUUGGGUCUUAGUCCAUCACGUGAUUCUCCCAAUGACGUGAUCCAGUUAUCAAGCAACAACACCUUGUUCAUAAUCAGAAGACACUGACUAUCAUUGAUCAACUGGCUAGCCAAUUAGAGGCAUGCUAGGGACGGUGUUUUUGUCUAUGUAUCCACACAUGUAAAUGAGUCUUCAUUCAAUACAAUUAUAGCAUGGAUAAUAAACUAUUAUCUUGAUACAGGAAUUAUAAUAAUAACUAUACUUUUAUUAUUGCCUCUAGGGCAUAAUUCCAACAGUAAAUGGUUGCGAGGCAAAACUAUCAGCCCCUAUCUUCCUCUGUGUCCAGCUGAAACUUUGACACCAUGAGUACCACGUGAGUUGUAACAAUUCUGGAAAACAAAAGAGAUGGUUGAGUAUGUGGGUUUGCCUUACAAGCUCUUAUUUGAUUCUUUCUGAUGUUGUGAUAAAUUGCAAUUGCUUCAAUGACUAUGGAAUAUUGUUGGUUACUUCUCGGUAAGGUUUUUGCUUCAUGCUUUGCUUUGUGAAGGAAUUGUUACUUUCCCAUAAGAAUCUUUAUGAUAUAUUGUUGUCUAUGUGUGAUCAUGAUGCCCUCAUGUCCGUAUUAUGUUUUUUCGACACCUUCGUCCCUCAACAUGUGGACAUGUUUAUGGAACUUGGUUUUCGCUUGAGGACAAGCGAGGUCUAAGCUUGGGGAGUUGAUACGUCCAUUUUGCAUCAUGAUUUGAUGUUGAUAUUUAUUGCUUCUUGGGCUGUUAUAUUACUUGUGGUACCAUAUUUAUGCCUUUUCUCUCUUAUUUUGCAAGGAUUAUUUGAAGAGGGAGAAUUCACGCAGCUGGAAUUCUGGACUGGAAAAGGAGCAAAUCCUAGUCCACUAUUCUGCACAUCUCCAAAUGCCCUGAAAAUUUACGUGGAUUUUUUCUGGAAUAUAUUAAAAAUAUUGGGCGAAAGAACUACUGGAGGGGGGCCACCAGGGCCCCACAAGCUUGCCCAACGCCAACCCCCUGGUGGCGUAGGGCAGGCUUGUGGGCUGCCUGAAGGACCACUAGUCCCCCUCUUUUGCUAUAUGAAGCGUCCUGGUCUGGAAAAAAUAAAGAGGGAGUUUUUUCGUGGUUUCGACGCCGCCACGAUCCGGAACUUGAGGAGAUCCAAUCUAGAGCUCCGGCAGGACGAUCCUGCCAGGGAAACUUCCCUCCCGGAGGGGGAAAUCGUCACCAUCGUCAUCACCAACACUCCUCUCGUCGGAGGGGAGGCAUCUUCAUUAGCACCAUAUCCUCUCCAAUCCCUAGUUCAUCUCUUGUAACCAAUCUUCGUCUCGCAACUCCGAUUGGUACUUGUAAGGUUGCUAGUAGUGUUGAUUACUCUUUGUAGUUGAUGCUAGUUGGAUUACUUGGUGGAAGAGUUUAUGUUCAGAUCCUUGAUGCUAUUCAUUACACCUCUGGUCAUGAUUAUGAUUAUGUGUUGUGAGUAGUUACUUUUGUUCCUGAGGACAUGGGAUAAGUCAUGUUAAUAAUAGUCAUGUGAAUUUGAUAUUCGUUCGGUAUUUUGAUAUCAUGUAUGUUGUCUUUUCCUCUAGUGGUGUUAUGUGAACGUCGACUACAUAACACUUCACCAUAUUUGGGCCUAGAGGAAGGCAUUGGGAAGUAGUAAGUAGAUGAUGGAUUGCUGGAGUGACAGAAGCUUAAACCCGAGCCUAUGCGUUGCUUUGUGAGGGGCUGAUUUGGAUCCACUAGUUUAAUGCUAUGGUUAGACUUUGUCUUAAUUCUUCUUUUGUAGUUGCGGAUGCUUGCGAGAGAGGUUAAACAUAAGUGGGAUGCUUGUCCAAGUAAGGGUAGUACCCAAGCGCCGGUCCACCCACAUAUCAAACUAUCAAAGUAACGAACGCGAAUCAUAUGAACAUGAUGAAACUAGCAUGACAGAAAUUCCCGUGUGUCCUCGGGAGCGUUUUUCCUCCUAUAAGAUUUUGUUCAGGCUUGUCCCUUGCUACAAAAGGGAUUGGGCCACUUGCUGCACCGUUGCUACUACUUGUUACUUGUUACUCUUUGCUUGCUACGUUUCACCUCGCUACACAAUCACUUGUUACCGCUAGUUUCAGUGCUUGAAGUUAUUACCUUGCUGAAAUCCGUUUAUCAGAGCCUUCUGCUCCUCGUUGGGUUUGACACUCUUACUUAUCGAAAGGACUACGAUUGAUCCCCUAUACUUGUGGGUCAUCAAGUCAAAUCAUAGUAAACUACAUAUCUUAAUCUUUCUCCGUAAUGACUACACGACUAAGAUACUAAAAGGAAAAUAAAAUCUCAAAUAUGCAUGGCUCAUGAGAUGGGAUAUAUGUUAGAAAUAUUCCCUAUAGGCAAUAAUAAAGUGUUUAUUAUUAUAUUUCCUUGUUCAUGAUAAUCGUUUAUUAUCCAUGCUAGAAUUGUAUUGAUUGGAAACUCAAAUAGAUGUGUGGAUACAUAGACAACUCAGUGUCCCUAGUGAGCCUUUAAGGGACUAGCUCGUUGAUCAAAGAUGGUCAAGAUUUCCUGGCCAUAGACAUGACUUGUCAUUUCAUAAUGAGAUCACAUCACUAGGAGAAUGAUGUGAUGGACAGGACCCAAACUAUGAACGUAGCAUAUGACUGUGUCAGUUUAUUGCUAUUGUUUUCUGCAUGUCAAAUAUUUGUUCCUAUGACCAUGAGAUCAUGCAACUCACUGACACCGGAAGAGUACCUUGUGUGUAUCAAACGUUGCAAUGUAACUGGAUGACUAUAAAGGUGCUCUAUAGGUCUCUCUAAGGGUGUCUGUUGAGUUGGCAUGAAUCAAGACUGGGAUUUGUCGCUCCGUGUGACGGAGAGGUAUCUCAGGGCCCACUCGGUAAUACAUCAUCACAACAAGCUUGCAAGCAAUGUGACUAAAGAAUUAGCCAUGGGAUAUUGUAUUAUGGAACGAGUAAAGAGACUUGCCGGUAACGAGAUUGAACUAGGUAUGCAGAUACCAACGAUCGAAUCUCGGGUAAGUAACAUACUGAUGGACAAAGGGAACAACGUACGAGAUUAAACAAAUCCUUGACAUAGAGGUUCAACCGAUAAAGAUCUGCGUAGAAUAUGUAGAAACCAAUAUGGGCAUCCAGGUCCCACUAUUGGUUAUUGGUCGUAGAGGUGUCUCGGUCAUGUCUACAUAGUUCUCGAACCCGCGGGGUUUGCACACUUAACGUUCGGUGACGUUUUGGUAUUAUUGAGUUAUGUAUGUUGGUGACCGAAGGUUUUUUGGAGUCCCGGAUGAGAUCCUGGAUGUCACGAGGAGCUUCGGAAUGGUCUGGAGGUAAAUAUUUUUGUAUAUGAAAGUGGUAUUCCGGUUCCGGAAAGGUUUCGGGUAUUUCCGGUAGUGUGCGGGGAGUGACGAACGGGUUCUGGGGUCCACUAGGUGCCCCACCCACCCCGAGGGGGCACAUGGGCCCAAGAGGUGGCGCACCAGCCCUUGGUUGGUUGGACAGCCGACCCCAUGAGGGCCCAUGCACCCAAGAGGAAAAAGGUGGAGGGUGGGAGGAGUCCUUGUUGGAGUAGGACUCCUCCCCCGCGCCCCACCUCCUUGUUGGAGGUGGAUUCCACCUCUUGGCCGGCGGCCAAGGCCAUAGGGGGAAACCCUAGGGUGCCUCCUCCCACCCCUUUCUCCUAUAUAUAGUGGAAGUUUGAGGGCAUCCCAACACGUGAAAAGCCACGUGCUGGCCUCUCCUCUCUAGAUCCUCUUUCUCCUCUAGAUUAGUUCGGUAGAGCUCAUCGAAGCCAUGCCGGAUUAGUUCACCACCACCGCCACCACACCGUUGUGCUGUCGGUGAACUCAUCUACCUCCCCGUCCUUGCUUGCUGGAUCAAGGAGGCAGAGAUCAUCAUCGAGCUGUAUGUGUGCUGAACGCGGAGGUGCAGUACGUUCGACACGAGAUAGUGAUUGGAUCAUGGUACGGCUUGCGAUUUGGAUCGCGAAGAUGUUCGACUACAUCAACCGUGUUGCUUUAUGCUUCUCGCUUAGCGAUCUACAAGGGUAUGUGGAUCCGAUCUCUCCUCUCAUAGAUACUCGUCUCCAUGGAUAGAUCUUGCGUGUGCGUAGGAAUUUUUUGUUUCCCAUGCAACAUUCACCAAUAGUGGUAUUAGAGCUAGGUCUACGCAUAGAUAAUAUCAUGAGUAGAACACAAAGGAGUGUGUGGGCGUUGAUAUUCAGAUUGCUUCCAUCCUUAGUCUUUUCUUGAUUCAACAGUUGUAUUCAAAAGAUUUGUCCAUAUGCAUUUCUUGAAGUCCAUAUGUUGUUUUCAAGGAGUUUAUAUGAUGACCAAGGUGGUAUUCAAGGUAUUAUCCAAAGAAUGGUCAUAAAGACAUAUUGUUGAUCAAGACUAAGACAAAGAGUAAAUCAAGAUGAUCAACACACAAAGCGUACAAGAUCAAGUGAUCCCAUGGUAUGGUAAGCAUUAUCCAUAACGCUUUUUGUGUACUAACCCAUGGUCUCCAUGAGAGUUCUAUGUGGGGUUAGGUGUGUUUCCAUGGGUUUGCGUCAAGAGGAACAUCUCAUUCAACCCAUGAAGGAUGGCAUCAAGUGGUGAUCGUCAUCAAGAUUGCGGUGUGCAAGUUCAAGUGGAGCAUCACGAAGAUAUCAUGCUUGAAGCUUGCCGUCCAUUGUGGUGGCAAUGAACUUGUGAAGAUGUGCUGAAGAGUGGCUCACCCAUAGUGAGUAUGGGGGAGAAAUCAACUUGUCUCCAUCAAGCCAACGCAAUCAAGAAAGGUGGUCCAUCUUGAGGAAGUCAAGAUCGUCAUAUUCUAGCUCAAGUGGACUAUGUGCAACGUAUAGGUUUGCUCUUGAUAGAUUUUUCUAUUUUAGGAUAGAUUGUCGUACUGUCAAGGGGGGCUCUCAAGUGAGUAGCUUGAUCAUAUCAUUCGUUGAGAGCUCAAACCAUUUGCACACUUGCAUCAUCUUUCUUGGUUCUUGUUUGGUGGUUCUCUUUGUGAGGUUCAGAGCUUAUGGUCAUCUUUAUGACAAGCUCGAGUUCAUUGAAAACGGAGUUCAUGUGCACUUCUAUGAUGUUUUCAAUGUUCGAGUUUUUGCCGGUUCUUCAUUCAUAGAGGUUUCACAUCUCUAUAUCGUUGGCAUUUUUCAUAACUGCCUCUUCUUAAGUCAUGGCAGUCCUGAAUCCAAUAAGCUUGAGUUUGCUCAAUUCGGGGCUCAUCUGCGGAAGUUAUGGCAGUUCUGGUAUUUCCUAUUUUCUUCCAGCAGUUGUACCGUCCGCCCCCUGGGCGGUUGAACUGGCCCAGCACCGGUUACAACCGAACACGUUUUUGUUGUGCUACGGUGGUUGUACGGUGGUGGCCCGGUUGUACCGCUAUAUUAGUAUAGCCGGUACUACCGGCGUUCUUAGCGGUUGUACCGCUUGGGACUUAGCAGUGCCGAGCAGUCGUGGCAGGUGGAAGCACUAGCCAGCCUUCUUUUGUUGUCCGAUUGUUGAGAGGUGGCUGGUGUUGGAAAUAUGCCCUAGAGGCAAUAAUAAAAUGGUUAUUAUUAUAUUUCCUAGUUCAUGAUAAUUGUCUAUUACUCAUGCUAUAAUUGUAUUAACCGGAAACCGUGAUACAUGUGUGAGUAUAUAGAUCACAAUGUGUCCCUAGUGAGCCUCUAGUUGGCUACAUCGUUGAUCAAUAGAUGAUCAUGGUUUCGUGAUCAUGGACAUUGGAUGUCAUUGAUAACAGGAUCACAUCAUUGGGGAAUGAUGUGAUGGACAAGACCCAAUCCUAAGCAUAUCACUAGAUCGUGUUGUUCGUCUGCUAAAGCUUUCUAAUGUCAAGUAUCAUUUCCUUAGACCAUGAGAUUGUACAACUCCCGGAUACCGUAGGAGUGCUUUGGAUGUACCGAACGUCACAACGUAACUCGGUGAUUAUAAAGGUGCACUACAGGUAUCUCCGAAAGUGUCUGUUGGGUUGUACGAAUCGAGACUGGGAUUUGUCACUCCGUGUGACGGAGAGGUAUCUCUGGGCCCACUCGGUAAUUCAUCAUCAUAUUGAGCUCAGUGUGACUAAGGAUUUAGCCACGGGAUUAUGUGUUAUGGAACGAGUAAAGAGACUUGCCGGUAACGAGGUUGAAGAAGGUAUAGGGAUACCGACGAUCGAAUCUCGGGCGAGUAUCAUACGGAUAGACAAAGGGAAUUGCAUACGGGAUUGAUCGAAUCCCCGACAUCGUGGUUCAUCUGAUGAGAUCAUCGUGGAACAUGCAGGAACUAACAUGCAUAUCCAGACCCUGUUGUUGGUUAUUGACCGGAGAGGUGUCUCGGUCAUGUUUGCAUGCUUCUUGAACCCGUAGGGUCUACACACUUAAGGUUCGAUGACGCUAGGGUUAUAGGGGAAUAGUAUACGUGGUUACCGAAGGUUGUUCGGAGUCCCGGAUGAGAUCCCGAACGUCACGAGGAGUUCCGGAAUGGUCUGAAGGUAAAGAUUCAUAUAUAGGAAGUGAGGAUUUGGUCACCGGAAGUGUUUCGGGCGACAUCGGUAAUGUACCGGGACUACCGGAAGGGUUUCGGGGGUCCACCGACAAGGACCACCAGCCCCAAGUUGCUACAUGGGCCAAAAGUGGGAGGGAACCAUCCCCUAAAUGGGCUGGUGCGCCUCCACAACCAGCCCAAGGCGCAGCAAGGGGUGGAGGGGCAAACCCUAGGCGUGGGAGGCCACCUUGGGCCUCAAGGCCCAACCCUAGGGCGCCUCCACCACCUUGACCGCCGCCCCUAAGCCAUCUAGGGCUGCCGCAUCCUUAGGGUGGGAAAACCUAAGGGUGGGGCACCACCCUCCUCCCUCUCCUUCUAUAUAUAGUGGAGUUUUUAGACAGAUUUGAGACAAGAAUUCUCUCUCUUGGUGCAGCCCUACACCUCCUCCUCCUCGUCCUUCAUAGAGCUUGGCGAAGCAUGUUGUACUACCUAGAUGGAUUAAUCAAUGUGCUUCCUUGUUUUCUUGAUGUGCCGUUAUGCAUCUUCUUUCCUGACUCAUAGUAUUUUUUGUGUGUGUGCUGAUGGCUGCAAUUAUAUCUAAUACAAGUUGUCCUGCUUGUGGUGGUUGCCCACAUGCCAACAACGCAUGGGAAUGGAUGUCUUCACCGAGUGGUGGGUCUCAAAGUGCAAACUAGGACUAUCUUAUAUCUUAUCUUAUAUUUACUAAUUAGAUGCAUUAUAAGAGCUUUCACGUUAAUUCACGUCAUUAAAAAUAUCUUUACUGUCCAAUCUAUGUAAUUGAUCUAUCUUAGCCCUAGGAUUAACGUUACUGUUGCAGGGAAAAAUAAAAGAUCAAACUGGUCAAAUCUACACGUAAACCUAAACACGUUAAUCCCUACCAUGCGCCACAAAAAAGGGCUCCAGGAUAGUUAUCCCUUAGAGUUCUAGAGGCUCACGUCUUGUAUACUCAAAUAAAAAUUGGCUAGGCACAAAAAAAAGCCUCCACGUUUUUUCUCUUUUAGAGUCCUAGAGGCUCACGUUUUGUACUCCAAUUCAAAUUCGCUAGGCAAAAAAAGGCCUCCAGCAAAUCAAGCUAGGUAAAAAAAAUUGAAUACCAUCACAUACGCAACCCAUCCAGCUCACGUACAUGCCCAAGCUCGUGAAGACCUUCCUCCAUGACGCCUCCAGCCUCAUCCGGUGACCUCUCUCGCUCUCUCGCUCACAGAUAUAAUUCAUUUUGAUCUGUCUCUAAAUUUUGUAUUGCUGAUGAAGUCGCGGGCUUAUGGCAGCCAAGUCGCCCAUAGCCAAGAUUUGUACACAGGGUUUAGAACUGCAUAUGUACGUCCACUUGCGCGUUAACAGUCAACACAUAAUUUAUCUCAUAAAAGCUGGAACUUUUGAUUUGGUGGAUGUAUGCAUAGACAUGAAUACAAUGGAUCCAUGAGAUGGCCGCUAAGGUCUGAUGGCACUACAAGCUACUAAGACAUGUGAACGUACUAAUUGUUUUGUUACUUUGUAACCUUUUUUUACAACUGCAUCAUUUGUAAUACAUUGGCUAGGCUAGAGGUGAACGACGAGCAGGCCCUUCGUCGUGGAGUCCUCCUUUGUUGUCUCUGCCUAUAUAAGUUUGAUUGUUCGACACUCAUAUUUUUUUUUUUUUUUUAGAAAAGGAGGAUGACCUCCGGCCUCUGGAAGAUGCAUGCAGCCAUUUUAUUAAUUAUUCAUAAAGAUCUUACAAAGCAAUACAUCAAUAUAUCUGAAGCCGCUCUCUUGACAAUAUUUGUCGGUACUCCUAUCCAAUGAUGAAGGGGUGCAGAAAGUGUGAGCCACAUACCCAGACCUCUCACCUAGCCUAACAUCUAAAGCCGGAGGCCCCGACCGAGCCACAUACCGGGUCAGGGACACAAACCGGUCCAACGCACCCUCAUAGGUCGUCGCCGCCGCUUACCAUCAAUCCAUCUUCAGAAGAGUUACUGACGCAUCGACCUUGCAAGGCCUGCCGUCGAUGCCCCCACGGCGCCAGACAGCGCCUCCUCCCUACGCGCGCUCAUCAUCACACAUCUGUCGCCGAGACUUUGCCGCGCCUUGCCGCCGAGACUACACGACGUCGAUGUGUCACAAGAAACGCCGCUCCACCGUAGAUGCCGACCAAUGAUCCCUCGAGCCCGUGUGUACCUCCAUGAAUGACGCCCCCAAGAGGGAAACGACACCAGAGCGUCGCCGUCAUCCGAUCUACUGAUCUAGGGUUUCCCCCGGAGGUAGCAAAGAGUGGCCCUGAACUUCUCCUCGGCGAUGCCUUCAGGAAGGAACGACGUAGACAACGCCGCCAUCGCCGGCUUUGGCAGUAGCCGAAAGCAAGCUUUUACCUAGAUCUGUUCGAAGAACCCAUCUCUCCUGCACGGACCACCACAUCCUGCGACGUCCCCGGGAGCGGGAUCCCAAGAUCCGCCGCCACCGGCAACGCCACAAGGACCCACCACCUGACCGUCAUCCCUGAUGAAGGGGAUGGCGCCACCACCUUGAUCCAGCAUCAUCCGAGGAGGAGAACCGAUCUGGGGUUGUGAACCCCAGAUCCGUCGGCAACCCCCGCAGCGCCGCUAGGAUCCCAUCGAGCAGCCGCCCGAGCGCGCCAACUCCGCCUCCAUGUCGUACGCCCAGGGACGCCGUCGCAUCUCAGCCAGAGGAUCCCCUCGUGAAGAAGGGAUAUUAAAAUAUAUACAUUUCAUUUUUUCUAUAUUUUCGUAUUUUCCACCUGCAUUAAGUUCGAUCUGCUUCUAAAUUCCUUAUAAUGUUUCAUUUGUAAUGGUCCAGCAUAGCUUGAGCAAGAAUGUGUGUAUAUCUGAUAUUUUUUUAUUGCAAAAACUAGAAUUUGCACCAAGUGAUUUACAACAAUAAUUAAUAUCAAAUGUAUAAUUCGGUACACAUUUAUAUGUAAAUACAACUCUUAAAGUUGCAUCUUUUUUCCAUUUAAAAUAUCAUGUAUAUUUGGACGACAAGAUAAUAUAUUUUGUUUUUUAUUUCUUCAAAAUACAUCAAGAUUUACUCUCUGCCGAUUCUUUAGUGUCGUCCUAAUUGUUUUCAAAGUAAUAAUCUCAUAUGUACAUUUUGUGUUUUUAAUUUCACUCUUUAGAUGUGAUAUCAACCUUUGAGGACAUCCCAAGGUGUACAUGCAAAAAUUUCUACACCAUCAACAUAUUCUUGCAUCCAGAUGCUCUAUAUUUGUUAAGUGCAUAAUAUUCUAUGUUUCUAAUUGCGAUAUCUUAAGCUAAGAAAUCAUAUGUUCCUAACAUUGGUUAUAACAAUGAUUAAUACACAUCGCCAAAAAAUAAUUAAUACAACUUCUUUGGAUAUUAGUUUUCACACUCCCUGGUAAAGCGGGGCAUAUUUCCCAAUUAAAAUGAUUAGUGGUAUGAGGGGAGUUUGCUUAGCACAAAUAUAAUUGCCACAAUACACGCUGCAGGAGAAAAAUAAUAAUAAACUUAGCAAAUUAGGAACUAAUCUCCUGCAUUCUCUAAGCACUCACAUAAUUUCAAAUAUGUUUAGACAUAUAUAAUAUAAUUAUUUCAUUGUUAGCAUAUCCUACGAAUAGGCUUAUAUUUUUAACUAAAACUUAAUAAUGCAAGACCCAUUAAUAUAUAAUUAUUAAAUCAGUACCAUCACAUCUUAUUGAACAUAUUGACUCAAGAAGUCAAAACUAAAUUAUUUGUUGUAAAUUUGUAAUAACUACUAGCCCGUGCUGGUGCACAGGUUGAUGACUAGUAUAGCUAACGGUAUAUGGAUGGUAAUGUACCAUUAUAAUGGUGAUUUCACUUUUAUUUGUCCCGCUUCGACUUCUGUAACUGACUUUUUAUGCAUGUCGUCCUUGCUUGCAGGAACACAAUUAAUGAGUACAACAAUGGGUGUAAAAGAGUAUCUGAGAGUGAAUUUGAUAAAGUAGAAGCACAUAUUGGAAACACAAAGAUGAACCCUUUUCCAUGGUACUAUACCAUUUGAUGAUUUCCUACGGGCAUUCGGAGUACUAAGAUCAAGGGGUUUCUCAAAGAUCCAUGGAUAUAGGCUUGCCUUCAUACCAUUUGCCGACCUGGUAAGAUCUUUGAACACAGAAUAUGCCUACAUGGUCAAAUGUUAUUUGUCCAAAAGGCUCCAAAAAGGCUCCAAGUCAAUUCACAUUAUUCCGAUGGGUAUAAAUGUAAUAUUGAUGAUUAGGUUGUCAUGGUACCCAUUCGUUUUUUUGUCAGAGUUUGCUUUCAUGUGCUUUCCCAGUCAAUGCAUAAUACAUCUAUAUUGUAGGAACAUAAUCAGUUAUAAUCAUUUUGAUACUUUGACAAAUCAGGUAAACCACUAUGGUGAUAUUACGUGAAAAGAAUCAUGGUCCCAUAUUUCUUUUGUGAAAUGAAUAGGUAUUUUUGGUAGUAUAGAAUAAGGUGAUGGGUUAUAUACACUAAUUUUGAGUAUGAUAAAAUAUUGGGUGAUCCUGAAUUAAAAGAAAGACGAACUAGAGCAACAUUUCUUCCAAUAACAAGAUCAUUAACAAAUAUAACUACUUUCAGUUAAGAUUCUUGUUGAUAUGGAAUGCAAAUAGUGAUUUCUUCUAGGUAUGAUAUAAGGCCAUUAGUACAUAGCUCACUAAUUCCUCGAAGAAUAUGUCAACGAGCAACACCAUUUAUUGAAGGGAACGUAUUCUUGAAAGGUCCUUUGCGUUUGUUAUCGUCUCGCUUUCAUUAUCGAAGCACAUUCAACACAUUUUCUGUAUGGCAGCAGAGAGCACGUGAGACCAUUCGAAAAGGUGUUGAAUAUGGAUGACUCACUCGAGUCCAUGAGGAAGUGAGUUCAAUGAUUUAUUCUUGUUUGUUACGAGUGUGAUUAUCUUUGUUCUAUUUGGCUUUUUAUACCAUUAAAAUCCAUGCUAUUCGUACCAUGACUUGUAAAAAUCGUUGAUGAAAAACUUUCUAUGAGUCAUUUUCAGUAUUUAUACGUGUUGUAGGUAAAGGGCAUAGAUUCACAACUUAUUAUAUAUGUCUAUUAGGAAUAAAAGUUCCCUCAAAAUGUGACAAAACAAAUGCUCAUCUGAAACCCUCGUGAUUUAGGUACCAUCUGCACCUUUGCAUUUUUCUUAUUUAACCAUAUCCUAUUAAAUAUUAUGUAUCUUGCUAAUGUUAUAUAUUUGGUCGCUUAUAUGAUGUAUGUUUGGUCAUUGCUCUAGCCUCAAAUCCAAGAAAUGUUUAUGCUUAUAUGUUGCUUUAAAGUCCAGUAAUCAAACAAAUAACUUUGAUGCAUGUCCAUGCCUUACAAUUUCACUUGCAUCCAAUAAAAAUAAUUUUGACACUUGUUGUCUUGAUGUGCUGUGAUAACCCACAAGUAUAUGGGAUCGCAAUAGUUUUCGAGCGUAGAGUAUUCAACCCAAAUUUAUAGAUUUGACACAAGGGGAGCCAAAGAAUAUUUGCAUGUAUUAGCAGCUGAGUUGUCAAUUCAACCAUACUUGGAGAUUCAGUAUCUGCAAGACAGAAUCAGUAGCACAGUAACAUGAUAGUUUUGAUAGAAGUGGUAACAAUAGUAAUAGUAACGGUAACACUAAUAGUAGUUUUGUAGCAGUUGUAAAAAUAGUAGCAACAAUAUUAACUUAGCAAGAACAAUAUGUGGAAAACUCAUAGGCACUGGAUCAGUGAUAUUGCUCGAUAAUAUUCAUCGUAUAUGAGCCAUAACAGAGGGCAACACAAAACUAGCUCCCGUUCAUUGAUAUAAUGUAGGCAUGUAUACCGUAUAUAGUCAUACGUGCUUAUGGAAAGAACUUGCAUGACAUCUUUUGUCCUACCCUUCCAUGGUAGUGUUGGAAAUAUGCCCUAGAGGCAAUAAUAAAAUGGUUAUUAUCAUAUUUCCUUGUUCAUGAUAAUCGUCUAUUGUUCAUGCUAUAAUUGUAUUAACAGGAAACAGUAAUACAUGUGUGAAUAAAUAGAUCACAAUGUGUCCCUAGCAAGCCUCUAGUGGGCUAGCUCGUUAGUCAAUAGAUGAUCAUGGUUUCCUGAUCAUGGGCAUUAGAUGUCAUUGAUAACGGGAUCACAUCAUUGGGAGAAUGAUGUGAUGGACAAGACCCAAUCCUAAGCAUAGCACUAGAUCGCAUUGUUCGUAUGCUAAAGCUUUUCUAAUGUCAAGUGUAUUUUCCUUCGACCAUGAGAUUGUGCAACUCCCGGAUACCGUAGGAGUGCUUUGGGUGUAUCAAAAGUCACAACGUAACUGGGUGACUAUAAAGGUGCACUACGGGUACCUCCGAAAGUGUCUGUUGGGUUGGUACGAAUCGAGAUCGGGAUUUGUCACUCCGUGUGACGGAGAGGUAUCUCUGGGCCCAGUCGGUAGAAUAUCAUCAUGAGCUCAAUGUGACUAAGGAGUUAGUCACACGAUGACGUGCUACGGAACGAGUAAAGAGACUUACCGGUAACGAGAUUGAACAAGGUAUAGGUAUACCGACGAUCGAAUCUCGGGUAAGUUCUAUACCGACAGACAAAGGGAAUCGUAUAUGGGAUUGAUUGAAUCCUUGACAUCGCGGUUCAUCCGAUGAGAUCAUCGUGGAGCAAGUGGGAGCCACCAUGGGUAUCCAGACCCCGCUGAUGGUUAUUGGCCAGAGAGGUGUCUCGGUCAUGUCUGCCUGUCUCCCGAACCCGUAGGGUCUACACACUUAAGGUUCGAUGACGCUAGGGUUAUAGGGAAUUGUUAUACGAGGUUACCGAAAGUUGUUCGGAGUCCCGGAUGAGAUCCCGGACGUCACGAGGAGCUCCAGAAUGGUCCGGAGGUAAAGAUUGAUAUAUAGGACGGAUGGUUUCGGAUAGCGGAAGUGUUUCAGGCAUCACCGGUAACGUACCGGGACCACCGGGACCACCGGAGGUGGCCCCGGGGGACCAUCGAAGGGGGGCAACGACCCCGGGAGGUAAGGUGGGCCAAGUGGGGGUGGGAACCAGCCCCUAGGUGGGCUGGUGCGCCUCCCCACUCAGCCCAAUGCGCAGGGGAGAGAAAGGGGGGGGCAAACCCUAAGCCAGGUGGGCCUAAGGCCCACCAGAUGGUGCGCCACCCCCUCCUCCCCCCUCUGGCCGCCGCACCUCCCAUCUGGGGGGGCUGCCACACCCCCUAGUGUGGGAACCCUAGGGGUGGCACCCCCUCUCCCCUCCCCCUAUAUAUAGUGGGCACUUUUGGCCAUUGGAGAUCAGAUUUUUGCCUCUCCCUCGGCGCAGCCCUGCCCUUCUUCCUCCUCCUCUCUGCCGGUGCUUGGCGAAGCCCUGCCGGGAGACCUCGUCUCUCCAUCGACACCACGCCAUCAUGCUGCUGGAGUUCUUCCCAACCUCUCCCUCCUCCUUGCUGGAUCAAGGUGCGGGAGACGUCACCGGGCUGCACAUGUGUUGAACGCGGAGGUGCCGUAGUUCGGCACUAGAUCGGAAUCGCUGCGAGUACGACUCCAUCAACCGCGUUCUAGCAACGCUUCCGCUUAGCGAUCUUCAAAGGUAUGAAGAUGCUCUUACCCCUUUCGUGUUGCUGGUCUCUUCAUAGGAAGAUCUGAAUAUGCGUAGGAAAAUUUUGAAUUUAUGCUACGUUUCCCAACAGUGGCAUCCGAGCCAGGUUUUCUAUGCGUAGAUUCUAUGCACGAGUAGAACACAAAAGUUGUGGGCGAUGAUUUGUCAAUUUGCUUGCCGCUACUAGUCUUAUUCUUUUCCGGCGGUAUUGUGGGAUGAAGCGGCGUGAGACUGGUUCCACCGACAGACAUGCACACCGUGCAUAAAGGUGGCUAGCGGGUGUCUGUCUCUCCUACUCUAGUCGGAUUGGAUUAGAUGAAAAGGGUCCUUAUGAAGGGUAAAUAGCUUUGGCAUAUCAUCGUUGUGGCUGUCACGUAGGUAAGAAGGCGUUCUUGCUAUAAACCCAAAUCAGCCAUGUAAAACUUGCAACAACAAUUAGAGGACGUCUAACUUGUUUUUGCAGGGUUUGACAUGUGAUGUGAUAUGGCCAAAGUUGUGAUGUUGCAUGUAUGAUGUAUGAGAUGAUCAUGUUAUUGUAAUAUGUUUCACGACUUGCAUGUCGAUGAGUAUGACAACCGGCAGGAGCCAUAGGAGUUGUCUUAAUUUAUUGUAUGAGAUGCAACGCCAUGUGCUUACUACUUUUACUUCAUUGCUAACGGUUAGCUAUAGUAGUAGUGAUAGUAGUAGUUGGCUUGACGACUUCACGGAGACACGAUGAUGGAGAUCAUGAUGAUGGAGAUCAUGGUGUCACGCCGGUGACGAUGAUGAUCAUGCGAUGCCUGAAGAUGGAGAUCGAAAGAGCAAAGAUGAUAAUGGCCAUAUCAUGUCACUAUAUGAUUGCAUUGUGAUGUUUAUCAUGUUUUACAUCUUAUUGCUUAGCACGACGGUAGCAUAAUAAGAUGACCCCUCUUAAAAUUUUGAGAACGUAUUCCCCUAAGUGUGCACCGUUGCGAAGGCUCGUUGUCUCGAAGCACCACGUGAUGAUCGGGUGUGAUAGAUUCUAACGUUCGCAUACAACGGGUGUAAGCGAGAUUUACACACGCGAAAUACCUAGGUUGACUCGACGAGCUUAGCAUGUACAGACAUGACCUCAAAUACAAGAGACUGAAAGGUCGAACAUGAGUCGUAUGGUUGAAUAUGAUCAGCAUGAAGUUGCUCACCAUGGUGACUAGUCCGUCUCACGUGAUGAUCGGACACGGGUUAGUCAACAUGGAUCAUGUAUCACUUAGAUGACUAGAGGGAUGUCGAUUUAAGUGGGAGUUCAUACUUAAUUUGAUUAAAUGAACUUAAUUGUCAUGAACUUAGUCUAAAAGUUGUCUUUAUAAAUAUUGUAGAUGGCCAACGUCAACCUCAAUUUCAACGCAUUCCUAGAGAAAAACAAGCUGAAAGAUGAUGGUAGCAACUAUGCGGACUGGGUUCGCAACUUGAAGCUCAUCCUUGAAGCAGCUAAAAAGGCGUAUGUCCUUGAUGCGCCGCUAGGUGACCCUCCCGCUCCCGCAGCAGCCCAGGACAUUCUGAACGUCUGGCAAACGCAGAGUGAUGACUACUCUCUGGUUAGCUGUGGAAUGUUAUACAGUUUAGAAACGAGGCUCCAAAGGCGUUUUGAGCAACACAGAGCAUAUGAGAUGUUCCAGGAGCUGAAGCUAGUUUUUCAAGCUCAUGCCCGUGUCGAGAGAUAUGAAGUCUCCGACAAGUUCUUUAGCUGUAAGAUGGAGGAGAACAGUUCUGUCAGUGAGCACAUACUCAAAAUGUCUGGGUUACACGGUCGUCUAACUUCACUUGGAGUCGAACUUCCGAAUGAUGCUAUAAUUGACAGAAUCGUCCAGUCUCUCCCACCAAGCUACAAAGGCUUUGUGCUUAACUACAACAUGCAAGAGAUGGAGAAGACCAUUCCCGAGUUGUACUCGAUGCUCAAGUCUGCAGAAGUAGAAAUCAAGAAAGAGCAUCAAGUGUUGAUGGUCAACAAGACCACUAGUUUCAAGAAAGGCAAGGGUAAGAAGAACUUCAAGAAAGACGGCAAAGCUGUUGCCGCGCCUGGUAAGCCAGAUGCCGGGAAGAAGAAACAGAAUGGACCCAAACCUAAGACUGAGUGCUUCUAUUGCAAGGGAAAAGGUCACUGGAAGCGGAACUGCCCCAAAUACUUAGCGGACAAGAAGGCCGGCAAUGUUAAAGGUAUAUGUGAUAUACAUGUUAUUGAUGUGUACCUUACCAGCGCUCGUAGUAGCUCCUAGGUAUUUGAUACCGGUGCUGUUGCUCACAUUUGCAACUCAAAGCAGGAACUGCGGAAUAAGCGGAGACUGGCCAAGGACGAGGUGACGAUGCGCGUGGGGAAUGGUUCCAAAGUCGAUGUGAUCGCCGUCGGAAUGCUACCUCUACAUCUACCGUCGGGAUUAGUUUUAAACCUUAAUAAUUGUUAUUUAGUACCAGCUUUGAGCAUGAAUAUUGUAUCAGGGUCUUGCUUAAUGCGAGACGGCUACUCAUUUAAGUUAGAUAAUAAUGGUUGUUCUAUUUAUAUGAGUGAUAUGUUUUAUGGUCAUGCUCCACUGGUGAAUGGUUUAUUCUUGAUGAAUCUCGAUCGUGAUGUUACACAUAUUCAUAGUGUGAGUACCAAAAGAUGUAAAGUUGAUAAUGAUAGUCCCACGCGCAUGCUGAAUUCAUCAACGUACUGGGCCACAGAGCGAUUCCCCUGGCGUAAGUUGCGAAACCCACGCUUCUUCAGACUCAUUGCACUAGCUGAGACAUGUGCGGUGCGGAAGGCUUGCUUGAAUUUCUCCCAAGUGACUCCAGCAAUGGGAUAAGUGGUGGUGUAGUUCUCCCACCAAGCAGCUGCAGGGCCUCCAAGUUGAUGCGCGGCAAAACGCACCUUCUCAGCUUCCGUACAACCAGCAGUGAUAAGUUCACGCUCCAUCUUGCGGAGCCAAUCAUCUGCCUCAAUGGGCUCAAUGCUGCUGGAGAAAGUUGGAGGGUUCAACCUCAGAAAACGGGUGAGAUUGUCGGCCUGGGGUGGGUGACGGUUGUUGUUCUGGUUCUGGAUGAUCAGCUGCAUCAGGGUGUUUUGUUGCUGGAUCAACUGGGUGAGUUCCGGCGGAAAGUUGGACUCAGGGGCGCGUCUCGGGGGCAUCUGAUGUUUGUGGAGGGGUGAGAUUAGCAUAGAACAAUGGUCUAAGAGGAAUUACGCUACCCAUAUGAAUGCAACACACUAGUAUCACACCACACAUUUUAUUCAAUAUCAUCAGAAAGGUUCACACGAGGAUACAAAAUUCAAUAAUCCUAAACAUCGGCCUAAAACGUAAAACGAUAAAGUAAAUUUGGUGGUCUAGUCUAAGUGUCCUCCUCAGAAAAGCAUGGUGACGGGUCCUUCGGUGGAGCUUUCUUCAUAGUCCUCGUCGUUGCUGAUCAAAGGGGCUACAUCUCCUUCGGGAUGAAGGUUCUCGCCCAUGUCCAGUUCCUCCUCCAGGUAUGCAACUCGAGUCUUCAGCUUCUCGAUCCGCUCCAGAAAGUCCUUCACCUCCAGUUCGUGCUCAUAGUGGGCUUCCCGGGCAGCUUCUUCGAGUUCAAGCUCGCGGAGUGACAGUUGCUUGAUCUUCCUGGCGUCCUUGAUCACAUGAUGCUCUAGAGUCCCGAUGUACUUCUCCAAGGUCUGAGCAUAAGACAAGAGAGCGUCCUUGGUCUUGCUUGAGAUGAUUUCUCAGUCUUCGUUUCUCCGGGAUACGGUGAAUAAGUCUGGAGAAAUAGGGCAGCCUUUGUAUUCUUCCUUGAUACAUCCGAGUGCACAAUGGAUCGCCAUGUCCCUUCCGAGAAUCCAGUUGGGUGCGAUGAACUUGAAAUCCAUCGGCUCAGUGCGCGGCUGGAAUAUCCCUCCGGGAAUGUGCACCUCGAUCCUGUAGCGUGAAUCCUCCGGGUAAGACGAAGUUGGCUUCCCUGUGAUAGUCGGCAGAGCAAUCCUCAAAUCCUUGGUGAUCUGCACCAGCUCUUUUCCGAACGCUAUAGUGGUGUCGGGCUGGCAAAACUCCGUGAACUUAACAGGGAUGAAGGUGGCCAUCUAAACAUUGGAAAAUCGGAGAGAAGUCAGAAAUGAUCAGAAGAGGAAAUAGAAGAUUUAUAGACAUAAGAGAAAAUAGUUUUCUUCCUAAGGCUUUUCCAUUCCUAGAGGUUACGUCCUAAGGUCAGCGUGUGCUCUGAUACCAUUUCUGUAGCGACCCGACUCAAGACGAGUCAAGCCUCUGGUGUUUCUGUACCAUCCCAAGAUCAUGCUGGUACACACACAGUACAUAAUGUAUAUAUUCAAGAGUGCAAUCACACAGCUUUAUUAAUCGAAUCUCAUAAAGAGUACUUUAUUACAAUAAAGGAUUACAAUAAAGUGGCUGAAGGCCAACUCAUGAGAUUAUCUAACGAAGACUAGCGGAAGCAUCAGGUAGACGAGUCCAUCCGACUCCAAGGGCAUGUCGCUGAGCGUAGAUCGUAGCCUUACUCCUGGUCGGAAAAGUACUCUGCAACAUGAUACGUUGCAGCCGUGUAGGUCAGCAUAUUGAAUAUGCCGGCAAGUCAUCAAGGAGAGGGGUAAAAUAACAAUCAACUAUCUCUACAUGCAUAUUUGGCCGGUGGAGCUAAGUUUUGCAUAAAGCCAGUUUUAUCCUACAACAAAAGGGGUUGAAAGCAAAAUAUUACUACAAUGUUUGUUGUUAACAAGAUGGUUCCGCCAACCAAUUCUCGUACCCGAAUAGUUGUUAACACCCACAUCAUUAUUAAGUUGUGUCGAGAGUUCAGGGGAAAUUCAAUGCCUUCGGCUCAAGUUGUCCAUGACCGUGGACACGGCUAAUCGAUUACGUUGGGCACUCUGCAGAGUUUUGCACACGUUCCCCACAAGAUUUGAUCGCCUCCGGGUUUGUCCUCGCACUUCAGGGUGUUUGAAGACCGGAUGAUCAAAACAUGGUCUUUCAACGGGUCCCUCUGAAUCCCUGUCGGUGCCCAUCCAUUCCUACCGUUCGUCUACAUCUGCUAGCACCGCCUGUCCAGAGUCGCCGCGUUGUCCAACCAAGCCAGAGCCCAUAAUGACUUGUGGCUGUGCAGGUAAGGCUUGAGUCUUGAAGUCUCCGUCCGUCUCUUCGAGCCUGGGUGAAGCUUUCCACAGGAUGACAUGGCCUCUCCAGCAUCCCGGGCAUCCACUGGGUUCUCCAGGGAGCCGAUCAACCGUCCUUCACCCAGAGUUGCAUUUGCGUCCGAGGUCUUGAAAAUCUUGUCUUAGCCGGUCUUGAUUAUUAUAUCAACCUCACAUCACUCGUGGUAUACACUCAACCGAUCACCCGUCUACUCAAGCAUAGCAUUUAGAAAUUGUCCUUCUCCGAGAGGGAGGCGGGGUCCUCCUCCGAGAGGGAGGCGGCGGUGGAGCGAAGGGGGCUCGGGGGGAGGGGGUUCCCAGGGCUGUGCCGAAGGUGCAGUAGCUUGCACCGGCGGCAGCAGUGGCGAGGGGACGGGCGGCGGCGGUCCAACGGGUUAGGGUUGGGAAGGGGUCGGCUGAGGUGGGGGGUAUAUAUAGGCUAGGAGGGGGGGGGGUUGCUAAGGAAGGUGAGGGAGAAACGGGAAGAAAAUCGCGGCUGGGAGGAGCUCGGUUUCGGUCUGCAGAGGAAAGGAAAGAGAGGAAGGAAGGAAGGAGAAGGNNNNNNNNNNNNNNNNNNNNNNNNNNNNNNNNNNNNNNNNNNNNNNNNNNNNNNNNNNNNNNNNNNNNNNNNNNNNNNNNNNNNNNNNNNNNNNNNNNNNCUAGAGGCAAUAAUAAAUAUAGUUAUUAUUAUAAUUCCUGUAUCAAGAUAAUCGUUUAUUAUCCAUGCUAUAAUUGUAUUGAAUGAAGACUCAUUUACAUGUGUGGAUACAUAGACAAAACACUGUCCCUAGCAAGCCUCUAGUUGGCUAGCCAGUUGAUCAAAGAUAGUCAGUGUCUUCUGAUUAUGAACAAGGUGUUGUUGCUUGAUAACUGGAUCACGUCAUUAGGAGAAUCACGUGAUGGACUAGACCCAAACUAAUAGACGUAGCAUGUUGAUCGUGUCAUUUUGUUGCUACUGUUUUCUGCGUGUCAAGUAUUUAUUCCUAUGACCAUGAGAUCAUAUAACUCACUGACACCGGAGGAAUGCUUUGUGUGUAUCAAACGUUGCAACGUAACUGGGUGACUAUAAAGAUACUCUACAGGUAUCUCCGAAGGUGUUAGUUGAGUUAGUAUGGAUCGAGACUGGGAUUUGUCACUCCGUGUGACGGAGAGGUAUCUCGGGGCCCACUCGGUAAUGCAACAUCACACACAAGCCUUGCAAGCAAUGUAACUUAAUGUAAGUUGCGGGAUCUUGUAUUACGGAACGAGUAAAGAGACUUGCCAGUAAACGAGAUUGAAAUAGGUAUACGGAUACUGACGAUCGAAUCUCGGGCAAGUAACAUACCGAAGGACAAAGGGAAUGACAUACGGGAUUAUACGAAUCCUUGGCACUGAGGUUCAAACGAUAAGAUCUUCGUAGAAUAUGUAGGAUCCAAUAUGGGCAUCCAGGUCCCGCUAUUGGAUAUUGACCGAGGAGUCUCUCGGGUCAUGUCUACAUAGUUCUCGAACCCGCAGGGUCUGCACACUUAAGGUUCGACGUUGUUUUAUGCGUAUUUGAGUUAUAUGGUUGGUUACCGAAUGUUUUUCGGAGUCCCAGAUGAGAUCACGGACGUCACGAGGGUUUCCGGAAUGGUCCGGAAACGAAGAUUGAUAUAUAGGAUGACCUCAUUUGAUUACCGGAAGGUUUUUGGAGUUACCGGGAAUGUACCGGGAAUGACGAAUGGGUUCCGGGAGUUCACCGGGGGGGGGGGGGCAACCCACCCCGGGGAAGCCCAUAGGCCUUUGGGGAGACACAUCAGCCCUUAGUGGGCUGGUGGGACAGCCCACAAGUGCCCUAUGCGCCAAGGAGAAGAAAAUCAAGAGAGAAAGAAAAAAAAGGAGGAGGUGGGAAGGAAGGGGGACUCCCUCCCACCAAACCUAGUCCAACUCAGUUUGGGGGGGGGGGGUCCUCCCCCUUGGACUCGGCCGACCCCCUUGGGGCUCCUUGAGCCCCAAGGCAAGGCCCCCUCCCUCCCACCUAUAUAUACGGAGGUUUUAGGGCUGAUUUGAGACGAUUUUUUUUCCACGGCAGCCCGACCACAUACCUCCACGGUUUUCCUCUAGAUCGCGUUUCUGCGGAGCUCGGGCGGAGCCCUGCUGAGACAAGGUCAUCACCAACCUCCGGAGCGCCGUCACGGUGCCGGAGAACUCUUCUACCUCUCCGUCUCUCUUGCUGGAUCAAGAAGGCCGAGAUCAUCGUCAAGCUAUACGUGUGCUGAACGCAGAGGUGCCGUCCGUUCGGUACUAGAUCGUGGGACUGAUCGCGGGAUUGUUCGCGGGGCGGAUCGAGGGACGUGAGGACGUUCCACUACAUCAACCGCGUUUUCUAACGCUUCUGCUGUACGGUCUACAAGGGUACGUAGAUCACUCAUCCCCUCUCGUAGAUGGACAUCACCAUGAUAGGUCUUCGUGCGCGUAGGAAAAUUUUUGUUUCCCAUGCGACGUUCCCCAACAGUGGUAUCAGAGCUAGGUUCAUGCGUAGAUGUCUUCUCGAGUACAACACAAAAGUUUUUGUGGGCGGUGAUGUGCGUUUUGCUGCCCUCCUUAGUCUUUUCUUGAUUCCACGGUAUUGUGGAUUGAAGCGGCUUGGACCGACAUUACUCGUACGCUUACGAGAGACUGGUUUCAUCGUUACGAGUAACCCCCUUUGCUCAAAGAUGACUGGCAAGUGACGGUUUCUCCAACUUUAGUUGAAUCGGAUUUGACCGAGGAGGUCCUUGGAUGAGGUUAAAUAGCAACUCAUAUAUCUCCGUUGUGGUGUUUACGUAAGUAAGAUGCGAUCCUACUAGAUGCCCUUGGUCACCACGUAAAACAUGCAACAACAAAAUUAGAGGACGUCUAACUUGUUUUUGCAGGGUAUGCUUGUGAUGUGAUAUGGCCAGCGAUGUGAUGUGAUAUAUUGGAUGUAUGAGAUGAUCAUGUUGUAAUAGAAAUAUCGACUUGCACGUCGAUGGUACGGCAACCGGCAGGAGCCAUAGGGUUGUCUUUAUACUAACGUUUGUGCUUGCAGAUGCGUUUACUAUUUUGCUAGGAUGCAGCUUUGGUAGUAAUAGCAUGAGUAGCACGACAACCCCGAUGGCAACACGUUGAUGGAUGAUCAUGGUGUGGCGCCGGUGACAAGAAGAUCGUGCCGGUGCUUUGGUGAUGGAGAUCAAGAAGCACGUGAUGAUGGCCAUAUCAUGUCACUUAUGAAUUGCAUGUGAUGUUAAUCCUUUUAUACACCUUAUUUUGCUUAGAACGACGGUAGCAUUAUGAGGUGAUCUCUCACUAAAAUUUCAAGACGAAAUUGUGUUCUCCCCGACUGUGCACCGUUGCUACAGUUCGUCGUUUCGAGACACCACGUGAUGAUCAGGUGUGAUAGACUCAACGUUCACAUACAACGGGUGCAAAACAGUUGCGCACGCGGAACACUCGGGUUAAGCUUGAUGAGCCUAGCAUGUGCAGACAUGGCCUCGGAACACAUGAGACCGAAAGGUCGAUCAUGAAUCAUAUAGUUGAUAUGAUUAGCAUAGGGAUGCUUACCACUGAAACUAUACUCAACUCACGUGAUGAUCGGACUUGGGAUAGUGUAAGUGGAUCAUGAACCACUCAAAUGACUAGAGAGAUGUACUUUUUGAGUGGGAGUUUAGCACAUAAUUUGAUUAAGUUAAACUCUAAUUAUCUUGAACAUAGUCUAAGUCCACUUUGAAUAUAUUUGUGUUGUAGAUCAUGGCUCACGCGACAGUCAUCCUGAAUUUUAAUACGUUCCUAGAGAAAGCUAAGUUGAAAGAUGAUGGAAGCAACUUUGUAGACUGGGCUCGUAAUCUUACAAGCUGGGAAGAAGGAUUAUGUCCUUAAUGCUGCGCUAGGAGAUGAACCACCCGCUACGGUUGAUCAGGAUGUUAAGAACGCUUGGUUAGCACGUAAGGAGGACUACUCAAUAGUUCAAUGUGCAGUCUUGUAUGGCUUAGAACCGGGACUUCAACGUUGCUUUGAGCGUCAUGGAGCAUUUGAGAUGUUCCAUGAGUUGAAGUUUAUCUUUCAGAAGAACGCCCGGAUCGAGAGGUAUGAGACCUCCGAUAAAUUCUAUGCUUGCAAGAUGGAGGAAAACUCGUCUGUCAGUGAACAUGUGCUCAAAAUGUCUGGGUACUCAAACCGUCUAGCUGAGCUGGGGAUUGAACUCCCGCAACAGGCUAUCACUGACAGAAUCCUUCAAUCACUGCCGCCAAGCUAUUAAGGCUUUGUGUUGAACUACAACAUGCAAGGGAUGAACAAGUCUCCCGGCGAGUUGUUUGCGAUGCUGAAAGUCGCAGAGUCUGAACUCCGUAAAGAGCAUCAAGUGUUGAUGGUGAAUAAGACCACUAGUUUCAAGAGAAACGGCAAAGGCAAAAAGGGCAAUUCGAAGAAGAGCGGCAAGCCUGUUGCCAAUCCGUCGAAGAAACCCAAAGCUGGACCUAAGCCUGAAAUGGAGUGUUACUAUUGCAAGGGUAUGGGUCACUGGAAGCGCAAUUGCCCCAAGUAUCUGGCAGAUAAGAAGGCGGGCAAAGAAAAAUCAGGUAUAUUUGAUAUACAUGUUAUUGAUGUGUACUUAACCGGUUCUCGUAGUAGUGCCUGGGUAUUCGAUACCGGUUCUGUUGCUCAUAUUUGCAACUCGAAGCAGGAACUGCGGAAUAGACGAAGGCUGGCGAAAGAUGAAGUGACGAUGCGCGUAGGAAAUGGUUCCAAGGUUGAUUCAAUCGCCGUCGGCACAGUGUCACUUCAGCUACCGUCGGGAUUAGUGAUGAACUUAAAUCAUUGUUAUUUAGUGCCUGGGUUGAGCAUGGACAUUAUGUCUGGAUCUUGUUUAUUGCGAGACGGUUACUCUUUUAAGUCAGAGAAUAAUGGUUGUUCUAUUUCUAUGAGUAACAUCUUUUAUGGUCAUGCACCGAAUGUGAGAGGAUUGUUCAUAUUGAAUCUUGAUAGCGAUACGCAUAUACAUAACAUUGAGACCAAAAGAGUUAGAGUAAACAAUGAUAGCGCCAUAUUUUUGUGGCACUGCCGCUUGGGUCAUAUUGGUGUAAAGCGCAUGAAGAAACUCCAUGCUGAUGGACUUUUGGAGUCACUUGACUUUGAUUCACUUGACACGUGCGAACCAUGCCUGAUGGGCAAGAUGACUAAGACUCCGUUCUCCGGAACAAUGGAGCGUGCAAGUGACUUAUUGGAAAUCAUACAUACCGAUGUGUGUGGUCCAAUGAGCGUGGAGGCACGCGGCGGAUAUCGUUAUUUUCUCACCUUCACUGACGAUUUGAGUAGGUAUGGUUAUGUCUACUUGAUGAAGCACAAGUCUGAAACAUUUGAAAAGUUCAAGCAAUUUCAGAGUGAAGUGGAAAAUCAUCGUAACAAGAAGAUCAAGUUCCUACGGUCUGAUCGUGGGGGUGAAUAUCUGAGUUUCGAGUUUGGUUAUCACUUAAGACAAUGUGGAAUUGUUUCACAGUUAACACCGCCUCAAACACCACAGCGUAAUGGUGUGUCCGAACGUCGUAAUCGUACUUUCUUAGAGAUGGUGCGAUCUAUGAUGUCUCUUACUGAUUUGCCGUUAUCGUUUUGGGGUUAUGCAUUAGAAACAGCUGCAUUCACUUUAAAUAGGGCACCAUCAAAAUCCGUUGAGACGACACCAUACGAACUGUGGUAUGGCAAAAGACCAAAGUUGUCGUUUCUUAAAGUUUGGGGAUGUGAUGCUUAUGUCAAAAAGCUUCAGCCUGAAAAGCUGGAACCCAAAGCGGAAAAGUGCGUCUUCAUAGGUUACCCAAAAGAGACAGUUGGGUACACCUUCUAUCUCAAAUCCGAGGGCAAAGUGUUUGUUGCUAAGAACGGAGCUUUUCUCGAGAAGGAGUUUCUCUCGAGAGAAUUGAGUGGGAGGAAGAUAGAACUUGACGAGGUUGUCGAACCUCUCAUCCCUCUGGAUGGUGGCGCAGGGCAAGGGGAAACCUCUGUCGUUGCGACGCCGGUUGAGGAGAAAGUUAAUGAUGAUGCUCAUGAAACUCCAGUUCAAGUUUCUGUUGAACCACGCAGGUUGACGAGAUCACGCGCUGCUCCAGAGUGGUACGGUAAUCCCGUCUUAUCAAUCAUGUUGUUAGACAACAAUGAACCUGCAAAUUACGAAGAAGCAAUGGUGGGCCCAGAUUCCAACAAAUGGCUAGAAGCCAUGAAGUCGGAGAUAGGAUCCAUGUAUGAGAACAAAGUGUGGACUUUGGAGAUACUACCUGAGGGCCGCAAGGCUAUUCAGAACAAAUGGAUCUUUAAGAAGAAGACGGACGCUGACGGUAAUGUGACCGUUUAUAAAGCUCGACUUGUGGCAAAGGGUUUUUCACAAGUUCCAGGAGUUGACUACGAUGAGACUUUCUCACCCGUAGCGAUGCUUAAGUCCGUCAGAAUCAUGUUAGCAAUAGCUGCAUUUUUCGAUUAUGAAAUCUGGCAGAUGGAUGUCAAAACGGCGUUCCUUAACGGUUUCCUUAAGGAAGAGUUGUAUAUGAUGCAACCCGAAGGUUUUGUCGAUCCUAAGAAUGCUAACAAGGUGUGCAAGCUCCAGCGAUCCAUUUAUGGACUGGUGCAAGCAUCUCGGAGUUGGAACAAACGCUUUGAUGAGGUGAUCAAAGCAUUUGGGUUUAUACAAGUGGUUGGAGAAUCUUGUAUUUACAAGAAAGUGAGUGGGAGCUCUGUGACGUUUCUAAUAUUAUAUGUGGAUGCAUAUUACUGAUUGGAAACAACGUAGAGCUUUUGGAGAGCAUAAAAGGUUACUUGAAUAAAAGUUUCUCUAUGAAGGACCUAGGAGAAGCUACUUACAUUCUAGGCAUUAAGAUCUAUAGGGAUAGAUCAAAACGCCUGAUAGGACUUUCACAAAGCACAUACCUUGAUAAAGUUUUGAAAAGGUUCAAAAUGGAACAGUCCAAGAAAGGGUUCUUGCCAGUUUUACAAGGUACAAGAUUGAGUAAGACUCAGUGCCCAGCAACUGAUGAAGAUAGAGAGCAUAUGCGCUCCGUCCCCUAUGCUUCAGCCAUAGGUUCUAUCAUGUAUGCGAUGCUGUGCACUAGACCGGAUGUUAGCCUGGCCAUAAGUAUGGCAGGUAGGUUCCAGAGUAAUCCAGGAGUGGAUCACUGGAUAGCGGUCAAGAAUAUCCUGAAGUACCUGAAAAGGACUAAGGAGAUGUUUCUCGUGUAUGGAGGUGACGAAGAGCUCGUCGUAAAAGGUUACGUCGAUGCAAGCUUUGACACAGAUCCGGACGACUCUAAGUCGCAAACCGGAUACGUAUUUAUUCUUAAUGGGGGUGCAGUAAGCUGGUGCAGUUCCAAGCAAAGCGUCGUAGCAGAUUCUACAUGUCAAGCGGAGUACAUGGCUGCCUCGGAGGCGGCUAAGGAGGGUGUCUGGAUGAAGCAGUUCAUGACGGAUCUUGGAGUGGUGCCAAGCGCACUGAAUCCAAUAACCUUGUUCUGUGACAACACUGGUGCCAUUGCCUUAGCAAAGGAACCACGGUUUCACAAGAAGACCAGACACAUCAAACGACGGUUCAACCUCAUCCGCGACUACGUCGAGGAAGAGGACGUAAAUAUAUGCAAAGUGCACACGGAUCUGAAUGUAGCAGACCCGCUGACUAAACCUCUUCCACGACCAAAACAUGAUCGACACCAGAACUGUAUGGGUGUUAGAUUUAUUACAAUGCAAUUCACAUGGUGAUGUGAGGGCUAGAUUAUUGACUCUAGUGCAAGUGGGAGACUGUUGGAAUUAUGCCUAGAGGCAAUAAUAAAUAUAGUUAUUAUUAUAAUUCCUGUAUCAAGAUAAUAGUUUAUUAUCCAUGCUAUAAUUGUAUUGAAUGAAGACUCAUUUACAUGUGUGGAUACAUAGACAAAACACCGUCCCUAGCAUGCCUCUAGUUGGCUAGCCAGUUGAUCGAUGAUAGUCAGUGUCUUCUGAUUAUGAACAAGGUGUUGUUGCUUGAUAACUGGAUCACGUCAUUGGGAGAAUCACGUGAUGGACUAGACCCAAACUAAUAGACGUAGCAUGUUGAUCAUGUCAUUUUGUUGCUACUGUUUUCUGCGUGUCAAGUAUUUAUUCCUAUGACCAUGAGAUCAUAUAACUCACUGACACCGGAGGAAUGCUUUGUGUGUAUCAAAUGUCGCAACGUAACUGCUGUUGGAAUUAUGCCCUAGAGGCAAUAAUAAAUGUAUAGUUAUUAUUAUAAUUCCUGUAUCAAGAUAAUAGUUUAUUAUCCAUGCUAUAAUUGUAUUGAAUGAAGACUCAUUUACAUGUGUGGAUACAUAGACAAAACACCGUCCCUAGCAUGCCUCUAGUUGGCUAGCCAGUUGAUCAAUGAUAGUCAGUGUCUUCUGAUUAUGAACAAGGUGUUGUUGCUUGAUAACUGGAUCACGUCAUUGGGAGAAUCACGUGAUGGACUAGACCCAAACUAAUAGACGUAGCAUGUUGAUCGUGUCAUUUUAUUGCUACUGUUUUCUGCGUGUCAAGUAUUUAUUCCUAUGACCAUGAGAUCAUAUAACUCACUGACACCGGAGGAAUACUUUGUGUGUAUCAAACGUCGCAACGUAACUGGGUGACUAUAAAGAUGCUCUACGGGUAUCUCCGAAGGUGUUAGUUGAGUUAGUAUGGAUCAAAACUGGGAUUUGUCACUCCGUGUGACGGAGAGGUAUCUCGGGGCCCACUCGGUAAUACAACAUCACACACAAGCCUUGCAAGCAAUGUAACUUAGUGUAAGUUGCGGGAUCUUGUAUUACGGAACGAGUAAAGAGACUUGCCGGUAAACGAGAUUGAAAUAGGUAUGCGGAUACUGACGAUCGAAUCUCGGGCAAGUAACAUACCGAAGGACAAAGGGAAUGACAUACGGGAUUAUACGAAUCCUUGGCACUGAGGUUCAAACGAUAAGAUCUUCGUAGAAUAUGUAGGAUCCAAUAUGGGCAUCCAGGUCCCGCUAUUGGAUAUUGACCGAGGAGUCUCUCGGGUCAUGUCUACAUAGUUCUCGAACCCGCAGGGUCUGCACACUUAAGGUUCGACGUUGUUUUAUGCGUAUUUGAGUUAUAUGGUUGGUUACCGAAUGUUGUUCGGAGUCUCGUAUGAGAUCACGGACGUCACGAGGGUUUCCGGAAUGGUCCGGAAACGAAGAUUUAUAUAUAGGAUGACCUCAUUUGAUUACCGGAAGGUUUUCGGAGUUACCGGGAAUGUACCGGGAAUGACGAAUGGGUUCCGGGAGUUCACCGGGGGGGGAACCCACCCCGGGGAAGCCCAUAGGCCUUGAGGAUGGCACACCAGCCCUUAGUGGGCUGGUGGGACAGCCCAAAAGGGCCCUAUGCGCCAAGAAGAAAAAAUCAAGAGAAAAGGAAAAAAAAGAGGAGGUGGGAAGGAAGGGAAGGACUCCCUCCCACCAAACCAAGUCCAACUCAGUUUGGGGGGGGGGAGUCUUCCCCCCUUGGCUCGGCCGACCCCCUUGGGGCUCCUUGAGUCCCAAGGCAAGGUCCCCUCCCUCCCACCUAUAUAUACGGAGGUUUUAGGGCUGAUUUGAGACGACUUUUCCACGGCAGCCCGACCACAUACCUCCACGGUUUUUCCUCUAGAUCGCGUUUCUGCGGAGCUCGGGCGGAGCCCUGCUGAGACAAGGUCAUCACCAACCUCCGGAGCGCCGUCACGCUGCCGGAGAACUCUUCUACCUCUCCGUCUCUCUUGCUGGAUCAAGAAGGCCGAGAUCAUCGUCGAGCUGUACGUGUGCUGAACGCGGAGGUGCCGUCCGUUCGGUACUAGAUCGUGGGACCGAUCGCGGGAUUGUUCGCGGGGCGGAUCGAGGGACGUGAGGACGUUCCACUACAUCAACCGCGUUCUCUAACGCUUCUGCUGUACGGUCUACAAGGGUAUGUAGAUCACUCAUCCCCUCUCGUAGAUGGACAUCACCAUGAUAGGUCUUCGUGCGCGUAGGAAAAUUUUUGUUUCCCGUGCGACGUUCCCCUACAGUGGUAUCAGAGCUAGGUUCAUGCGUAGAUGUCUUCUCGAGUAGAACACAAAAGUAUUUGUGGGCGGUGAUGUGCGUUUUGCUGCCCUCCUUAGUCUUUUCUUGAUUCCGCGGUAUUGUUGGAUUGAAACGGCUUGGACCGACAUUACUCGUACGCUCACGAGAGACUGGUUUCAUCGUUACGAGUAACCCCGUUGCUCAAAGAUGACUGGCAAGUGUCGGUUUCUCCAACUUUAGUUGAAUCGGAUUUGACCGAGGAGGUCCUUGGAUGAGGUUAAAUAGCAACUCAUAUAUCUCCGUUGUGGUGUUUGCGUAAGUAAGAUGCGAUCCUACUAGAUACCCCCGGUCACCACGUAAAACAUGAAACAACAAAAUUAGAGGACGUCUAACUUGUUUUUGCAGGGUAUGCUUGUGAUGUGAUAUGGCCAACGAUGUGAUGUGAUAUAUUGGAUGUAUGAGAUGAUCAUGUUGUAAUAGAAAUAUCGACUUGCACGUCGAUGGUACGGCAACCGGCAGGAGCCAUAGGGGUGUCUUUAUACUAACGUUUGUGCUUGCAGAUGCGUUUACUAUUUUGCUAGGAAGUAGCUUUAGUAGUAAUAGCAUGAGUAGCACGACAACCCCGAUGGCAACACGUUGAUGGAGAUCAUGGCGUGGCGCCGGUGACAAGAAGAUCGUGCCGGUGCUUUGGUGAUGGAGAUCAAGAAGCACGUGAUGAUGGCCAUAUCAUGUCACUUAUGAAUUGCAUGUGAUGUUAAUCCUUUUUUGCACCUUAUUUUUCUUAGAACGACGGAAGCAUUAUGAGGUGAUCUCUCACUAAAAUUUCAAGACGAAAUUGUGUUCUCCCCGACUGUGCACCGUUGCUACAGUUCGUCGUUUCGAGACACCACGUGAUGAUCGGGUGUGAUAGACUCAACGUUCACAUACAACGGGUGCAAAACAGUUGCGCACGCGGAACACUCGGGUUAAGCUUGACGAGCCUAGCAUGUGCAGACAUGGCCUCGGAACACAUGAGACCGAAAGGUCGAUCAUGAAUCAUAUAGAUGAUAUGAUUAGCAUAGGGAUGCUUACCACUGAAACUAUACUCAACUCACGUGAUGAUCGGACUUGAGCUAGUGCAAGUGGAUCAUGAACCACUCAAAUGACUAGAGAGAUGUACUUUUUGAGUGGGAGUUUAGCGAAUAAUUUGAUUAAGUUAAACUCUAAUUAUCUUGAACAUAGUCUAAGUCCACUUUGAAUAUAUUUGUGUUGUAGAUCAUGGCUAACGCGACAGUCAUCCUGAAUUUUAAUACGUUCCUAGAGAAAGCUAAGUUGAAAGAUGAUGGAAGCAACUUUGUAGACUGGGCUCGUAAUCUUAAGCUAAUCUUACAAGCUGGGAAGAAGGAUUAUGUCCUUAAUGCUGCGCUAGGAGAUGAACCACCCGCUACGGCUGAUCAGGAUGUUAAGAACGCUUGGUUAGCACGUAAGGAGGACUACUCAAUAGUUCAAUGUGCAGUCUUGUAUGGCUUAGAACCGGGACUUCAACGUCACUUUGAGCGUCAUGGUGCAUUUGAGAUGUUCCAGGAGUUGGAGUUUAUCUUCUAGAAGAACGCCCGGAUCGAGAGGUAUGAGACCUUCGAUAAAUUCUAUGCUUGCAAGAUGGAGGAAAACUCGUCUGUCAAUGAACAUGUGCUCAAAAUGUCUGGGUACUCAAACCGUCUAGCUGAGCUGGGGAUUGAACUCCCGCAAGAAGAUAUCACUGACAGAAUCCUUCAAUCACUGCCGCCAAGCUAUAAAGGCUUUGUGUUGAACUACAACAUGCAAGGGAUGAACAAGUCUCCCGGCGAGUUGUUUGCGAUGUUGAAAGUCGCAGAGUCUGAACUCCGUAAAGAGCAUCAAGUGUUGAUGGUGAAUAAGACCACUAGUUUCAAGAGAAACGGCAAAGGCAAGAAGGGCAAUUCGAAGAAGAGCGGCAAGCCUGUUGCCAAUCCGACGAAGAAACCCAAAGCUGGACCUAAGCCGGAAACGGAGUGUUACUAUUGCAAGGGUAUGGGUCACUGGAAGCGCAAUUGCCCCAAGUAUCUGGCAGAUAAGAAGGCGGGCAAAGAAAAAUCAGGUAUAUUUGAUAUACAUGUUAUUGAUGUGUACUUAACCGGCUCUCGUAGUAGUGCCUGGGUAUUCGAUACCGGUUCUGUUGCUCAUAUUUGCAACUCGAAACAGGAACUGCGGAAUAGACGAAGGCUGGCGAAAGAUGAAGUGACGAUGCGCGUAGGAAAUGGUUCCAAGGUUGAUGCAAUCGUCGUCGGCACAGUGUCACUUCAACUGCCAUCAGGAUUAGUGAUGAACUUAAAUCAUUGUUAUUUGGUUCGUGCGUUGAGCAUGAACAUUAUAUGUGGAUCUUGUUUAUUGCGAGACGGUUACUCUUUUAAGUCAGAGAAUAAUGGUUGUUCUAUUUCUAUGAGUAACAUCUUUUAUGGUCAUGCACCGAAUGUGAGAGGAUUGUUCAUAUUGAAUCUUGAUAACAAUACGCAUAUACAUAACAUUGAGACCAAAAGAGUUAGAGUUAACAAUGAUAGCGCCAUAUUUUUGUGGCACUGCCGAUUAAGUCAUAUUGGUGCAAAGCGCACGAAGAAACUCCAUGCUGAUGGACUUUUGGAGUCACUUGACUUUGAUUCACUUGACACGUGCGAACCAUGCCUCAUGGGCAAGAUGACUAAGACUCCGUUCUCAGGAACAAUGGAGCGUGCAAGUGACUUGUUGGAAAUCAUACAUACCGAUGUGUGUGGUCCGAUGAGCGUGGAGGCACGCGGCGGAUAUCGUUAUUUUCUCACCUUCACUGACGAUUUAAGUAGAUAUGGAUAUGUCUACUUAAUGAAGCACAAGUCUGAAACAUUUGAAAAGUUCAAGCAAUUUCAGAGUGAAGUGGAAAAUCAUCGUAACAAGAAGAUCAAGUUCCUACGGUCUGAUCGUGGGGGUGAAUAUCUGAGUUUCGAGUUUGGUGCUCACUUAAGACAAUGUGGAAUUGUUUCACAGUUAACACCGCCUGGAACACCAUAGCGUAAUGGUGUGUCCGAACGUCGUAAUCGUACUCUAUUAGAGAUGGUGCGGUCUAUGAUGUCUCUUACUGAUUUGCCGUUAUCAUUUUGGGGCUAUGCAUUAGAAACAGCUGCAUUCGCUUUAAAUAGGGCACCAUCAAAAUCCGUUGAGACAACACCAUACGAACUGUGGUAUGGCAAGAGGCCAAAGUUGUCGUUUCUUAAAGUUUGGGGAUGCGAUGCUUAUGUCAAAAAGCUUCAGCCUGAAAAGCUGGAACCCAAAGCGGAAAAGUGCGUCUUCAUAGGUUACCCGAAAGAGACAGUUGGGUACACCUUCUAUCUCAAAUCCGAGGACAAAGUGUUUGUUGCUAAAAACGGAGCUUUUCUCGAGAAGGAGUUUCUCUCGAGAGAAUUGAGUGGGAGGAAGAUAGAACUUGACGAGGUUGUCGAACCUCUCAUCCCUCUGGAUGGUGGCGCAUGGCAAGGGGAAACCUCUGUCAUUGUGACGCCGGUUGAGGAGGAAGUUAAUGAUGAUGAUCAUGAAACUCCAGUUCAAGUUUCUGUUGAACCACGCAGGUCGACGAGAUCACGUGCUGCUCCAGAGUGGUACGGUAAUCCCGUCUUGUCAAUCAUGUUGUUAGACAACAAUGAACCUGCAAAUUAUGAAGAAGCAAUGGUGGGCCCAGAUUCCAACAAAUGGCUAGAAGCCAUGAAGUCCGAGAUAGGAUCCAUGUAUGAGAACAAAGUGUGGACUUUGGAGAUACUACCUGAGGGCCGCAAGGCUAUUCAGAACAAAUGGAUCUUUAAGAAAAAGACGGACGCUGACGGCAAUGUAACCGUUUAUAAAGCUCGACUUGUGGCAAAGGGUUUUCACAAGUUCCAGGAGUUGACUACAAUGAGACUUUCUCACCCGUAGCGAUGCUUAAGUCCGUCAGAAUCAUGUUAGCAAUAGCUGCAUUUUUCGAUUAUGAAAUCUGGCAGAUGGAUGUCAAAACGGCGUUCCUUAAACGGUUUCCUUAAGGAAGAGUUGUAUAUGAUACAACCCGAAGGUUUUGUCGAUCCUAAGAAUGCUAACAAGGUGUGCAAGCUCCAGCGAUCCAUUUAUGGACUGGUGCAAGCAUCUCGGAGUUGGAACAAACGCUUUGAUGAGGUAAUCAAAGCAUUUGGGUUUAUACAAGUGGUUGGAGAAUCUUGUAUUUACAAGAAAGUGAGUGGGAGCUUUGUGGCGUUUCCAAUAUUAUAUGUGGAUGACAUAUUACUGAUUGGAAACAACGUAGAGUUUUUGGAGAGCAUAAAAGGUUACUUGAAUAAAAGUUUCUCUAUGAAGGACCUAGGAGAAGCUGCUUACAUUCUAGGCAUUAAGAUCUAUAGGGAUAGAUCAAAACGCCUGAUAGGACUUUCACAAAGCACAUACCUUGAUAAAGUUUUGAAGAGGUUCAAAAUGGAACAGUCCAAGAAAGGGUUCUUGCCAGUUCUGCAAGGUACGAGAUUGAGUAAGACUCAAUGCCCAGCAACUGAUGAAGAUAGAGAGCAUAUGCGCUUCGUCCCCUAUGCUUCAGCCAUAGGUUCUAUCAUGUAUGCAAUGUUGUGCACUAGACCGGAUGUUAGCCUGGCCAUAAGUAUGGCAGGUAGGUUCCAGAGUAAUCCAGGAGUGGAUCACUGGACAGCGGUCAAGAAUAUCCUGAAGUACCUGAAAAGGACUAAGGAGAUGUUUCUCGUGUAUGGAGGUGACGAAGAGCUCGCCGUAAAAGGUUACGUCGAUGCAAGCUUUGACACAGAUCCGGACGACUCUAAGUCGCAAACCGGAUACGUAUUUAUUCUUAAUGGGGGUGCAGUAAGCUGGUGCAGUUCCAAGCAAAGCGUCGUAGCAGAUUCUACAUGUGAAGCGGAGUACAUGGCUGCCUCGGAGGCGGCUAAGGAGGGUGUCUGGAUGAAGCAACUCAUGAGGGAUCUUGGAGUGGUGCCAAGCGCACUGAAUCCAAUAACCUUGUUCUGUGACAACACGGGUGCCAUUGCCUUAGCAAAGGAACCGCGGUUUCACAAGAAGACCAGACACAUCAAACGACGCUUCAACCUCAUCCGCGACUACGUCGAGGGAGAGGACGUGAAUAUAUGCAAAGUGCACACGGACCUGAAUGUAGCAGACCCGCUGACUAAACCUCUUCCACGGCCAAAGCAUGAUCAACACCAGAACUGUAUGGGUGUUAGAUUUAUUACAAUGUAAUUCACAUGGUGAUGUGAGGGCUAGAUUAUUGACUCUAGUGCAAGUGGGAGACUGUUGGAAUUAUGCCCUAGAGGCAAUAAUAAAUAUAGUUAUUAUUAUAAUUCCUGUAUCAAGAUAAUCGUUUAUUAUCCAUGCUAUAAUUGUAUUGAAUGAAGACUCAUUUACAUGUGUGGAUACAUAGACAAAACACCGUCCCUAGCAAGCCUCUAGUUGGCUAGCUAGUUGAUCAAAGAUAGUCAGUGUCUUCUGAUUAUGAACAAGGUGUUGUUGCUUGAUAACUGGAUCACGUCAUUAGGAGAAUCACGUGAUGGACUAGACCCAAACUAAUAGACGUAGCAUGUUGAUCGUGUCAUUUUGUUGCUACUGUUUUCUGCGUGUCAAGUAUUUAUUCCUAUGACCAUGAGAUCAUAUAACUCACUGACACCGGAGGAAUGCUUUGUGUGUAUCAAACGUCGCAACGUAACUGGGUGACUAUAAAGAUGCUCUAUAGGUAUCUCCGAACGUGUUAGUUGAGUUAGUAUGGAUCGAGACUGGGAUUUGUCACUCCGUGUGACGGAGAGGUAUCUCGGGGCCCACUCGGUAAUGCAACAUCACACACAAGCCUUGCAAGCAACGUAACUUAAUGUAAGUUGCGGGAUCUUGUAUUACGGAACAAGUAAAGAGACUUGCCGGUAAACGAGAUUGAAAUAGGUAUACGGAUACUGACGAUCGAAUCUCGGGCAAGUAACAUACCGAAGGACAAAGGGAAUGACAUACGGGAUUAUAUGAAUCCUUGGCACUGAGGUUCAAACGAUAAGAUCUUCGUAGAAUAUGUAGGAUCCAAUAUGGGCAUCCAGGUCCUGCUAUUGGAUAUUGACCGAGGAGUCUCUCGGGUCAUGUCUGCAUAGUUCUCGAACCCGCAGGGUCUGCACACUUAAGGUUCGACGUUGUUUUAUGCGUAUUAGAGUUAUAUGGUUGGUUACCGAAUGUUGUUCAGAGUCCCGGAUGAGAUCACGGACGUCACGAGGGUUUCCGAAAUGGUCCGGAAACGAAGAUUGAUAUAUAGGAUGACCUCAUUUGAUUACCGGAAGGUUUUCGGAGUUACCGGGAAUGUACCGGGAAUGACGAAUGGGUUCCGGGAGUUCACCGGGGGGGGGGGGGGCAACCCACCCCGGGGAAGCCCAUAGGCCUUGAGGGUGGCACACCAGCCCUUAGUGGGCUGGUGGGACAGCCCAAAAGGGCCCUAUGCGCCAAGAAGAGAAAAUCAAGAGAAAAGGAAAAAAAGGAGGAGGUGGGAAGGAAGGGAAGGACUCCCUCCCACCAAACCAAGUCCAACUCGGUUUGGGGGGGGGAGUCUUCCCCCCUUGGCUCGGCCGACCCCCUUGGGGCUCCUUGAGCCCCAAGGCAAGGUCCCCUCCCUCCCACCUAUAUAUACAGAGGUUUUAGGGCUGAUUUGAGAUGACUUUUCCACGGCAGCCCGACCACAUACCUCCACGGUUUUUCCUCUAGAUCGCGUUUCUGCGGAGCUCGGGCGGAGCCCUGCUGAGACAAGGUCAUCACCAACCUCCGGAGCACCGUCACGCUGCCGGAGAACUCUUCUACCUCUCCGUCUCUCUUGCUAGAUCAAGAAGGCCGAGAUCAUCGUCGAGCUGUACGUGUGCUGAACGCGGAGGUGUCGUCCGUUCGGUACUAGAUCGUGGGACCGAUCGCGGGAUUGUUCGCGGGGCGGAUCGAGGGACGUGAGGACGUUCCACUACAUCAACCGCGUUCUCUAACGCUUCUGCUGUACGGUCUACAAGGGUACNNNNNNNNNNNNNNNNNNNNNNNNNNNNNNNNNNNNNNNNNNNNNNNNNNNNNNNNNNNNNNNNNNNNNNNNNNNNNNNNNNNNNNNNNNNNNNNNNNNNGCGAUCAGUCCCACGAUCUAGUACCGAACGGACGGCACCUCCGCGUUCAGCACACGUACAGCUCGACGAUGAUCUUGGCCUUCUUGAUCCAGCAAGAGAGACGGAGAGGUAGAAGAGUUCUCCGGCAGCGUGACGGCGCUCCGGAGGUUGGUGAUGAUCUUGUCUCAGCAGGGCUCCGCCCGAGCUCCGCAGAAACGCGAUCUAGAGGAAAAACUAUGGAGGUAUGUGGUCGGGCAGCCGUGAGAAAAGUCGUCUCAAAUCAGCCCUAAUACCUCCGUAUAUAUAGGUGGAAGGGGGAGGGAAGAGGCAGCCUCAAACCCUCAAGGGUUGGCCGAAAUUGGAGGUGGAGGAGUCCUACUCCAAUCCUACUUGGAGUAGGAUUCCACCUUCCCACUUGGAAACUCUUUCCACCUUGUGUUUUUUCCUUCUCAAACCUUAUGGGCCUUAGUGGGAACUUAUUCCAGCCCACUAGGGGCUGGUUUAUAUCUUCCCAUAGCCCAUGAGACCCCUUGGGGCGUGACACCCCUCCCGAUGGUCCCCGGCACCCCUCCCGGCACUCCCGGUACACUACCGAUGAGCCCGAAACUUUUCCGGUAAUGCACGAAAACCUUCCGGUAACCAAAUGAGGUCAUCCUAUAUAUCAAUCUUCGUUUCCGGACCAUUCCGGAAACCCUCGUGACGUCCGUGAUCUCAUCCGGGACUCCGAACAACAUUCGGUAACCAACCAUAUAACUCAAAUACGCAUAAAACAACGUCGAACCUUAAGUGUGCAGACCCUGCAGGUUCGAGAACUAUGUAGACAUGACCCGAGAGACUCCUCGGUCAAUAUCCAAUAGCGGGACCUGGAUGCCCAUAUUGGAUCCUACAUAUUCUACGAAGAUCUUAUCAUUUGAACCUCAGUGCCAAGGAUUCAUAUAAUCCCGUAUGUCAUUCCCUUUGUCCUUCGGUAUGUUACUUGCCCGAGAUUCGAUCGUCAGUAUCCGCAUACCUAUUUCAAUCUCGUUUACCGGCAAGUCUCUUUACUCGUUCUGUAAUACAAGAUCUCACAACUUACACUAAGUCACAUUGCUUGCAAGGCUUGUGUGUGAUGUUGUAUUACCGAGUGGGCCCCGAGAUACCUCUCCGUCACACGGAGUGACAAAUCCCAGUCUUGAUCCAUACUAACUCAACGAACACCUUAGGAGAUACCUGUAGAGCAUCUUUAUAGUCACCCAGUUACGUUGCGACGUUUGAUACACACAANNNNNNNNNNNNNNNNNNNNNNNNNNNNNNNNNNNNNNNNNNNNNNNNNNNNNNNNNNNNNNNNNNNNNNNNNNNNNNNNNNNNNNNNNNNNNNNNNNNNGACCUAUCAUGGUGAUGUCCAUCUACGAGAGGGGAUGAGUGAUCUACGUACCCUUGUAGACCGUACAGCAGAAGCGUUAGAGAACGCGGUUGAUGUAGUGGAACGUCCUCACGUCCCUCGAUCCGCGCCGCGAAUAAUCCCGCGAUCAGUCCCACGAUCUAGUACCGAACGGACGGCACCUCCGCGUUCAGCACACGUACAGCUCGACGAUGAUCUCGGCCUUCUUGAUCCAGCAAGUGAGACGGAGAGGUAGAAGAGUUCUCCGGCAGCGUGACGGCUCUCCGGAGGUUGGUGAUGACCUUGUCUCAGCAGGGCUCCGCCCGAGCUCCGCAGAAACGCGAUCUAGAGGAAAAACCGUGGAGGUAUGUGGUCGGGCUGCCGUGGAAAAAAAAUUGUCUCAAAUCAGCCCUAAAACCUCUGUAUAUAUAGGUGGGAGGGAGGGGGCCUUGCCUUGGGGCUCAAGGAGCCCCAAGGGGUCGGCCGAGUCCAAGGGGGAGGACUCUCCCCCCCCCCCAAACCGAGUUGGACUACGUUUGGUGGGAGGGAGUCCCCCUUCCUUCCCACCUCCUCCUAUUUUUUCUCUCUCUUGAUUUUCUUCUCCUUGGUGCAUAGGGCACUUGUGGGCUGUCCCACCAGCCCACUAAGGGCUGAUGUGUCUCCCCAAAGGCCUAUGGGCUUCCCCGGGGUGGGUUGCCCCCCCCCCCCCGGUGAACUCCCGGAACCCAUUCGUCAUUCCCGGUACAUUCCCGGUAACUCCGAAAACCUUCCGGUAAUCAAAUGAGGUCAUCCUAUAUAUCAAUCUUUGUUUCCGGACCAUUCCGGAAACCCUCGUGACGUCCGUGAUCUCAUCCGGGACUCCGAACAACAUUCGGUAACCAACCAUGUAACUCAAAUACGCAUAAAACAACGUCGAACCUUAAGUGUGCAGACCCUGCGGGUUCGAGAACUAUGUAGACAUGACCCGAGAGACUCCUCGGUCAGUAUCCAAUAGCGGGACCUGGAUGCCCAUAUUGGAUCCUACAUAUUCUAUGAAGAUCUUAUCGUUUGAACCUCACUGCCAAGGAUUCGUAUAAUCCCGUAUGUCAUUCCCUUUGUCCUUCGGUAUGUUACUUGCCCGAGAUUCGAUCGUCAGUAUCCGCAUACCUAUUUCAAUCUCGUUUACCGGCAAGUCUCUUUACUCCUUCCGUAAUACAAGAUCCCGCAACUUACACUAAGUUACAUUGCUUGCAAGGCUUGUGUGUGAUGUUGUAUUACCGAGUGGGCCCCGAGAUACCUCUCCGUCACACGGAGUGACAAAUCCUAGUUUUGAUCCAUACUAACUCAACUAACACCUUCGGAGAUACCUGUAGAGCAUCUUUAUAGUCACCCAGUUACGUUGCGACGUUUGAUACACACAAAGCAUUCCUCCAGUGUCAGUGAGUUAUAUGAUCUCAUGGUCAUAGGAAUAAAUACUUGACACGCAGAAAACAGUAGCAAUAAAAUGACACGAUCAACAUGCUACGUCUAUUAGUUUGGGUCUAGUCCAUCACGUGAUUCUCCCAAUGAAGUGAUCCAGUUAUCAAGCAACAACACCUUGUUCAUAAUCAGAAGACACUGACUAUCAUCGAUCAACUGGCUAGCCAACUAGAGGCAUGCUAGGGACGGUGUUUUGUCUAUGUAUCCACACAUGUAAAUGAGUCUUCAUUCAAUACAAUUAUAGCAUGGAUAAUAAACUAUUANNNNNNNNNNNNNNNNNNNNNNNNNNNNNNNNNNNNNNNNNNNNNNNNNNNNNNNNNNNNNNNNNNNNNNNNNNNNNNNNNNNNNNNNNNNNNNNNNNNNUCAGGAUGACUGUCGCGUUAGCCAUGAUCUACAACACAAAUAUAUUCAAAGUGGACUUAGACUAUGUUCAAGAUAAUUAGAGUUUAACUUAAUCAAAUUAUUCGCUAAACUCCCACUCAAAAAGUACAUCUCUCUAGUCAUUUGAGUGGUUCAUGAUCCACUUGCACUAGCUCAAGUCCGAUCAUCACGUGAGUUGAGUAUAGUUUCAGUGGUAAGCAUCCCUAUGCUAAUCAUAUCAUCUAUAUGAUUCAUGAUCGACCUUUCGGUCUCAUGUGUUCCGAGGCCAUGUCUGCACAUGCUAGGCUCGUCAAGCUUAACCCGAGUGUUCCGCGUGCGCAACUGUUUUGCACCCGUUGUAUGUGAACGUUGAGUCUAUCACACCCGAUCAUCACGUGGUGNNNNNNNNNNNNNNNNNNNNNNNNNNNNNNNNNNNNNNNNNNNNNNNNNNNNNNNNNNNNNNNNNNNNNNNNNNNNNNNNNNNNNNNNNNNNNNNNNNNNNNNNNNNNNNNNNNNNNNNNNNNNNNNNNNNNNNNNNNNNNNNNNNNNNNNNNNNNNNNNNNNNNNNNNNNNNNNNNNNNNNNNNNNNNNNNNNNNNNNNNNNNNNNNNNNNNNNNNNNNNNNNNNNNNNNNNNNNNNNNNNNNNNNNNNNNNNNNNNNNNNNNNNNNNNNNNNNNNNNNNNNNNNNNNNNNNNNNNNNNNNNNNNNNNNNNNNNNNNNNNNNNNNNNNNNNNNNNNNNNNNNNNNNNNNNNNNNNNNNNNNNNNNNNNNNNNNNNNNNNNNNNNNNNNNNNNNNNNNNNNNNNNNNNNNNNNNNNNNNNNNNNNNNNNNNNUCUUGUCACCGGCGCCACGCCAUGAUCUCCAUCAACGUGUUGCCAUCGGGGUUGUCGUGCUACUCAUGCUAUUACUACUAAAGCUACUUCCUAGCAAAAUAGUAAACGCAUCUGCAAGCACAAACGUUAGUAUAAAGACACCCCUAUGGCUCCUGCCGGNNNNNNNNNNNNNNNNNNNNNNNNNNNNNNNNNNNNNNNNNNNNNNNNNNNNNNNNNNNNNNNNNNNNNNNNNNNNNNNNNNNNNNNNNNNNNNNNNNNNUGAUAGUCGGCAGAGCAAUCCUCAAAUCCUUGGUGAUCUGCACCAGCUCUUUUCCGAACGCUAUAGUGGUGUCGGGCUGGCAAAACUCCGUGAACUUAACAGGGAUGAAGGUGGCCAUCUAAACAUUGGAAAAUCGGAGAGAAGUCAGAAAUGAUCAGAAGAGGAAAUAGAAGAUUUAUAGACAUAAGAGAAAAUAGUUUUCUUCCUAAGGCUUUUCCAUUCCUAGAGGUUACGUCCUAAGGUCAGCGUGUGCUCUGAUACCAUUUCUGUAGCGACCCGACUCAAGACGAGUCAAGCCUCUGGUGUUUCUGUACCAUCCCAAGAUCAUGCUGGUACACACACAGUACAUAAUGUAUAUAUUCAAGAGUGCAAUCACACAGCUUUAUUAAUCGAAUCUCAUAAAGAGUACUUUAUUACAAUAAAGGAUUACAAUAAAGUGGCUGAAGGCCAACUCAUGAGAUUAUCUAACGAAGACUAGCNNNNNNNNNNNNNNNNNNNNNNNNNNNNNNNNNNNNNNNNNNNNNNNNNNNNNNNNNNNNNNNNNNNNNNNNNNNNNNNNNNNNNNNNNNNNNNNNNNNNNNNNNNNNNNNNNNNNNNNNNNNNNNNNNNNNNNNNNNNNNNNNNNNNNNNNNNNNNNNNNNNNNNNNNNNNNNNNNNNNNNNNNNNNNNNNNNNNNNNNNNNNNNNNNNNNNNNNNNNNNNNNNNNNNNNNNNNNNNNNNNNNNNNNNNNNNNNNNNNNNNNNNNNNNNNNNNNNNNNNNNNNNNNNNNNNNNNNNNNNNNNNNNNNNNNNNNNNNNNNNNNNNNNNNNNNNNNNNNNNNNNNNNNNNNNNNNNNNNNNNNCAACAUGAUACGUUGCAGCCGUGUAGGUCAGCAUAUUGAAUAUGCCGGCAAGUCAUCAAGGAGAGGGGUAAAAUAACAAUCAACUAUCUCUACAUGCAUAUUUGGCCGGUGGAGCUAAGUUUUGCAUAAAGCCAGUUUUAUCCUACAACAAAAGGGGUUGAAAGCAAAAUAUUACUACAAUGUUUGUUGUUAACAAGAUGGUUCCGCCAACCAAUUCUCGUACCCGAAUAGUUGUUAACACCCACAUCAUUAUUAAGUUGUGUCGAGAGUUCAGGGGAAAUUCAAUGCCUUCGGCUCAAGUUGUCCAUGACCGUGGACACGGCUAAUCGAUUAGGUUGGGCACUCUGCAGAGUUUUGCACACGUUCCCCACAAGAUUUGAUCGCCUCCGGGUUUGUCCUUGCACUUCAGGGUGUUUGAAGACCGGAUGAUCAAAACAUGGUCUUUCAACGGGUCCCUCUGAAUCCCUGUCGGUGCCCAUCCAUUCCUAUCGUUCGUCUACAUCUGCUAGCACCGCCUGUCCAGAGUCGCCGCGUUGUCCAACCAAGCCAGAGCCCAUAAUGACUUGUGGCUGUGCAGGUAAGCCUUGAGUCUUGAAGUCUCCGUCCGUCUCUUCGAGCCUGGGUGAAGCUUUCCGCAGGAUGACAUGGCCUCUCCAGCAUCCCGGGCAUCCACUGGGUUCUCCAGGGAGCCGAUCAACCGUCCUUCACCCAGAGUUGCAUUUGCGUCCGAGGUCUUGAAAAUCUUGUCUUAGCCGGUCUUGAUUAUUAUAUCAACCUCACAUCACUCGUGGUAUACACUCAACCGAUAACCCGUCUACUCAAGCAUAGCAUUUAGAAAUUGUCGUCCCGGGGCCAAGUGUCGGGGUUGUUGUGUUCCUGCCACAUGAUACUACAACUUAAGCUAAAGUUUCCAAGUACCUAGGCAGCAUGCAAUUGGGCAAAUAAGGUGAUCUACCAUGCAUCGAAAACAUAGGUAAAAGAACAUGAUCAAAAUGACUUGCCUUGAUGAUAGUUGUCUUGCUCGAGCGCUUUUAAGUAACACGCUUCGCACUCCGGAUGAUCUACCGAUACAAACACAAAGCACACCAUAAGCAACUCAAUCAUGCACAAGUAAAAAUAACAUCACAUGCAAUGAUUUGCAAAAGCCUAUGUAAAAGAAUUCAACACGCGAUGGUAUGUCAGAAACUUGUUUCUGUUGAAAACACCAGUAAAAAUACUUUAAAAAUUCUGAAACUUCUACCACAGUAAUAUUUUAUCACUAGAAAACAGUAGCAAAAAGAAUCAACUCAAAAUCAUUUUUCAAACUCCUGGAAUAGGCAAAACAAGGUUUAAACUAAAUCUGAUCUAACUUAUAUUUGAAAAAUUCAAACAUAGACAAAUUAUAUGUUUUUAAAAACUACAGGAAAUUUGUGAGCUACUGGAAAACGAAUCAAUGUCAUUGGACUUAGGGAUAAAAAGUUGUGGCCAAAACAAAACAGAAAGUUUCUGUUUUUGGCAAACAAGCAGAAAAUUACAAAACUACUAGUGCUAAAAAGAGAGGUACACGUGUCCUGAUGCUAUUGGCUGCGGGGGUGUUUGUUUCAAAGUUACGGGCAAACGGCCUAAGGCUAGCAAAGUUCGCUGGUUAAUUCAUAAGUGACAAAAAACCCACUGGUUUUCUGAUUUAGACCGAAGGGGUACUAGUGAUCUAAUCUAGGCCCUAUAUCUAAUAUCUAACGGCUAAGAAAGAAUACAUGAAAUAAUAGAGAGAGAGGGAGACUACCUUGGCUGGCAGUAGCUUGCACCGGCAAGGGAGGGCUGGCCGGCGAGGGAGGGGGAAGCUCCGGGGGCGAUGGAGACUUCGGGGGAGGCGGCAGCGGGGUCCUCCUCCGAGAGGGAGGUGGCGGUGGAGCGAAGGGGGCUCGGGGGGAGGGGGUUCCCAGGGCUGUGCCGAAGGUGCAGUAGCUUGCACCGGCNNNNNNNNNNNNNNNNNNNNNNNNNNNNNNNNNNNNNNNNNNNNNNNNNNNNNNNNNNNNNNNNNNNNNNNNNNNNNNNNNNNNNNNNNNNNNNNNNNNNGAUUUGGCUUGAAACUAAUGCGGAAAUAAACUAAGAGGGUACUUGUCAAGCACAAAUCCUAAAUGCACUAGGCACUGCAACGUGUAUCAACAACACGAUCUACCAAGAUGGACACAAUACAGUUACUAACAAGCACAAGUAAGUUACACAAACUUACUUGAGCUAUAUCACACGACAAGUAGGUGAACAACACAAGAUACUAGAUCACACUAUAUCACACGAUAUAUUAAAGGCUGCAAGUAUGAACGUGUGGAUAUAGAGGGUAUGCUUGAAUGAUUAAUCUUGUACAAGAAAUAGCCAACACAAUAUAAUGAGCACAAACAACAUGCAAUGUAUGUAUGCUCAAGUAACACAAGUAAACCACAAGUAAGGAGUUAGGGUUAAGGAUAACCAAGGUCACUGAGACGAAGAUGUAUCCCGAUGUUCACUUCCUUGGAGAGAAGCUAGUCACCGUUAGAGAGGUGGAUGUUACCACGAAGGCACACCAACGCCACGAAGGCUCACCCUAUUCUCCCUUUGAGAUAACACCACGAAGACGUUUCUCAACCACUAGUGGUAAGCCUUUGAGGUGGCUUCCAAACCCUCACAAACUUUUCCGGGGGGUAAUAACACGGAUUGAUUCCUCUCUGAAGAACUCCUACCGCCUAGGAGUCUCCAACCUCCAAGAGUAACAAGAUCACGGGGAAUGCUCAAAACUUGCUCAAAUCUCAAACAGGUUGGGUUGAAAGGAGGAGAGGGAGACGAUCUAUCUUUUGAUUGGAACAACUCUCAAAGGGGCUCACAAAUGCUCUUGGGAUCUAAGAUUUGGUGUGAGCAAAUGUGUGUGAGGUAGAAGUAUGUUCUUAUGAGGAUAAGGCUAUGUUGGGCUGCCCUCUCACGAAGUGGGAGGGGGUAUUUAUAGUGGGGAGAGAAAAACAGCCGUUGGCGACACUUUAAGUCACACAGGGUCCGGACGUCCGACAGUUGCCGGAAGUCUGGGCGUCCGUGAGGGGUUGGACGUCCGACAGGGGUCGGUCGUCCGAGGCCUGUAGAUACGGCUGAAACUAUUUUGAAUUAAACAGCGACCAGACGUCCGGAGAGGACCGGAAAUCCGAGUUAUACAACUCAACUUCUUCUGGUGGUAGGUUCCGGAUUUCCGAAGGGGGUCGGACGUCCGGCCCUCGAACGUCCGGAGGGAGCCGGAAAUCCGAGUUAUAGAGCUCAUGUUCUUCUGGUGCAGGGCUCCGGAUUUCCGAAGCAUGUCGGUCGUCCGACCCUUGACCGGCCCUCGGACGUCCGGAGUGAGCCGGAAGUCCGAGUUAUAUGGCUCAAGUUUCUCUGGUGCAUAGUUCCGGAAUUCCGAAGCUGGUCGGAUAUCCGGGCCUCGGACGUCCGGAGGGAGCCGGAAGUCNNNNNNNNNNNNNNNNNNNNNNNNNNNNNNNNNNNNNNNNNNNNNNNNNNNNNNNNNNNNNNNNNNNNNNNNNNNNNNNNNNNNNNNNNNNNNNNNNNNNCCGUUCGGUACUAGAUCAUGGGACUGAUCGCGGGAUUGUUCGCGGGGCGGAUUGAGGGACGUGAGGACGUUCCACUACAUCAACCGCGUUCUCUAACGCUUCUGCUGUACGGUCUACAAGGGUACGUAGAUCACUCAUCCCCUCUCAUAGAUGGACAUCACCAUGAUAGGUCUUCGUGCGCGUAGGAAAAUUUUUGUUUCCCAUGCGACGUUCCCCAACAGGAUUAUGAGGAUGCUUUGGGUUAUCUUGAGGUUGAGGUUUUCCAAUAGGAAUCCAAGGAGAUCACAGGUUUCCUGAUCGAGGUUAUUCCGUCGCAACAUGUAGUAGUUUGUGAUGGACUAGUUGGAGCACCCCUGCAGGGUUAAAUAUUUCGGAAAGCCGUGCCCGUGGUUAUGUGGCAACAUGGAAACUUUGUUUAACAUCCGGUUCUAGAUAACUUGAAGUUAAAUUAAUUAAAACUUGCCAACUGAGUGCGUAACUGUGACUGUCUCUUUCAUGAGCUCCUUCUCCGAUCGAGGACAUGGUGGGGUUAUGUCUGACGUAAGUAGAUGUUCAGGAUCAUUCAUUUGAUCAUCAGUAGUUCACGUCCGCUAUGCGUAGAUCAUCCCCUUUUUAUUCUUGUACUCGUAAGUUAGCCACCUCAAAUCAAUGCUUAGUCGCUUGUUGCAGCCUCACCAUUUAACCAUACCUCACCCAUUAAGCUUUGCUAGUCUUUAUACCUUUGGAAAUGAGAUUGUUGAGUCCCUUGUGGCUCACAGAUUACUACAACACCAGUUGCAGGUACACGUAAAGAGUUACUUUGAUGUGAGCGUGCUGAUUGUGCUAUUUGGAGUUUCUUCUUCUUCAUGAUCAUCGAUCUAGGAUGGGUUCCAGGUCGGCAGCCUCGGAUAGUAAGGAUGGACGUCGUUCUUUAUCGUUUGUUUUUCGUCCAUAGUCGGACCCUACUCUUCUUCAUGAUGAUUGAUUAUGUUGUUGUAUUAAUGUGACUCUGAUGUAGCUUGUGGCGAGUGUAAGCCAACUCCUUGUGCUCAUCUUUUUAGUACAUGUACUUGUAACGAUAUCCAUCCUUGCAAAAUGACGAGAUGUGUUUCUAUCCCUGUCGAGGCCCUCGCGCCAUAAUAAGGAUAGGAUCGCAUCUUGGGCGUUUGUAACGACUAAGAUGCGGCCCUUUCCUAUUUUGGUGGCGAUGACUCAAAAGGGAAAGGGGCGCAUCUAAAUGUUUCGCAAGCGAGAUAAUCAUAACAUUACAUAACUGAAGAAUGACAAGUAGGGCAUACACUUGCCAUCUGACAUUAGUAUAACAUAAAUCUUACAGCCACACAAUUAUUCAGAGCAUAGUUUAGUACCGCUACGGACAACAUGAAACAAGUAAAACUAUGACAUCCCGCAUGCUGGCUCACGAUCACGACCACGGCCUCAGUCGUCUGGAUAGUUCACGUACAACCGGUCAGAGUCCUCAUCGUACUCCCACUUCAGCUGGUUGCCAUCAGGAUCUCCUGCGUCGGGCGUACCUGUACCUGUACCUAUUGGGGGGUUUGUAGUAAUCUGUGAGCCACGGGGACUCAGCAAUCGAAUGACCUUGGUAUCGAAUCUAGUCAAGUUAUUAGGUGAGGAAGGUUUAGUGUAUGGGUUUGCAGCAACCUAAGCAUAUAUGGUGGCUAACUUACGAUGAUCAGAGUAAUUGAUAUGGUGGUCUACGCGAGCGAUCGAAGACUAGAUGAUCACUAAGUGAUCCUGAACACCUACUUACGUCAAACAUAACCCCACCGUGUUCCCGAACGAAGAGAGGUCUUCGAAGGGGACAGUCACGGUUACGCACACAGUUGGCAGUUUUAUUAGAAUUACUUUAAGUUGUCUAGAAUCAGAUGUUAAAAAACUAUUCAUGUUUGCCACAUAACCGCGGGCACGACUUUCGAAAAGAUUAAACCCUGCAGGGGUGCUCCAACUAGUCCAUCACAAACUGCCAUGGGACGCAAAGUAAUCCUCUAUCACGAAUCUCGUGAUCUCGUCGGAUUCCUUAGAGGAAAACCUCAACUUUGAGGAGACCCAAAGUUUCACCGGGAUUCCUAUACGCAAGAUAUAUCGCUAAGGUAAGACAAAUCUGGCAAGACCUCCCGUCGUGUCAACGAACCCGAUAGGAGCCGUGUAUCUCGUUCUUAGAACACGACGGAUUGUCCAAACUUCCGGUAGGCCAAUCACAGAGUUUCCCCUGGUAGCCACCGAUGGUUGACGGGGUGGGCCAACACUCAUGAGGAGCACUGGCCCGGGUUGUUGAUUAAGUCCUCGGGGUAGCUAUUCCCUAUGCAAAUUAUUUUUAGGUGAUUAGCAGAUUAAAACCAAUGUUGGGUCCUACCAGACGAGCCUUAACACUACACGAUUUAUCAAGGGGGUCCCCAUAACAACCCCGAACGUGUUAGGAGCGAUCAGUUAUGGAAUCAAACACCGGUAACCGAAACUAAGGCGGCAACAAUGGAACAAAUCACCCGGCAAAAGGCUAGGCCUUCCAUCAUUUACCAAGUAUAUAGGUGCAUUAAUUAAAUAGCAGUUUAAAACAUAAUGAUAUCAAAAUACUCAUGUUAUCACAUGAGACAGCUGGCACCUGCAACUAGCAAAGCUACUCAUUAGAGGUUGAGCAAGCCUACUUAGCCAAACAACAUUUUCCAGGAGAGGGAGGUGUUUGGGUUUCAUGCCAAUGACAGGUGGCAUUUAUAUCAAGUGGUAGGCAGCGAGCAUGUAUCGAAGGAAACGUGAUUCUAAGCAUAACAAAGCUAGAUACGGUAUCAAGGUCACGGUCAUCUUGCCUAUGAUGUCUUCAGCUUGGAACUGCUCUUGAUCUUCCUGCACGUACUCUCCAGAAUCCACGUACUCGCUCUCUGAUCCCGAUGCUACCCAAGAUAAAAUAACAGCCAAUGAACACCAACACAACAUUAUGCAACAAGCAACAUGAUGCAUGAGUGAAGAAGGAAGCAUGCAUCACUAUUCUAGUCACUUUCAUAUGCAUUAGUUGAGUUAAUAGAAUUCUGGACAGAACCUCAUAUUAAGUUAUCUUAACAUGCAUGAAUAUGGCAUGAACAUGUGCAUCACGAGAAAAUGAUGCAAAAGCAUAUAAAGAACAUAGAGAACGGAGCUACGGAUGAACCUGAAACUACAAAACAAGAUAUGGAGACCUACGGUUCAAAUCAGCCACAAACACACUCCAAUGGCACUCUCCUGGUGUUACCAGGUUGCCACAUGAUCAAGCAACAAAAUAUAAGUGGGGUGGUGCAUGGAAACAUACCACACCAUCAACAAUGCCCACACAAGCUUCAAAUCAACAAAAACAUGCAAUCUGUUUUUAACAGCAUCAUAGCAGUUUGUCUACAAUAUUUAAAGUAGCUACAGCCAUCCAAAUAAGCCAAACAAGAUAUGAGCCAAAAGCCAUCCAAAAUCUCUACAACCCUGAACAAGAAGUUAAUACAAAGGAGUCACCCAUGAGCAGAUCUAUGGACGCAAACUUGGACAAAAUAUCACAGAUUCUGGGACUUAGUGAAAAUCACAGAUUUUCACCAGCUGCUUAUGCUCUGAAGCAAUUUGGCAGCCUCCAAAAUGAUAUCUAUAGGAAGUGAAUAAGCAUGAAAUUUAAAGGGAGCUAGACAAACACAAAAGCUCACAAACUUUAGUUUGUUGCAUGGGCUGAUUCCCAACACAGGAGCUAAUGCAACCAAAACAACAGGGGAAGAAAAUAACAUCAGAUUCUCAGACUUAGUGAAAAUCACAGAUUUUCACAAAGCUCUCAGUUUCAGCCAAGUGUCAACUUUGACAAGGCACAAUAGGUGCAUACAACUUCCUAUGAACAAAACAAAGACCCCAUGUUGUAUAGGGGUUCACCCACUACUACUACAUCAAGGAUUCAUCCUCAUAGGGUGAAGGCACCACCUAAUACAAAGCACUAAACAUGGCAUCAAGACAGAAAAUAACAGUUUUAUGAAGUUGCUCUAAAGUGAAAUCUGAUUGCACCAAUGGAUUCCUGGGAUGAUUCUACCCCAAAAUCAUAUAUAAUACAUGGGUACUUGCAUGUAAUAUCUAGGCACAAAGCUAGCUCGAAUAACAAACCUAGAAUCCAAUAUGGCAUAUAGGAACAAUAUCACAUGUAAGAUAGCACAUGUAGCAUCCACUACACCUACACAUGCACACACACAAGUCCCUCACACAACUACAUCACUACAAUGUGGCAAGCAUGAGGGGUUAGCCCUCAUGCACAAAUGCAUAAGCACACAUACUCACACACACACACCUACAUGAGCUCACACACACACACACAUACAUGGGCUAACACUCACUCUAGUGCACACACUCACAUCUACAUACAUCCAUAGGUGCAACAUGAGGGCUAGGACCCCUUGCACAAGUGCAUAUGUGCACCCACAUGCACACACACACACACUCACAUGUGUGCACACACUCACUCAUGUGCACACAUACAUACACACUAGUGCACACACACCUCUCAUGCACACACAUACUAGGCAUUAAAAGAAAUGCAUACCCUCGUUUUGCUAAAAGAAAAACAAGGCAUUACUUGAUUCACAAGAAAAGGAAAAGGAAAAAAUGAACAAGGGGAACAAAAUAAAAUGUGGAGGCCCCUGGAUUCGAGCCCCGGACCUCUAGCACUGCUACACCAACACACACCACUAGGCUACCCUUCGGCUCUCGACAGAGGAGAGGGAGACAACAAGGUAAGCUCUCUACACAAGCACUUCUACUAGCGAAAACCACAGGAAAAUAAAAGGGGGGUCUACCAGGAUCGAACCCGCGACCUGAGGCACCAAGACCACGUGCUAAACCAGUCGGGCUAAGGACAGAUGCUUGACAGGGAGGGGGAGUUGCUCUUUUGAGCAGACCCCUCGAUGCUACCUGCAACUACGCUGACCGAAAUAGAGGCGGCCACCGGCGAGCACACACGGACUCAUCGGCGGGGCUGGUCACUGGCGAGGGAUGCGGGGAGCACGGGGGAUCCAUUCCCGAAGCUAGCGUGGGAAAAGACCCUACUUUGCGUUGCUACUACCGCGAGGGACUGCCGCGGCAACUUCUGGUCGAGCUCCUACGGUGCUACUCCGGCAAGGCAUCGCUGCGUCCAGCUACACGCGCUGACAGAGAGGGAAGGAGCGGGGUGAGACGGUGCGCGACUCACCUAGGGUCUAGGCGUCGAUCCGACGUAGGAGAGGAGGGAGGGCGACGAGCCGGAGCAGAGGAGAUCGCCGGAAGCAGAGGAAGUAGUCGAUAUCGUGGACAUCGUGGAAGGAGUCGUCGUCGUCCGGUUGCUGCGGGAACGGAGCCUCCAUGGCCACCGCGUCCUCCUGGCGCUGACGAAGAGGCGGAGGAGCAUGUUCUGCUGUCUGCUGCGAAGCUCACCGGAGCCCUUCCAUGGCGUCGGCAUCGAAGGGCUCCCUGACGGCACGAGGGAGAGAGGAGGGAGGAAAUGGAAUGCUAGGGUUGCGAGGAGGGCGGCUGGCUGCUUAAAUGGCCUCGGGAUGCGCGCUUGGAGCCGCAAGAUCGAGGAGGAAAAGGAUCGCGGUGGAUCUUCGGUCGUACACAGUGACGACAGCCCCAGGAGCGAGACGGACGUGGGGUGGGCUGCGCUGGCGACAAAAGGAGAUGGGCUAGGGAGAAGGAGGGAGCCAGCCCACCUGGCGCUAGAUAACAGAGAAAAAAAAUCUAAAGGUUUUCUCAUUUUUUAAAUAACACCCUCACACAAAAAUGCACAUGGGGAUUUAAAAAACAAAAUAAAAAUACUUAGGGCAUAUGGGAAUUAUGACCUAUUUAAAUAAAAUAUAAAACUGAUUUUUGGAGCAACUAAAUUAAAUUCAAAACAGAAUUUCCUAUGCUAUUUUUUUGAAUAACACCCCAUUCAACUUAAGUUUUAAAACCCCAAGUCAAUGCCCCUCAAUCACAAGAUAACACACUAAAAGAUCAACAUUUUUUUAAAAUAGGUUUCAAACAAGUUAAUUCAUGAGUUAAAUAAUAAUGGAGAAGGGGGUUUUGAAACCUUGUUUCAAAGCAACAUUGUUUUGAAAACACCACCACAUCAAACACAAGCACACUAGCAUUCCUAAAGGAUCAAGCAACAACAACAUCACAAUGGGAUUGUCAUGAGUGCAAAGAAUGCCAUGAUGCAAGAUGGGGACACAAAACAAAGCCACAUGAAAUGAUAACUCUUAUAACAUUGAAAGCAUGGUUCCAAAAUAGGAAUGGUUCCCAAAAUGGCAAGGGUUACAUCUGGGGCAUUACAGCGUUACACAUGGUAACCCUAAAAACACACACUCAUCUUCCAUAUCACCAAACAAUUUGUGUCCAUGUAAAUCACUUGCUUUCUUGUACCAGUAUUUUCAAGUACACUAUACCAAAGAGAACUUGCUGGACUACAUUGAUCAAAAACAAUGCGACACUCAUGGACAGACAUGCAAAUGGUCGUCUACGUGCGCGCUGAAUGUUGCAUUAUGCUAGGAAUUGACAAGAGUGCCACUAUAACCACCAAAUGGUAUGAGUUUCGCCGUCGUGCCAACAUUCACGAAGGAGACAUAUGUGCUUUUCAUUUCAAGGUCACUUCAAAGUGCCACCUCGUUCUCACCGUGCACCGCCUCUAGAUGCACCAUCAAAGACACCACAACUUCUAUGUCAAUAUAAUCUAGCACUAAGUACUCCUAAUUUUGUUCUAUCAUGUGAUGAAUCUAUGGUUUACUUUUGGACCCUGCUAUCUAAUGCUUUUGAACAUGCUAGACCUAUGUUGUUGCUUAUGUAAGUUGCUCUAUUCCGAGUCAAAUGUUUCAUGUUAGGCCCUGUUCGGAAGCUCUCUAGCUUCCCAAACGAGCCAACUUCUCGUGGAGCCAGCUCCCGCCAGCUUCUCGUGUAGUCAGGAAACGUUUGGCACACUGAUAUGUAGUGAAGCUCCGGCCGCUGAAACAAAAUAAUAUGAAUUGAAGAAAAACGUGGACAUAUAUGUACAUGUUCAGACCAAAAAUAGCCAAAUCAGAAUUGUACAAAAAGGGGGUGGCACGAUGCUCACCUUGAGCUUGAUGGAGCAGGUGCUCCGGCUGCUGGCGUGUGUUAGAGCAUAUCUCUCCAUAUGUGGUUUUGGUAAUUGAUGAAAAUUCCUAUGGACUAAUGGUUGCAUUAAGUUAUAUUUAUAGGAUUUGUCCAUAGGCACUUCUUGAAGUCCAUCUGUUGGGUUGAAGGAGUUUAUAUGAUGACCAUGGUGGUAUUCAAGGUAUUAUCCAAAGAAUGGUCAUAGAGACACAAGGUUGACCAAGAUCGUCAGACAAAGAGUAAAUCAAGAUGAUCAACACACAAAGCGUACAAGAUGUACCUUGGUAAGCAUUGUCCAUUACGUGUUUGUGUGCUAACCCAUGGUCUUCAUGAGAGUUCUAUGUGGGGUUAGGUGUGUUUCCAUGGGCUUCCGUCAAGAGGAAGAUCUCAUACAACCCAUGGAGGAUGAUGUCAAGUGGUGAUCGUCAUCAAGAUUGCGGUGUGCAAGUUCAAGUGGAUCAUCACGAAGAUAUCAUGCUUGAAUCUUUCCGUCCAUUGUGGUGGCAAUGGACUUGUGAAGAUAUGCUAAAGAGCAGCUCACCCAUAGUGUGUAUGGGGGAGCAAUCAACUAGUCUUCAUCAAGCCAACGCAAUCAAGAAAGGUGGUCCAUCUUGAUGAAGCCAAGAUCAUCGUCAUCUAGCUCAAGAGGACAAGGUGGAAGAUAUAGGUUUUCCCUUGAUAGGUUUUCUGUUUUAGGAUAGAUUGUCGUACUGUCAAGGGAGCCUCUCAAGCGAGUAGCUUGAUUGUAUUGUUUGUUGAGAGCUCAAACCAUUUGCAUCCUUGCAUCAUACUUCUUGGUUCUUGUUUGGUGUUUCUCUUUGUGAGUUUUAGAUCUUAUGGUCAUCUGCAUGACAAGCUCCAGUUCAUCGAAAACGGAGUCCAUAUGCAUCUUCUAUGAUGUUUUCGAUGUUGGGACUUUUUUCCGGUCUUAUUCGAGGAAGGGUUCUCACCAUUUUCUUAUGUGCCUUUUCUCACUUGCUUCUUAUUGAUGUUUCUAUCAAUAUUUUGUUAGCCCAUGUCGUUAGCUUUCCCACAAACUUGGUUUCGUUGAAUUCGGAGUCCGUAUGCGAAAGUUAAGGCAGUUUCUGUGGCGAGGAGUAGUACCGCUUGUGCCGAGCGGUAGUACCGCUCCCACGAGUGGUAGUAGUGCUCCGUCGGACUUUAUUUGCGCAUCCUUUUUGGCUCGUCAUGGCUGGUGAACCUAUCGAUCGGUAGUACCGCUCUGUCGGACUUUAUUUGCACAUCCUUUUUGCCUCAGCAUGGCUGGUGAACCUACCGAGCGAUAGUACCGCUCCCAUGAGCGGUAGUACCGCUCUGUGCGGGCUGUGAAGCAUAACGGUUGGUUUUUUCCCCACCUAUAAAAGGGGGUCUUCUUCCCCAUUGAACCCUAUCUCUUUAGCUCGUGUUCUUCCCCCAAUUUUGACCUUCUUCGAGCUUACUAACUCUCAAUCCCUCCAAUGAUUCUUGCUAGUUCUUGAGGAAAAAGAGAGAGGAGAUCUAGAUCCACAUUUCCACCAAUCACUUUCUCUUCUAACUGAGGGGAACCCCUUGGGUCUAGAUCUUGGAGUUCUUCAUGUUCUUCUUCAUUCUUCCUCUCAUUUUCCUCCCUAGCAUUAGUUGUUUUGGUAGGAUUUGGGAGAGAAGGACUUGGGCACUCCGUGUGGCCUUGCCAUUGCAUUUGGUGCAUCGGUUUGAGUUCUCCACGGUGAUACGUGGAAGUGAGAAGUUGAGAAUCUUAUUACCCUUGGGUACUUGGUACCCCUAGAAGCUUGGUGGUGCAUCGGAGCUCAAUCAUUGUGGUGUAAAGCUCCGGGCAAGAGUCGGGGUCUCCAAUUAAGUUGUGGAGAUUGCCCCGAGCAUUUGUGGUCACCUCGAAGCCAUAUGCCAUUGUGGUGAAGCUUCGUGGCGUUGUUGGGAGCCUCCAAUUAAGUUGUGGAGAUUGCCCCAACCUUGUUUGUACGGGUUCGGUGACCACCCUUAAGGGUCCCUUAGUGGAAUCACGACAUCUUGCAUUGUGCGAGGGCGUGAGGAGAUUACGGUGGCCUUAGUGGCAUCUUGGGGAGCAUUGUGCCUCCACACCGCUCCAUAGGAGAUUAGCAUCCGCAAGGGUGUGAACUUCGGGAUACAUCAUCAUCUCCGCGUGCCUCGGUUAUCUCUUACCCGAACCCUUUACUUAUGCACUUUACUUUGUGGUAGCGAUAUUGUUUCUUGUCAUAUAUCUUGCUAUCACUUAGUUGUUUAUCUUUCUUAGCAUAAGUUGUUGGUGCACAUAGGUGAGCCUAGUUGUUUUAGGUUUUUGUACUUGACAAAUUAAACGUUAGUUUUAUUCCGCAUUUUUUCAAGCCUAAACCGUAAUUAUUUUAAAGCGCCUAUUCACCCCCUCCCCUCUAGGCGACAUCCACGUCCUUUCAAUUGGUAUCAGAUCCAGGUCUCUCUUUAUUAGGUUUAACCACCUAGAGAGUAAGGAUGUCGACUAGGGGAUUAGGAUUCUCUGAAACUCUUAGUUUCGAUGGCACAAAUUUUGAUGUUUGGGUAAUUCACAUGCUUAAUCUGUUUAGGGUCAUGGACCCAAAUUUAGAGCGAAUUGUAGAUAUGGGUUUUUCUCCUCCAAAGGAUUCUCAAAAUAUAUCUUUAGAGGAUGAUAAAAACUUUUAUCUCAAUGCUCAAGCUUCUAAUGUGCUUUUUGAUGCUUUGAGCAAAGUAGUUAUAUUUCAACUCAUGAUAUUCCGGGAUGCUCAUGAGUUGUGGACAAAGCUUCAAGAUAAAUAUAGUGUGUCCAAGGUUUGUAGGGAUGAUUGUUCUCCCUCUACCUCUGGUCGUGGGGUCUUUGCAACUUCAUCUACUUCACCUACAUGUGGAUUGCCACAAGGUAAUGAUAUGGUGAGUAGUGGUGAUCAUUGCAAUGAUGAUAGUAGGUUUAUUGUUGAUGAUCCUUCAUCACUAUAUUAUUGCAAUGCUUCAUCUUUGGGUGUUAACACUUCGAGCACUCUAAAUGUUUUACAUGCUUGUGAGUCCUUGCAUAUCAUGUAAAAACUGUUGGACUAAAUCUCAUGAUGAUAUGCUUCCUAUAUCUUGUUGCCAUGAUAAAAAUGUAUCUAUUUCCUCGAGUUGUUGUGCUAACAAUGUAGAGGAAAUUCAUCACUCCAUGGAACAAGAUGUGGCCUUGAAUGAUGCUUCAAGGGAUCCUACAUCAUCAUCUAUUUUUACUCACUUUUGCCUUAUGCCUAAGUCUUCAAAGGUAUCUCCUACUUUGAAUCCCAAUAUAUCUCAUGAUGAUGAUGUUGAUGAUAAUGGAGAUGAGGAUAAUGAUGAAGAGAGUGAUAAUGUUGCAUCCUUAAAAAUUAAGGGUGAAAUGAUUUUUAAAUCUCUUUAUAAGAAUAAACUUGCUUGUUCCAACUUCUUGGAAAUCAUGUCUAUUGCCGCUGAAGGCAAGAAAUACAUUGAGGAGUUGGAAGCUCAUCUUGAGGAGCAUGAGGCCACCAUUGAGACAAUGGAAGGUCAUGAUCGUGAUUACGCUAAUGAGAUUGCGGAGCUAUCUUAAGCUCUUGAAAAUGAACAAACCACCAAGGAAUCUCUUGAGGAAACCUUUGCUCUAGAAUUAUCUAGAUUAAAGGAAUCCCAUGAUAGAGCUCUCGAGGUGGCUAAUGAUUUCAGAACUAAAAAUGAUAAGCUUGAAGUUUCACAUGCUAAACUCCUUGAGGACUAUGAGCACCUCGAAAAUGGCUCAAGGGCUAUUAAGAGUUCGCUCAUCGAACUCACUGAGUCCCACGCUCAACUUGAAGCUUCAUAUGCUAAAGAGCUUGCCAAGUUGCCUUCUCCUCUUAUUGCUAAUGAUGAUGCUUGUGCUACUAACUCUACUUCUUGUGAAGCAUCCAUUUUAAAGGAGAAUGUUGAGCUAAGGGCUCAACUUGAGUUGCUAUCUAGCAAUUAGGGAAAUUGUAAGAAAUUCAUGUAAUUCUCACAAGCUCUCAUGAUGAUCUUCUAGCGUCCCAUAAUGUGCUAAAGUUAGCUCAUGAGGCUAUUACUACCAAGGUAACAUCAAGUGAGGCUCAUGUGGACAAUGGCACUACUUCUAGUCAAAAUGAUAUAUUGCCAUGUGCUAGUCCUCGUAAUUCUUCUAAUCAUAAUGUUGCUACCUCUUGUGAUGAAUUACUUUCCUUGCCUUGUUGCUCUAACAAUGAAUCUUAUACUUCCUCUAGUACUUGUGUUGAUACUAACCAUGUAGAGGAAAUCGAAGAGCUCAAGGCCCAAGUCACUUCUUUGAAGAAAGACUUGGAAAAGAGUCAUGAAGGGAUGUCCACACUCAACAAUGUCUUGUGUGGGAAAAAAAUCCCCGAAUGAUAAAGAUGGACUUGGAUUAAACUCCAACAAGAAGAAGAAGUCCAAAAACUUCAAGAAGAAGGGCCAAGAACAAGUCAGGAAUCCGGCCAAGAUUUUUUGCUUCAAGUGCAAAAUUGGAGGGUGCCAUGUUAGAUCUUGCCCACUAAAGAAGAAGCCCCAAAGUCACAAGCAACAAGGGAAGCGGCCACAAGUUCAAUCAAAUACUCAACUACAAGUUGAAGAAAGGCCUCUUCCCAAGAAGAACCAAGCCAACACUCCUCAUGUUGAGAAAUCAAUAGGGAAGAAAUUAAAGGGUAGAUGUUGCUACUUAUGUCGUGAGAAGGGUCACUUCGCUUCUUCUUGCACGAGAGGUAAUUUAUCCAACCCAAUCAUUAUUGAUGAUAUCUAUUCUCUUGGGAAGGAUAAGGUUGGCAAUGUGUUUGCCAAGUUUGUUGGUACUCAAAGUGGUGUCAAGAAAAGUACCAUUUGGGUUGCGAAGCCUAUUGUGACUAACCUCUUAGGACCCAACGUGGUUGGGGACCAACAAGCUCAAACUUGAUCAAUAGGUGAUUGUGGAGGACAUUGGAGACUUGGAUACAUAAUGAAUAAUUAAGGGGUCUUCAUCAUUCAUAUUAUCUUAAGCCAAGUCAUUUGGAUUAUCGAGUUUCUAUCUCAUAUCCAAUGUGCCUCCUUACGGUAACUUGUACUUAAAUUGUUUACAUUGUUAGUUACUUGCCCCUUUGCAUGUUGUGGUUUUGUACCUUGCAUGUGUUUGUAUAUGUUGUGCUUCCAACUUGCUUAUCUUGAGUAAUCGAGUAUGUGUAUGUUGGUUUGCACAUCAUCUACAUGUGAGUCUUGUAUUGAGCCUUUUUUGCAUCUUAUUUGUAUCUUUGUUGGCUCUUGUGAGAGAUUAAUGGAUUAUCCCAUUUUGGGGUAGUGAUGUGCUUUGCGCACCUCACAAUUCUCUAAAUGUGUAUACAUGAGGAAUACCACUUAGUAUUGAUGUUUCAAGAUUAUCUAGUCUCUGUGUGGUAUGUCUUACUCAUGAGAAAUUCAAAUUCUAAAUGAUCCAUUAAUUAUCUCUUGUUGGUUUUCUUUUGACACUUGUCAAUUUUGUUGGAUUAUCACAUUAUGGGGGAGUAAUAUGCUAUGUGGAUAAUACAAGCCUAGAAAAUGUGUAUAUUUGAGAUAUUGCCACUUAGUGUUGAUAUUGUAAAUUAUCUUGUUCCUAGGUGGAAUGUUAUCUCUACAAGUGUCAUUUGCUUGUGUUUUAGGGGUAAAAGAUGAUGUUGGAUAUAUUUGCGAUCUACCAAUGAGUAUUAUUUCCAAAAUACUUCUUGUCCUUGACAAUUGGUAUUCCCAUCAUGUGGUAGAAAUUGCUAAUCGUCUUUACAUUGGAUUUUGUGUUUCGUUUGUCUUCCUUGCCUCUUGUGGAUCUAUUUUAACAUGUCAGAAAGUGAUGAUCCCAUCUUGUGCAUUUUUAUUUAAAUGCAAAUUCUAUAUAAUGUACAUCCCUUGGGGGAGCUAUCCUAUUUUCUUUAGAACACUCUCUUUAUCCGUCCAUCAUAAAAUCUUUUGAUCCCCAUCAAGUGUGUUGAUGGGAGGCUAGUCUUCAUCUUUAUGAUGCUUUGUGCCAUCAUGAAAAAAAUUCAAGGGUUUGGUUUGUUUGGAACCUAGCUCUCUUUUGGAGACUAGAUACCUCGUGUUUGUUUUUCUUCAAUCGGUAUCUUGUUUCCUUUUGUUUGGCAUGUGUCAAUGGAUAUCUCAUUCCCCGAGGUAUCUUUUAAUUGAUAUCCUUCAAGUGAUAGUUUUUCGUUUGGGAUCUUAUUAUCAUUUGACACCUUGUCUUUUGGUGACUUAUCAACUUUGUGUUGAGUUGAUUCUUGAAAGCCUUGAGCAUGCAUAUUUACUAUAUAUAGCUUCUUUUGCAUGCUUUCUUUCCUUGACCCGAUAUAUAGGGGGAAAUCCACCUUGUCAUAAAUUGGCUAAAGUGUGCAUUGAAUUCAAUUUCAUAUCUAUUUGCACAUAUUUAUGUGGAGUUUGUCCUAUGUAUUGUUGGUUUUCUAACUCUUUGGUCCCAAUGAGUUUGGGCACCAUUUUGUUUGUUUGUUGUUCUAGGAACAAUUGAAGAUGCAUUGGACGCUCGGCUCACCUACAAGGAAGGUAUUGACACCGUGUGCUUAAUGGAGCCAAGUUAGGAUGAUCAACAAACAACCAUCUACUACAUCAAUCGAAUGAUGUCUCGGUAACAAGUAUCUACUUCAUGCAUACAUUCCUUGCAAGGCCCGAACAUGUCUUCUCUUGGCUGAGCGGUACUACCGUGGGUAGCCACAGUACUACCGGUGGAGAUGUGUUACUGCUGCACUCAUGCAGUAGCAGCACCGACACGAUACUACCACAUCCAGCACGACAGUAUUUUUCUGCUGCCGUUGGACGAACGAUACUACCGCCUAGCGAACGGGAGUAAAAUUUUACAACUGCUAGCCAGGCGGUACUACCGUGAUGACGUCAUGUACUACCGCAAGGGGUUAUACCCUCCUGUCGUGGUUCUGUCUCUCUCUCCAGGUUGCAUCUUGGCAUGAAUCUCUUGAUUUGUUCUUAUGGUACUUGUUUCCUUUCUCAAAGCAUCCAAACAAUGAUGUCUCAUUGCUAGUUGGGAUGUCGUUGAUAUUCGUAUGUUGGAAGUUCAUAUUGUACAAUAAGAAAAUAUUAGGCCAUGUGCUAUGCUUUCAAGCAAAGACCUUAUUGAUAUAUUUAUGACUUCCUUUUGGAUAUCUUGUUUGUUCCUUCUUGUAACCAUUUCGUGUGUACAUCCUUCUUUGUGGAUAUAUAUCAUCAUGAUUGUCUUCUACCUAGAAUCUUUUACACAUGAGAGAAGUUACAUCUCUAAUUGAUAUCCUCUUUUCUUUCACGUCCACCGUUACAUUUCCUUUUACAGUUUUUGGUGGCUUCGUGAAAGGAUUUGUCUUGAGUGUGUAUCUUAUAUUCUUGCAUCUUGAUGCACUCUUUGGUGGUGAAGAUUAUUUUUCCUCGUUCUUGUCUUGAUGAGGGUUUUGCCAUUUUGAUUGGUAUCCCUCCUCUUGACAAGGUAAUUAUUUCUUAUCUUCACCAUGGGCUGUCACAAGCGUUGGUUCUCAAUUUGUUUUUUUGUAAGCUUGUGAACCCAUUUUCUAGUAGUGUGUGUGUGGGAAGGAUAUGUCUUGCACUUUGUUUCUUAUUUCAUCAAGACUAUGUUGAUGAGUAAUGCUCGUCCUUAUCUUAGUCUUCUCAAGUGAUUUUCCAUGACACACACACAUUAUUUUGGUUGAGCCUAUCUUAAGUUGCUUCUUUUACAUGUUGCUCAACCAUUUGUUUUGUGCAAGUGAUAUGCUUAUUGUCUCAUCUAUCUUCUUGCACUCAUUGUAUCUUUUUAUUAAUUUUGGGGGAGCAACGAUCCUAUUUUGUGCACUUGUAUCAAAUACAAAAAUCUCUUAUUAGUGCACAAAUCAUGGAGAGCUUCUCUAGUUUUGAUAAAACACUCCUUUGCCUUUGUCAUAAUAUCUUUUAUUCAUGUGGUUCGAAGGACCAUGUGAUUGUUUGUUCCAUAUGGUAUCUUUUGAUUGCUUGCUUCUAUUUUGUAUGUCUUUGUGCCAUACGAUCCUUCUUUUUGCAAUCUUUGGGUCCUCAAUAUAGUUCAUUUUCCUCCAACUACUUAUCAUUGUAUUUGUGUAUUUCUUUGCACUCAUUUGCUGAGAAGUACACACUAUUUGGAGGACCACCUACUAUAUUGGUUUUCUAAACUUUUCGUUCAUUUUGGCAAUCGAUGCCAAUGAGGAGAAGUUUAGAGAGUUUACUUUGGAUAUGUUUAGAGGGUUUUGCUUUUAUUGCGUAAGCAUUUACAUCUUGCGCGCAUGCAUUAUUGCUUUGUAUGGGUGCACUUGGUUAAGCUUAUUUCCUUAUAUAAAAUCUCUUGAAGUGGUUGUCAUUAAUUAGCGAAAUGAGGGAGAUUAUUAGAGCAAAUCUCUCCAUAUGUGGUUUUGCUAAUUGAUGACAAUUCCUAUAGACUAAUGGUUGCCCUAAGUUAUAUUUAUAGGAUUUGUCCAUAGGCACUUCUUGAAGUCCAUCUGUUGGGUUGAAGGAGUUUAUAUGAUGACCAUUGUGGUAUUCAGGUAUUAUCCAAAGAAUGUUCAUAGGGACACAAGGUUGAUCAAGAUCGUCAGACAGAGAGUAAAUCAAGAUGAUCAACACACAAAGCAUACAAGAUGUACCGAGAGGGAUCAAGUGAUCCCAUGGUAUGGUAAGCAUUGUCCAUUACAUGUGUGUGUACUAACCCAUGGUCUUCAUGAGAGUUCUAUGUGGGGUUAGGUGUGUUUCCACGGGCUUGCGUCAAGAGGAAUAUCUCAUAUAACCCAUGGAGGAUGACGUCAAGUGGUGAUCGUCAUCAAGAUUGCGGUGUGCAAGUUCAAGUGGACCAUCACGAAGAUAUCAUGCUUGAAGCUUGCCGCCCAUUGUGGUGGCAAUGGACUUGAGAAGAUAUGCUGAAGAGCGGCUCACCCAUAGUGUGUAUGGGGGAGCAAUCAACUAGUCUUCAUCAAGCCAACGCAAUCAAGAAAGGUGGUCCAUCUUGAGGAAGCCAAGAUCAUCGUCAUCUAGCUCAACAGGACAAGGUGCAAGGUAUAGGUUUGCCCUUGAUAGGUUUUCUGUUUUAGGAUAGAUUACCGUACUGUCAAGGGGGGCUCUCAAGUGAGUAGCUUGAUCAUAUCGUUCGUUGAUAGCUCAAACCAUUUGCAUCCUUGCAUCAUACUUCUUGGUUAUUGUUUGGGGUUUCUCUUUGUGAGUUUUAUAUCUUAAGGUCAUCUUCAUGACAAGCUCGAGUUCAUCGAAAACGGAGUCCAUAUGCAUCUUCUAUGAUGUUUUCGAUGUUGGGAGUUUUUACCGGUCUUAUUCGAGUAAGGGUUCUCACCAUUUUCUUAUGUGCCUUUUCUCACUUGCUUCUUAUUGAUAUUUCUAUCAAUAUUGUGUUAUCCCAUGUCGUUAGCUUUCCAACAAACUUUGUUACAUUGAAUUCGGAGUCCGUAUGCGAAAGUUAAGGCAGUUUCUGUGGCGAGCUGUAGUACCGCUUGUGCCGAGUGGUAGUACCGCUCCCACGAGCGGUAGUACCGCUCCGUCGGACUUUAUUUGCGCAUCCUUUUUGCCUCGGCAUGGCUGGUGAACCUAUUGAGCGGUAGUACCGCUCCGUCGGACUUUAUUUGCAGAUCCUUUUUGCCUCAGCAUGGCUGGUGAACCUAUCGGGCGGUAGUACCACUCCCAUGAGCGGUAGUACCGCUCUGUGCUGGCUGUGAAGCAUAACGGUUGGGUUUUAUCCCACCUAUAAAAGGGGGUCUUCUUCCCCCAUUGAACCCUAUCUCUUUAGCUCGUGUUCUUCCUCCAUUGUUGACCUUCUUCGAGCUUGCUAACUCUCAAUCCCUCUAAUGAUUCUUGCUAGUUCUUGAGGAAAAAGAGAGAGGAGAUCUAGAUCCACAUUUCCACCAAUCAAUUUCUCCUCUAAUUGAUGGGAACCCCUUGGGUCUAGAUCUUGGAGUUCUUCGUGUUCUUCUUCGUUCUUCCUCUCAUUUUCCUCCCUAGCAUUAGUUGCUUUGGUGGGAUUUGGGAGAGAAGGACUUGGGGCACUCCGUGUGCCCUUGCCAUUGCAUUUGGUGCAUCGAUUUGAGUUCUCCAUGGUGAUAUGUGGAAGUGAGAAGUUGAGAAGCUUAUUACCCUUGGAUACUUGGUACCCCUAGAAGCUUGGUGGUGCCUCGGAGCUCAAUCAUUAUGGUGUAAAGAUCCGGGCAAGCGUUGGGCUCUCCAAUUAAGUUGUGGAGAUUGCUCCGAGCAUUUGUGGUCACCUCGAAGCCAUAUGCCAUUGUGGUGAAGCUUUGUGGUGUUGUUGGGAGCCUCCAAUUAAGUUGUGGAGAUUGCCCCAACCUUGUUUGUACGAGUUCGGUGACCGCCCUCAAGGGUCCCUUAGUGGAAUCACGACAUCUUGCAUUGUGCGGGGGCGUGAGGAUAUUACGGUGGCCUUAGUGGCAUCUUGGGGAGCAUUGUGCCUCCACACCUCUCCAACGGAGAUUAGCAUUCGUAAGGGUGUGAACUUCGGGAUACAUCAUCGUCUCUGCGUGCCUCGGUUAUCUCUUACCCGAACCCUUUACUUAUGCACUUUACUUUGUGAUAGCCAUAUUGUUUCUUGUCAUAUAUCUUGCUAUCACUUAGUUGUUUAUCUUGCUUAGCAUAAGUUGUUGGUGCACAUAAGUGAGCCUAGUUGUUUUAGGUUUCGUGCUUGACAAAUUAAACGUUAGUUUUACUCCACAUUUGUUCAAGCCUAAACCGUAAUUAUUUUAAAGUGCCUAUUCACCCCCCCCUCUAGGCGACAUCCACGUCCUUUCAGCGUGGAUCUUGCGGGAGGCUGGACGGAGUAGAUUUCCGACUGUUGGCGGGGACCAACAGAGGUAGUGGUGGUAGAUUCACGAGAUGGCUACGCGGUGACUCUGGGCGACUACUGUUAGCGGCGGUGGACGGAGACCGUCAGCGGUGCGGUGACGUGUCAGCGGGCAUCGGUGCAUUGGCAGCGCAACUAGGGUUGCUAGAGGCAGCCACAGGUUGGUCUGACGGCCGAACUAGUUCUCAGACCGGCAUGUAGCGAAAGAAAACGCUUCGUGUGUGGCACUUCGGAAAGGUAUUCUCCUGUAAUUUCUAGCAACUCCCACUUCUUGUUUUAGUGAAGUUGCGAUUCUGCUGCUUCUAAACUUUGCACUGCGCGACUCUGGUUGGCUUCUCCGAAGAUAGGGCGUUCGGGUGGCUUAAUUUGGCUCAUUCGGGAAGCUGGCUGGCAGAGAGCUUCCGAAUGGGGACUUAAGAUCCAUAAUGGGGCUUGUUUGUGUAUAUCUAUUGAUAUUUUCUGCUUCAAAUCUCAAUUCCUUAAUUAAAAUAAUAUCACACACGCUAAUCAGAGUAGAAAAAUAUGUUAAAGGACCGACCACUAGCUGGCACCACCCAACUCCUCCUCAAGAGGUGCGCCGGUGGCGCGUCCCAACACCCAGUGUGUAAAUACAUGCUAUCUUUAUAAUCAAUGUAGUUUCCCUACAAAAAACCCACCAUAUGUAUCCAAAAUUGAAACAACAUCCUUGCUCGAAACAACGCUUUACAAAGGACCUGCUCGUGCUCUUCCGUCCCUACAUAACAAAUAGCCAAAGCAACAUGGCACCAAAGACAGUAACUCCAACAUACAGUGAGUCAACAAUGAGUCACCAAUCGAGUAGUUUUUCUUGCUUAAUCGUGACAUCAACUGAAUGUCAUAUCUUCAGCUCCAAAAUCGUUGCUUCAAAGACCACCCAUGACUAUAAUGGGUCACAUUAUCCUCCUUUUUAAACUACAUUUGAUUUUUGUGUAAUGGACGUAAUGGUUCAUCUAAUAGCAAACAGAAAAAACAAAGGAGUGAGGAGAACAACGACAAGCUAGGUCGCGAUGAAGGCCUCAAGGGUGUUUUGAUAUUUUAAGCAUAAAAUGGACGUCAAAUAUGAUAUUUAGGGAGUGGUGGCAGGGUAUCAGUUAACUAGAAUAUUUUUUUAACAUAAUGCAAAUGCUCGUACAUACAUACACACAUACAUCUUACCCCUACGAGCAUCCCAAAAGACUAAGCUAACAUAAGAGCAUCUCUUGCAGACUUCAUAUAAAUGGUCAAACCCUUAUAAUUUUGCGUUUUACAGUUUUGAUCGAAAAAAAUGUCCAGAAUAGAAACCGUAAAAAUGGACCAAUCCAUAAAUUUUAAAGGCCAUCGAAAAUGCAAACUCGAAACCUUUAUCCCAGUUUGGAGGAAGAAACUCUUUACCCAGUUUUAAGUUUGUUUUACGGUAUCUGUUCGAUCGUAGCUAAAAUGAACCCUUAAAAUGCCUUUUUUUACCUGUAUCCCAGCUUUGUAGUUUGCGAUUUCAAGGAGUAUGAUAGAGAUGCUCUAACAUCUUAAGAUUGACAAAGUCAUCACAUACCUUUUCAUGGUCGGCCGAAAUGUUUUUUCCCACUCAACGAACAUCAUCCAAAGGCUGAAAUUGGGUUAAAAUUAAUCCAGUUAAAAGUUUUGGCUUCGUUACCGCUAAUUUUCCCCUAGUUGGAGCGCACAUAAUUUAAUUUUCUUUCGAAUAUCCAUCUUUGAGUUCAGACUCAUCUGCAUCCAGUCAAGAAAAAACAUAAAAAGUACAAACAAAAUCAGAAAAAAACAUUUUUUGCAUGGUAGAUAAUCUGAUGCGUGAGUUGCGCUUAAAUUUUUAAAUCAUUUGGAUAUAUCUCGGCAAAAAACACAAAUUGAAUCAAAACAGUACACGAAUAUGAUUUUUUAUAAACCCCAAAUUUAUCUUUUUUGUCAACAGAUACUCAAAUGUCCAAGCAAUCUAAAAUUUGAAGCGCACCUAAUGUACCAAAUUAUCUACGAUGCAAUUUUCCCUUAGAAAAUUUUGACUUUUUGUAGUAUUUGUUUUGAUUUGUUUUUCAUCUGGGGUUCAUGUUCUUUGACCUUUUGUCAAUUUUUUUCUGUUUGACUAAUCAUUGUCUUUUGUAUUCCCUCUAUAAACUAAUAUAAGAGCGUUUAGAUUACUAAAGUAGUGUUCUAAAUGCUCUUACAUUAAUUUACGGAGGAAGUACAUAGCAGUCAGUAAGUCAACACAGCAUAAAAUCUCAUCUGAAAAAAAAGGAAACGCAGCAUGAAUCUAGCGUAGAAAAACCUUAAACUAAAUCUAGAGUGUGUUAUUGUUCGUGGGGGAGCUAUUCUCUCUCGAUCAGUUGGGAGCUGCUGACCAUCACCCAAAAAAACAUGUGUCAGCGCCAACACUAGCCCUAGUAGAACUCCGAGCGCCUCCCCGUGCGGCCGCGCGCCUUCUCCCGGUCGGCGACCCUCCCUGCAUCCCCUCUAGCUCUCACAUCCCUCAGCCAACUCUCCAGCAACGGCAACCUCCCUCCUCCGACGACGACGCCCGGUCACCCCGUCCUCCCUCAGCGCCAGAUCCACGGUCAACGCGGCUUCCUUGCUCGUUCCCACGGGCCGCGGCAGAUCUACGCGGGCGGCGGCCCUCUCUGUCGGUGGCCGCCCCCCGUUACCCGACGGCCUUCCUUAGCCAUGGUGAGCUCCCUGUCCUCUCCUUUCUUACCAUGGCCGCUGAAUUUGGGCAGCAACUCGGUUUGUUACUACGCCAAAGUGGGAGUAAAAUCCCCCUUUGAACGCUAGGUUCUGUUUUAGGCUGAAGAAGUUGGUAGAUUUGAGAUUGUGACUCCGCUUUUGAACGCUUGCUUUCAUCAUCACAAUGCUUAUGGGUUAUGGCAAGCCAUCGUAUCUAAAAUGUAAGGUGCAUUUCCAUGUUUCCAGCUCUGCGAUCUUGUGUAAGGUGCAUUUUGUAUGUUUCCAGCUUUUAUUAUUUCAGUUUGGCAUAAACAUUUAUAGAAUAAUAUUAGAUGUUGCAUAUACUAUAUAUAAGACCGCCCCUGUGUCCAAUGGCAGAGGGUGAUUUUUGUUGUUGUUGAGGUGGGGGCGGAUUCUAAAACAAAAAUUUCGAUGCAAAAUCAAAGUACCACACGCACUAACAGUAAACAUUUUAUAGAAUAAGAUUAGAUGUUACAUAUACUAUAUAUAAGACUGCCCCUGUGUCCAAUGGCAGAGGGUGAUUUUUGUUGUUGUUGAGGUGGGGGCGGAUUCUAAAACAAAAAUUUCGAUGCAAAAUCAAAGUAGUCUCCACACGCACUAACAGUAAACAUUUUAUAGAAUAAGAUUAGAUGUUACAUAUACUAUAUAUAAGACUGCCCCUGUGUCCAAUGGCAGAGGGUGGUUUUUUUGUUGUUGAGGUGGGGCGGAUUCUAAAACNNNNNNNNNNNNNNNNNNNNNNNNNNNNNNNNNNNNNNNNNNNNNNNNNNNNNNNNNNNNNNNNNNNNNNNNNNNNNNNNNNNNNNNNNNNNNNNNNNNNNNNNNNNNNNNNNNNNNNNNNNNNNNNNNNNNNNNNNNNNNNNNNNNNNNNNNNNNNNNNNNNNNNNNNNNNNNNNNNNNNNNNNNNNNNNNNNNNNNNNNNNNNNNNNNNNNNNNNNNNNNNNNNNNNNNNNNNNNNNNNNNNNNNNNNNNNNNNNNNNNNNNNNNNNNNNNNNNNNNNNNNNNNNNNNNNNNNNNNNNNNNNNNNNNNNNNNNNNNNNNNNNNNNNNNNNNNNNNNNNNNNNNNNNNNNNNNNNNNNNGAUUCUAAAACAAAAAAAAUUCGAUGUAAAAUCAAAGUAGUCUCCACACGCACUAACAGUGCACACUCACACCUAAAAUGUUUGGUCAAAUAUCCGAUUCACAACAUUAAAAUGCCACUAAUCACUACACUGCAGACUGCAAGCUAUUUUGAAAUGCUACUAAAAUUCAGAAAAUAUACCCGUGAGCCUUUCCUUCUGCUAGCCUCUUCCCCUUCUUGUCUAUCCUCUUAACAUCAACGCUACCUCGCCACCCGCCAGCUAACGGUUUUGUGGCGUUAGUUGCUCGAUGGGGUUGGCUGCCUGGCUCGAUCGGUUCGUGGUGUACUGGCCUGGUGCGUAGCUGGGGGUUGGGCAGUGGGCUGACCGGUGUGCAUUGCUGGGCGCUGGCUAAGGCCCAAGUAGCUGGCUGCAUGGCCCAGUUAGACAAAUGACUAGCCCUUUGAUGUUUUCUGGAGCUCUUUUGCAUCGAACGUUAGCUAGCCAGCCACAGGAAACCAUGUAUGCAUACAUGUAUAAAACUUUAUGUACAAAAUCGAGGUAAGACAGCCGCCCUACCUUGCCCUAUGAAGAGCCCCGCCCGUGCCUGUGUCACCAUUCAUUAUUUGAAAAUAACACAUAUCUUGUAGUGUUUGUGCAACAUAGGAUGCCUGUGUAGAAUUUGGAUUUCUUGAUGGAGUGGACUAUAGUUUGACGCACUCAGCGUGCAACCUGAGGAGUCCCCUCGACAUCAGCCCUUAAAUCAUAAAGUGUGGUGUGGUGCUCGACAUGGUGACAUAAUCGGACAACACAGUACCGUGUCAUGCUGGCAUUUUAUGCUUUGAAUGUCUGUGUCGGAGAUUUCUCAUUUUUAGAGAUGGUGAAAAUAGUAGACUUACUAAUAAUGAUCACGUGAAGCACAUGAAUUUUGAACAUCAAGAACAUAAUUUUGGUAAUAAAAACUCAUGCGAUGAAGUAUGAACACUUGCAAAGCUAGUAAUGGUAAACUGGUGAGAUUAGUACAUAAUUAACAUUCAUAAUAGUCAAACCAGAGGAUAAUGAUGUAAAGACGAGAGUAAUCAAGGUCACAUAAUUAGCAUUCAUAAUAGUCAAACCAGAGGAAAUAACAUCAACAAAUUAAUAGCUUAAUAUUCCAAAUAAAAGCAAUCGUCGAAAGGAGAAGUCCUCACACCCUUGCGUCACACUUUAGUUUUAAGGGGAGGUAACGACCCUUGCACGUGCUCUGUAGUCGGGGUCCCGCAAUAAGCUCGUGGUGGUGGGGCAAGGCACUGUAUUCUACUCGGUCUAGGCCGGGUAAUGUGUUUCCGAAAGAGAACACUUUAGUAGCCGUCCAGCUAGGGUUUAAUCUUUCAUACCAUGUUUGUUCAUUCAGGAAAUUGGAGUAUGCACUGGAGUGACGAGGGUGUGAGUUGGCAUUGGGUUGGGAGAGAGUAGGUCCAAUGGGUUUUUAUAGCCAAGCAAACCUCUCUAUAUACGAGGGUGUGAGUAUGCACUGUAUUGUACUCGGUCUUGGCCAAGUAGUGUGUUUAUCAAGGAUAAUGUUGUAGUAAUCGACAGGCUAGGGUUUAUUCCUUCAGGCCAUGUUUGAUGGUUUAGGAGUUUAGAGGCUGUGAUGGAGUGAUGAGGGUGAGAGUUGGCAUUGUGUUGGGAGAGUAGAGGCCCUGCUGCACCUGAUUAGCAGGCAAAGAGCCCGGGCCUCUCAAUCGACAUCCCAACAGUGAGCAAAUCCAGUGCAAGGAGGAGGUCCUGCUGCACCUGAUCAGAAGCCAAAGAGCCCACACCUCUCAGUCGACAUCCAAACACUGAGCAGCAGCCUACAGCAUACCCAAUCAGCAUGUCCUCCUCACACCGACUACAGGAGCCGCUGACACCACACCAACAACACUUGGUUCAGGUUCUAGUAAGAACGGCAGCAACAAUGUCCCUGCCAAGCUGCAUGUCCUCCUCAUACGGAGUUCAGUGAAAAAGAAUAAUCCUGGGUUCUAACUUCUAAGCCAAGUAACAUUCAGUUGAUCCUGUAUCCAUAUAUAAUCACAUAUUUUAUUUCAAUACAGACGACUGAUCGUUCCUUCUGUUUUGAUAUUAUAAACAACAAUUAAUGUUGAGUCUGAACAUGGUCGCUCUUCCGGUACCAAGUGUUAUUUCGACGGAUAUUUUGCUACUGGGCGGACAAGUUGUAUCCGUAUCCUUGAUAAAUGAUCAUACAUAGCUAAAAUGAUGACUAGGUCCCUUUGAUUUUGUUUCAUAUACUUUUUGUCAUUCCACAUUCAGAUGAAUAAAAGCAUCUUAUAUGAUUGGUCAAUGUGUUUGCAGGUAGAAUCUGUGUCCUGCUAUUGCAGGGUAGAUGGAGGCCUUAAAACUGUUGUCAAUGCUAGAAAGUUCGUCCCUGGUGCCAGACUGUGCAUGCAACCUGAUGUCAAACCGAGCAAGCGCAAGUCAAGGAGCUCACGCAAGGAGAGGUGCCGAACUCAGGCACCACUUCUGCCUGGCCUUCCUGAUGACCUGGCUAUUUCAUGUUUGAUGCGGGUUCCUCGAGUCAAGCACCCUAAUCUUCGUUUAGUCUGUAAAAGAUGGAGCCGACUUUUAUCUGGGAAUUAUUAUUACUCACUGCGGAAGAAAUUUGGCAUGGCAGAAGAAUGGGUUUAUGUCUUCAAAAGGGACCGUGAUCAGAAAAUAUCUUGGCAUGCCUUUGAUCCAGUGCACCAGCUCUGGAAGUCACUUCCUCCAGUUCCACCAGAGUAUUCCGAAGCCGUGGGAUUUGGUUGCGCUGUUCUCAGUGGCUGCUAUUUGUACUUAUUUGGUGGCAAAGACUCAGUACGAGGGUCCAUGAGGCGUGUUGUAUUUUACAAUACUCGGACAAACAAGUGGCACCGGGCCCCAGAUAUGCUACGGAAGCGGCAUUUCUUUGGUUCUUGUGUCAUAAAUAACUGCCUCUAUGUUGCUGGUGGGGAGUGUGAAGGGAUACAGAGAACUCUAAGGUCUGCAGAGGUCUACAAUCCGAACAGGAAUAGAUGGUCUUGCAUUACUGAAAUGAGCAUAGGAAUGGUGCCUUUCAUUGGAGUUGUAUAUGAUGGCAAGUGGUUCCUAAAAGGAUUUGAUUCUCACCGCCAGAUUGUGAGCGAGGUCUAUCUGCCAACAUCCAAUAUGUGGUCAACCACUGGUAAUGAACUGGUUGCAGGCUUACGAAAUCCAAGCAUUUCCUUUAACGGCCGUCUUUAUUCAGCGGAUUGUCGGGAUGCCUGCAAGCUAAGAGUUUAUGAUGGGGACACGGGAUUGUGGACAAGGUUCAUGGACAGUAGACGCCAUCUGGGAAGCUCACGGUCUUUCGAAGCUGUGGCUUUGGUCUCACUGGAUGGAAAGAUCUGUGUUAUCCGUAAUAACAUGAGCAUCACCCUUGUUGAUGUCUGUGACCCUACAGCAAUUAUUGAGAUUGACAGUGCUCGCAUUUGGGAGACUUUUGCCCGGAAAGGACAACACAGGUCUUUCAUUGCAAACUUGUGGUCAACAAUUGCAGGUCGUCAUUUAAAGACCCACAUUAUCCAUUGCCAAGUGCUCCAAGUUUGAAUGUGUCUGUCUAUCAAGUGGAAACAUGUUCAAAUGUAUUUCAUUUUUGUGGGAAAGAUGCUCAGAUUUUGAAAGAAGCCCUCGAUUAUAAGCUGGAAUAUGGAUACAAGUACAACAGUACCCCAUGAUUGCAGGGGAGAGGCAUCACGUUACCACAUCGAACAUCUAUUGAUUCCAUUCCUAUAAAUUCACCGAGGUGUCGACCAAGUUGCAUGAUGUUUAUCAAAGAGGAGGCCAGAGCUGUGGUCAUCAUCGUGAGACGAACAAAAACCUUGCGUAACACCAAAUGGUGCGUCCGGAAGCACUGGUGAUUUUUGCGAGCUGAUGCUUCAUGAUUUUGGUCAGCCCAAUGCUGCUGGCGAUAGGCAGCAGAAAUUGCACUCCAUCUUCAUGUCCAUGGAUGUAUUUUUCUUCCUUUUUGGCAUAUGUACUGUAGCAGCAGACUAUAUAGACUUAAAAUGUAAGAAAUUGAAUAAGAGUGUUUGGUUUGUGCCAAAACCAACACUACCCCAAACUUGGCUAGCCAAGGAUUAGCAACAAGUUUGGUUUGAUGAUUUGGGCACAAACCAAAAUCACAUCCUAAUUCUAUGUUUAUGCUUUGGAAUUCCUUCUUUUCGCUGGGAACCUUUGGCAUCCGCAAGUGGAUGUAACAUGUAAUAUGGCUAUAUAUUCUGGAUGGAAAAGAUUGUCACAGAUAUUUCAUGUAUGAGUUGCAAUCUUUUUAUAGUGAUGAGCUGAUGCAAUUACUAACAUCAUGUAUCCAAGAAAUGUAUCUUUCAUUUUGGGAAAGAUAGAACUGAAAGGCUGGAGUAAAAGACAUGGUGGUUAUGGAAUGACCUGGGCCUGUGGUUCAAGUUGGAAGAUUAAUAUGUUUGCCUUGUCUUGAUGUGUUACAAUGUACAAGUAUAUAUACUAGGAGAGCCCACUACUAGUCCUAGAAAGGUGGCACGCGGGCCAUGACCAUGGGAUCCUAAAAGAGUGGAUCAACCUAGACUAAGUAUUACAACAUAUGUGGUACAACGUGUCUAACACCCCCCCUCAGUCGGAACUCCAUGUGGAUGGACGUUGAGACUGGAUCGGAACUCGCUGAAGACCGGUGAUGGCAAUCCUUUGGUGAACACAUCGGCAAACUGAGAGCUUGAUGGUACAUGUAGAACACGAGCUUCUCCAAGAGCGACGCGGUCACGAACAAAAUGAAGGUCAAUCUCAAUGUGUUUAGUGCGCUGAUGUUGCACAGGGUUGCAAGCCAAAUAUGAAGCACUCACGUUGUCACAAUAGACAAUCGUAGCCCGCUGUGGUGGGAGACGAAGCUCAUGGAGUAAUUGACGUAGCCAACAGGAUUUGGCCACACAAUUAGCCACAACCCGAUACUCAGCUUCGGCGCUGGAACGUGAGGUAGUGGGUUGGCGCUUGGAGGACCAAGAAAUAAGAUUAGAGCCAAGAAAGACACAGAACCCAGAGGUGGAUUUGCGUGUAUCGGACAGCCUGCCCAGUCCGCAUCUGUAUAUGCAAUGAGGUCUUGAGAGGAAGACUUGUAGAACUGGACGCCGAAAUGAGAAGUGCCCUUCAAGUAACGCAAGAUACGCUUGACAAGCUGCAUGUGGGUGUCGAGGGGAGCGUGCAUGAAUAGGCAAGCUUGCUGAACGGCAUAGGCAAUGUCGGGGCGUGUGAGAGUGAGGUAUUGAAGUGCACCGGCGAGACUUCUAUAUUUGGUGGGGUUGGGGAGAAGCUCACCAGCAGCGGAUGAGACUUUGGCACUCGUGUCGAUGGGGGUGGAAACUAGCUUGCAAUUGAGCAUAUUAGCACGGUCAAGGAUUUCUAAAGUGUACUGUUGUUGACAAAGAAAGAGACCCUCGCGAGUGGGAGUGACAUUAACACCUAGGAAAUGAUGCAAGGCUCCUAAGUCGGUCAUGGAGAACUCCGACUUGAGGGAGUGAAUGAUGGAGGUGAGUGUGCGAGGUGUGUUGGCGGUUAGGAUGAUGUCAUCAACAUAUACAAGAAGGUAAGCAAUGGAUGUACCAUGGUGCAGGAUGAACAGUGAGGAAUCACUCUUGGAUGCAUGGAACCCGAGAGACAGAAGGAAUGCCUGAAAGCGGAGAAACCACGUGCGCGGAGCCUGUUUGAGUCCAUAGAGAGACUUACGUAGGAGGCACACAUGGUCGGGGCGCUUGGCAUCCACAAAACCAGCAGGUUGGGCACAAUACACCGUUUCCUUGAGAUCACCAUGGAGGAAUGCAUUUUUGACGUCGAGUUGAUGAAUGGGCCAUGAGUGAGACGUCGCAAUGCUCAAGACGACCCGAAUGGUGGCAGGUUUCACCACGGGACUGAAGGUGUCACCGUAGUCGACGCCCUCCUGUUGGGUGAAGCCCCGGACAACCCACCGAGCCUUGUACCGAGCCAACGUGCCAUCAGUGUUGAACUUGUGGCGAUAGAUCCACUUCCCCGUGACGACAUUUACACCUGCAGGUUUAGGCACCAAAGACCAAGUGAAGUUGUUCAUUAAAGCAGAGUACUCAUCAAGCAUUGUCUGUUGCCAAUUUGGGUCUUUGAGAGCGGACUUAUAGGAGGAAGGAAUCGGCGAGAUGGAAGCAGGAGAAGUGGACGAGAGAAAAAGCCGUUUGGGCAUGCAGUAGCCUCGUUUGGCGCGGGUGGUCAUGGUGUGGGAAUUAUGCGGAGGAGGAACGGGCAACGCAUGGGCGGGGAGACGGGGCGCAGGUGGCGUAGAAGGCGCAGGGGCCGAAGACGGUUGUGUCGGGCCGGGGGAAGCGGUCGGAGAGGCGGAGGCAGGCGCGUGAUCCGAGGGGGAUGCGGUGUCAGCGGGAUGGUGGGGCGACACGACGGGUGCGUGAUCCGAGGAAGAUGCGGGAUCAGGGGAAGCUGAGUUUGACGCGGAUGGGGCGGGCGAAUCGGCCGCAGGAGAGGCGCGUGGGCUGGUGGAUGGGGGCGCGGUCCGCGAGGCGGGUAUGUCGGCCCGGGGAGGAGUGGCGUCGGGGUGGAGCGACGCGGUAGUGGUGGACCCCGUAGUGGGCGGGAAAACGCAUGGCGACGCAGGAGGUAGGUGGGGGGGACCGGGCGCAGCCUCGGGAUCGGGGGAGAUCGGUAGAGGAAGCAGUUGUGCAUGGGGAUUGUCUGUGGACAUAGAGCCCGUGUGGCCGGAGGUGGGAGGUGUGUACGGAAAGAUAGUUUCGUCAAAAACAACAUGUCAGGACACAAUGACGGGGCGAGUGGCGAGGUCGAAGCACCGGUAACCUUUGUGUUCCAAGGGGUAACCCGAAAACACGCAGCGAGUAGAGCGAGGGGAGAGUUUGUUGGGCAUGGUGGCGUAUAGAUUGGGGAAGCAUAAGCAACCAAAAACGCGAAGAUGAUCAUAUUGGGGAUGUAUACCGUGAAGAAGGUAGUAUGGAGUAUGUGGCAUGAUGGAGCGGGAGGGGCGACGGUUUAGUAGGUAAGUGGCCAUGUGUAGAGCUUCAACCCAAAAUGGGGGGGGUGAGGUUGGCUUGGAGAAGAAGCGUGCGGACGAUGUCGUUUGUUGUGCGGAUGAGGCGUUCAACUUUCCCGUUUUGCGGCGAGGUGUGGGGGCAGGAAAAACGAUAGGCGAUGCCAUUGGAGGAGAAGAAGCUACGUAAGGAGGAGUUGAUGAAUUCGCCACCAUUGUCGCAUUGCAUGGAUUUGAUAAUGACGUUGUAUUGUGUGUGAACAAAAGUAAAAAAGCGUUGGAGAAUAGUGGAUGUAUCGGAUUUGUUACGCAUGGGAAACGUCCAGGAAUAGUGAGUAAAAUCAUCUAAAAUGACCAAAUAAUACUGAAAACCAGAGAAGCUUACAACGGGACUAGUCCAGAGAUCACAGUGAAUUAAAUCAAAUGGAGCAAAGGUCCUGCUAAAGGAGGAGGGGAAGGGAAGGCGGGGCUGGCGACCAAGCUGACGAGCACUACAGGGAGUGUGGGCAGCCUUAUUACAGGAACUAAGAAAGUCGCGAGUAAUGGACGAGAGGGUGCUAGCGCCGGGGUGUCCAAGACGGCGAUGCCACAAAUCCGACGGAGAGCUGGCGAGGAGCGCGGUGUGUGACGGAGCAGGCAACGAGCCGGUGAAGGGGUAGAGAUCACCGUAGCUAACGGAGAUCAUGAGGACCCUCCGAGUGCGAAGAUCCUUCACAAGAAAACCACACGGGUAAAAUUCAAUAGAGCAAGCAUUAUCUUUGGUGAACUUGCGGACAGAGAUUAAACUAGUGAUGACAGUAGGAGAAACAAGAACAUCAGUGAGGCGGAAGUCGUGAGGAGAAAGAUGGGUGGUGCCGGUGGCGGUGACGGGGAUGUGAGACCCAUUGCCAACAAGAAUACUAGAGGGUAAAUGCUUUAAGGAAGAACUAGACUUGGUGAGAUUACCUUGGUUGCCCGUCACAUGCGAGGAGGCGCCACUGUCGAGAAACCAUUCAGUUGAUGGUUGCGUGGGGAAGCCGCUGUUGAUGUAGGCCACGUUGAGCAUGGCCGCGUGAUCCCAAGAGGCCGGUGAUGGUGGGUAGAACGGAGCAGUAGACGGCGGGGGAGGGUGGUACAGGGGGAACACCUGGGCGUGGGAGUUGGGGCGGGGGCCGAGGACGCCGGCGGCAUUCGGGGGAACCCAGCCCGGACGAGGGGACGGCAGCGCCAUGCCAUACGGGGCAAAAUAGCCGGUGAAGGGGGGAGAACUGGGGCUGUUGGUGGUUGCCGCGGCCUGUUGUCGUGUCGGCCACGCCCGCGUCCGUGCCCGCGGCCGCGCCCACGGUCACCACCAUCGGCGCGAUCGCCACGGCCGCGACCAUGCGAGUGGUGAGGAGGAUGUGGUGGCCCGGUCGGGCGGUCGGAGCCAGAGCGGUCGCCACGGUCAGGAGGAGGACGAGAACCGCCGCCAGAGGAGGCGGCACCCGCGGCGGACCCACCACCAGGAAGGGCGAACGCGGAGGCGCUCUCGUCGGCCGCCCGUUGUUCCAUGGACUCCUCAGCCAGAACAACCCGCGAGAGGACGGUGUCGAAGGGCAGAGAGGACGCCUGAUCGCCGAGAACGACGCGAAUCGUGUCGAGGCGUUUGUCAAGCCCAUGGAGAAACUGGGUAGUGAGAUCAACCUCGGUGAUGGCGUGGUCGAUGUCGGCGAGGCCAUCGGUGAGAAGCUUCAUGCGUCGGGCAUAUUCCGUGACGGAGAGAUCGCCUUGUUUGAGGUUGCGGUACUGGCGAUUGAGCAGCAUGAAACGGGCGGCGCUGUUGGCAAGGAAGAAGUCGGUGAUCUUCUUCUAGAGGGUGUAGGUGGUGGUGGCGCCGACGACAUGAUCCACGAGCGGAUCGGCGAGGGUGGCGUAGAUCCAGAGAGCCACAUGGGUGUCGAGCUCGAGUAGGUGGGGAUUAGCGUUGGGUGGAGAGGGUUCUCGAGGAGAAACGAAACCCCAUACCGAAGGAGCACCAUGAGAAAGAAGGAUUUCCAUUUGUGGUAGUUGUGGGCGGCGGGAUCAAGAAGGAACUUGAUGUGAUUUGUGAUGUGGUCACUGAAGAUGGGGUGGCGGGAGGUGGCCGUUGGCGAGACGAUGGGGGUGACCGGGGUGGAGGAGAAGGAGAGAGGGGCAAACUGUGAUCCAGAAGAGGCGGCGGUGGUGCCGAAGGGGGCGGGGGAGGUCGUCGUGGAGGAAGCCGGCGUAGCGCCCGCACCGAAGAGGCUGGUGGAGAGGGAGGACGGUGAGGCAGCGGCGGUGUGGGUGUCGGGUGAGGGAGAGGAGCCGGCCAUGGGGUGACUGGAGCAGCUGAUACCAAGUUGGAAGAUUAAUAUGUUUGCCUGGCCUUGAUGUGUUACAAUGUACAAGUAUAUAUACUAGGAGAGUCCAUUACUAGUCCUAGAAAGGUGGCACGCAGGCCAUGACCAUGGGAUCCUAAAAGAGUGGAUCAACCUAGACUAAGUAUUACAACAUAUGUGGUACAACGUGUCUAACAGUUCAGCCUCUAAAAAANUGGAAUAAAAGACAUGGAGCCUAACGCGGUGUCUGCCACUUCAAGGACAAAGAGGCCGAAGCUUUCGCAACAGCCCCGUAGCCCACUACCAACUUGGACCGGGCAUGCCAGCAAUGUUACAACACAGGCCCAGGCCCAAGAGUCCACACCAAACAUCCACACCACCUUAACGCCCCCACAUGGGUGACAAGCUCUCGUGACUGAGCUCGGCGAGAGUGCUGCUUCAGCCGCGUGUUUAAGCCGGUGUUUCUGUUUCUAGACAAGUGAGGUGGGACUAAAGAUGGUAGAGCGGGGUGACCGAACAGAGAGCGGAAAUGGGAAGGGAUAUAGUGCAGCCAGCCCACAGGAGUCCGUCGGCCUGUUUCCUGCAGGCCUCUGCAACCUGCCAGUCCACCACGGACACAAAUUGGCCCUAAAAAAAACUUUUACUUUAUUACAGUAUAACUUCACUACAAAAUGGACUGAUAUUACAUGACACUAAGCCAGUUUACGGAUAUGCUUAUCGGCUGCUUGACAAUCAUCACACAGGACGAAAGAGAUGAUGAAAGACAGUGGCGAUGACGAACUGCUGAUAGUAUCUUUAUGUCGAUGGUACGCGCAUAUCCAACCCAACCUUCCAUUUGUACGCAAGUCAAGACCAUGGGCUGCUAAGCCCCUACACCGGUGGUCAAGAGCAUUACCAUACCAGGGGGCUGCUAAUGUGAUCAAGAGAAAUAUUAUAUGAUACUCAAAAAAGAAAAAGAAAAAAAGAGUAGUAUAUUACUGUAUAUAGGAAGAAACCUGACACUGCCAAAUCCAGUUAGUCCUUGGGAUGGAGACAUGUCUAUGUUCUUUAAAGAUUGAGGUGUUUGGAUGCUUGCUUAGUCCAUGUGGCUGACAACUUGACACAGUUUUAAAACUAACCCGUACUGCCUACCCACACAAAUUCCCGCCAAAGAACCCUCUGUAAAGUCCCAAACAUAAACUUUGGACGGCGUAUAUUAGGGAAUCUUACAUCAGAUGAGAGCUACUAACUAGUGCUGAAGAAUUAUUGAUCUCUGCUAGUCUGAUGACUGAUAGGCCAGUUUGGUUACCUUUUUAGCGAGACGGCGCUGACGAAGCUCGGUUAAAGGUAGUGUUACCACCUAAUACUAAUAUACUAUGUUCAAGACUGGCAGCUGGCAGGCAGAGGCGGCUAUGGUAGCUCCUGGUGUCCUGGAUGACCAACUUUUGCCAUGCAUGCAUGACUUGAUCAGAGAUCUGCCAAGAUCUAUAUAUGACUUCAGGGCAUGAAGUCUCUUCUUGAAUUCACAUUAUUUUGCUGACCAGCUACAGCGAGAGGAUGCUUUUGUUUUGUUUUUAAUGCAACAAUGGAAGGUGAAACGAGCAACGUUUACAUCUAUCAAUGGAUGUUUUGGUUGGUUGCUUUGUAAUUCAAAGCGAAGGAAAACCCUUUUUCGUAAGAUGUUUGUACAACUCGGUUGGCAUGCGAGGUUUCCUUCUCUUCUGUUAUUUGAAGUAUUCACUAAGAGCAACUCUAGUCGAUCUCGUAAAUUUUAAAGAAGUGAACAACCGAGUAUACUUUAAAGGAACACAUUUGCUCCUCAAAACUUAACGGAGUAAAAUAAUAAUCAAAAAGCACAUGACCACAAAUCCGGUGCCAAAUUAGGCUCAAACUACUACAUAAAACUUACUUAGACGACAUUCUGUGCAAAUUCUAAAUAUUUUACAUUAGACUAGAAUUUUAUACCUAGGCCGACUCUUUCGCCAGCAUCUUCCGCUCCCUUCUCUCAAACCUCCAAUCAUUGGGUCGGGGCCGUCGUUGUCACCAUCGCUGUCGUCACCUUCUUUUGCUGGAGAAGUCGAUGACGUCAGUACUCCCUACUGUGUACUCCAUGUACAGCCGGCGCUCCGUCUCGACGCUCCCCGGGUAGUGCUGUCGAAGCUCCACCAUGCAUGCCUCGCUGGUUUGCUCCGCCGUGAGAGCUUGCGGGCUUUCGAGUCCUCUCGCGUGUGGUGGCCACCCAAGGGUCCACCGGCUCCAACGGUCCGCCGUAAAGGUGCGCCGACUUGAUGUGGUGUGCAUCAAUUGAUGCAUAGGCGGGGUUUUCCUUCUUUUCUAAAAAAAUGUGUUGUCUGCUCCGCCAAGUGAAACGAGCCCAACCUGUGGGUCUUGUUGAAGUCAAGUCAUAAAUCUCGGCGACCCAAGUCCCCAAUUUGUUUUGUUGCACGCUGAUGCAUUUUGGAUCCGACGGUGACAGCGGCGGGAGGUCGGAGAAAGCGGAUGCGCCCCUAGCGCGGGAGGAGAUAUAAUGAUGGGGCUAUAAUUUUAGCACGGAGGUUGGCACAAUUUACAUAUUCUGUAUAUGGACAACAUAACUAUAACACACAUGUAUAUUUUUUGUGAAAAUACACAGACAAAUAAUAUAGUUUGAUAUAUAGUAUAUACUAUUUUGCAUUUUUUUAAUAAGGGGUGCCACGACACCUAUGACACCUCAACUAGAUCCGCCCAUGACAUGACUGAAAAAUGUUGUGGUACCUAGAAACACAGAUAUAUGUUUCCCAUCCUUCGCACGACACACAGCUGCUUGCACAUAUAGCACAUUGGACAGGUCCUCCUUGUCCUUAAUUACAUAACGUCGUAAUGCGUGUUUUGCACCUGGUCCUGUUGCAUUCCUAUAUGUCUUUGCUUGGUUAAGUGUCAGCUUGCACUUGACUACCAUCCCAAAACCCGGCCGGAGGCCAUUGUCCAAGUUCUUCCAAAAUCAAGCACCAUUGUAGUGGCUACAAACUUUACCGUGCCAGCCAUCCAAGCAUGCUUAUAUGCGUCUUUGUUCUAUUCAUACAAAUGCAUUUUCCCAUACAAUUGAAUCCAUGCAUGUUGAUACAUCAAAGACAUGCUAUGCCGACGGCAUUUGUGUGUGUCGCUUGUUUAUCUUAUGAUAUUUAAUGGAAAUUGUAUUGUUCAUUUUGUUCCAUGAUUAGAUCGGAUUUCAUGUAUAAACCCAAUAGCAAAUUUCCAUAUAUAAAUUAUAUUCUAAACUUUAGCUAUUUUAUAGAAACACGUGAACAAUGAGUUUGCUAAGCUUGAUAUCAAUUCAUUGAUGACAUAAGCACGCGAUGAUGUCACUACAUGCAAUACAUGAUAUUGUUUUUGAAUUAGGUUCAAUAGUUGUACAUAUAUAGAAGUAUGCCAUAUCAGAUAUAGUGGCGGGCCUAGAAUUUUAGCACCGAGGUUGCCUCACUUUACAUAAUCGGUGUAUAGUCUUUUUUUUUGCGGUGUAUAGACAACAUAACUAUAAUACACAUGUUCAAUUUUUGUGAAAAAUAUACCGUACAUUUUUUUUUAGAAAAGGUAUUGUACAAAUAGUAUAGUUUGAUAUAAAUAUUAUCACAAUCUCAAGAUAGGAUUAAGUACUUUUUUUGCAUUUCAUCGGGGGUGCCAUGACACCCAUGGCACCUCCACUAGAUCUGUCCAUCACACGAUUGCGAAACAUUAUUGUGGUACCUAAAUAUACAUAUAUAUGUUUUGCUUCCUUGGUAGGACACACCGCUUGCACACAUAUCACCUUAGAUAGGCCCACAUAUUGUGUUUGUGCUUACACCACGUCGUUAAAUUCCGCACGUGGACAUGUUGCAUAGAUAUAUGUCUUGCUUGGUUAAGUGCCAUCUUGCACUUGACUACGAGCCCAAAACCGGGAGGCCAUCAUCGAAGUUUUUCCAAAGUUAACCACCAUUGUGGUAGCUAUAGACUUCACUGUGGACACUAUUCAAAUAUACUUAUAUGAAUCUUUUGUUCUACUCGUUCCAAUGCCUUUUCACAUACAAUUGAUACACAGGGACGGAUUCAAGGGGGCGGGGGGAGGGGGGGGGCAAUGAUCAUCUUGUCCCUCGAUAGCGAUCUGUUAAUCGCUAAUUUUUGGCUUCCCGGAUUGUCCCGUACUGCCUUUGCCCCCCUAUCCUUCCUCACGUUUUUUUCCUAUCCUGAAAGCUUCAGCCCAUUGCAUGGUAAAACAAAAAAUUCUGCAUACAAGAAAAUUGCCUAGUAGGAGGACUGUCAAUUGCAGCAGGCAGCCACGACCUGAUUACACACUCACAUAUCGCUAAUCUCUCACCCCCUAAAAAAAUGUAUCGCUAAUUUCUCCAAGCCGCCGCUGCGAUCGAAACUGACGCCGGCUAGCUGCAUCGAUCCUAUCUCUCCAUCGGGUAGCCAUCGAGAGAAGCGGAGAAGGGAAGGGAUCGUCGUGAUACGCAUGUGUCGAUCCACGGAUAUGUUGCCGGUUCCCAGGAGAACAGAUGCACGGAAGAACAACAAUCACAAAAAGGGAAAAGGUAGUUGAUUCUCACAUCAGAUUAGUUCUUUGCAUUAGAAAUUAUAUAAGUUUAAUCAUACAGAUUUAGAAUCAAUUAUAACAUUCUCUACUUGUGCUUGUAUAAACGUGAAGAAUAAGAGAGCAGCAUCGGUUCAUAAUAUUUUAAUUCUGUUUUCGAGACGUGAUUGAAUUAGUGAGGUCUAUCUGGCCAAUUCCAAUAAUGAGAUUAGGGAAUAUAUUAUUUACCUACAAUGCAUUACUAAAACAUAUCAGUUCGUAAGAUUAUCUUGUGUUUCUGGUGAUGUGAAUUUGUUUUGUCAUUUGUUAAUUUUCUAUCAAGUUUACACCAUGUGAAUGCGAUGAAUAGACAAAAAAAAAGGUAUGUUCAGUGUGAGCAUGUCAACACAACAAAGAUAUAAUAUGCCGCCCAUAGUCGUGUGGUGCCACUAUACUUGUUUAUCUCACGACAUGUAACGGAAAUCAAACUGUUCAUUUUGCUCCGGGCACGGAUCGAAUCUCAUGCACAAACCAAAUACUAGCAAAUUACCAUAUAUGUCUUUCACAUUAUAAAAACACCUUCAUUCAUGGAAACCUACGAAAAUCAACUGGUAUUAAUUCUGCAGUGACAUAAGUGAUGAUGUCACCGCAAACACGGGAUACUUUCCUUUAUUUUUAUUUAUUUUUAGAAAAGGAGGGUCGCCUCUGCAUACGGGGUAUACUUUUCUAGGAUUGGAUUCGCGUCUUUCCAUCUUUUACGACACAUAUAUCAGAUUUAUGAUAUAUAGGUAGAUACAUACACAAAAAUCCACCGCAUUGAUGAAUGAGAAGCGGUCUCCAAGGCACGCAAAGCUUGCUUGUGUCCGACCCGCGCCAUCCAUAAUUCCAUAUCCACCAGGAAGCAAGCUUGCGCGCGAGAGAGUCCGAGACUCCAAGAACAGCCACACGGAUCCACGGAGCGAACCCCAAACAAGACGGCCGGAACGAAUACUCGGCUCCGCUUGGUACGGUGUAACAUUUUACACCCGUAUUUAUCUUGCAGGUGUAUUUCACAGGCCACAACGUGAUUUCCACCUGAAAAGUGAAUUAUACAUACAGAGGUCUGUAUAUUUUACAAGUGUAUAUCGUAUAGAAACGACCAUCCAAUCGCAACAAAAAAAGACGGAGAUAAUAAAUACUCCUCCUUUUCCCUUACCAUGCAGCAGGGGCAAAAAGAACAAAAAAAAAAAAAAAANNNNNNNNNNNNNNNNNNNNNNNNNNNNNNNNNNNNNNNNNNNNNNNNNNNNNNNNNNNNNNNNNNNNNNNNNNNNNNNNNNNNNNNNNNNNNNNNNNNNNNNNNNNNNNNNNNNNNNNNNNNNNNNNNNNNNNNNNNNNNNNNNNNNNNNNNNNNNNNNNNNNNNNNNNNNNNNNNNNNNNNNNNNNNNNNNNNNNNNNNNNNNNNNNNNNNNNNNNNNNNNNNNNNNNNNNNNNNNNNNNNNNNNNNNNNNNNNNNNNNNNNNNNNNNNNNNNNNNNNNNNNNAAAAAAAAAAAAAAAACCCGUCCCUAAAGAAAUCGCAUCGUCAUUGUCCCGCGGCGCUGACGGGCGCGGGCGGCGUCGACCCCGCCGUCGCCCUCCCACCCCAGGCCGGGGCUCCCCCACUCGCCUCGCCAGCCACGCCCUAUAAAUACCACCGCCUGGCCAUCGGACCGGACCAACCCAUCAUCAUCCCCGCGCAUUCGCCUCGCCGACCGCCUCCCACCCGGCCGACGUCGGAGCGAAGGGGCCCGGUACGUGCCCGCGCUCGCUCUUCUUCCUCCUCCCUCCCCCGCCAUGGUCCUGUCCUCAAUUCCUCCUCCGCGGAGAGCGAGCCUCAGAAAGACGCGAAUUCGCCGCUGGGAUUCAGGGACGGAUUGGGGGCGGAUUGCUUACCGUCCGUCCUUCCGUCCAUUCAUUGCGCCACCCAGUCUCCUUAUCGUUAUCGGUUACUACUACUACUUGCCUCAUUCCGGCGACAUUUGCUGCCCAAAUUCAUACUCCCUGAAUCCCGCCGGGACUUCCGCGUCACGCGAUUCCCUUCCAAACCGGCCCCUUCCUCCACUGAACGAACGCAUUUGAUUUAAAUGCCUGCCUGGUCUCUUACGUGAGCAACAGACAGCAGCUGGCUGACGCAGUUUCGGCUUCAAUUUUUCCCUUUUUGCAGGGGAGAUUCGGAAUCUUGGUGCAGGACCGAGCCGGCGGUCGGUACCGCUGCUGCUGCUCUGUACGAUCUCGCCGGCGAAUCCAUGGCCGAUGGCAAGUGCGGCGAGGAGGUGGAGGUCGCCGCGCCGCUGGGGCGGUGGCCCGUGCUGUCCUACGGCGUCGGCCACAUGCUCAACGACAUCACCUCCGCCUGCUGGUUCACCUACCUGCUCCUCUUCCUGCAAGAGAUCGGCCUCGCUCCAAGGUGCUGCUCCUGCUCCAAUGCAGCCAUUUUCAUCACCGUGAACAUCUUCUCAACCCGACCUGGCCAUUCACGGAUUCCGUUUUCUUGCAGGGACGCAGCCAUCGUGAUGCUCUCUGGCCAGGUCGCAGACGGGCUGAUGACGAUCGUCGCAGGCGAGAUGGUACUGAACCCUGCCCACUCUGAUCGAAACCUCGCCGACGGCGAGGAUCGUGAGCGAUGAUGCCUGAACAAUGUUGUGUGUUUCGUCAUGAUGAUCAGAUCGACCGGUUCGGGCGCUUCAAGCUGUGGCACAUCGGGGGGUCGGUCCUGGUGGGCAUCUCCUUCUCCUCGGUCUUCGGCGGGUGCCUGCUCUGCACCAUCCUCGGCACCGACUCCUACCUCGUCAGGACCAUCGGCUACAGCUUCUUCGCCGCCGUCUUCAACAUCGGGUGGGCGGCCACGCAGGUCUCCCACAUGUAAGCAAACGCUCUUGCUUUGCCUUCUUUAUAAACUUGGACUGAACAUUUUCACCAUCUGACAGUGUUCUGAACCCUGGUAUAUUGUUCUUUUCUUCUUUUCAGGUCGAUGGUGAACUGCAUGACAUCGAACCCCACGAGCAGGGUGGCCUUGGCGAGCUGCAGAAAUGCUUCCACCAUGGUGAGAAUCGGCUCUGGAAACCAAAUGGAUUUUCGAAAGGGGAAAUGGAUUAUGAACCAAACAAAAAAUAAGGAAUUAUACAUCUUCUUGUGGUUUUCUUGUUAUUCUUUGCGUCACGCUGCUGCUUUGUCACGCUUAUGCCUCUCGCAACGUGACCUCAAAUCAUUUCGUGCCUGCUUCAAACUUUACAGCCUCUGUCAAGUCCGACUGGCUGACUAUUGUUUAACAUGAGCAAACGAUGCUUUGCUGACUACAAAUGAGUAUCGACAAACUGCUGCAGGUGGCUAAUCUUGGUCUAUAUGGCAUCGCGCUGGCUGUGUUUGGAAUAGUGAAGGCAAAGACAUGUGCAGACAUUGUUGUUCAGGUAACCUUGUCCAAAUCAGCUUUGAGUUCUAUCUAACAGUAGCUUGUGACCAAACAAUUCACCUUGACUUUUCUUCACGCGCAGUACAAGUGGAUCGCGUACGUGUCCAUCUUCGUGGGGUGCUGCUUCCUCGUGCUGUUCCACGCUGGAACGGAAGAACCCACGUAUGCUGACUUGUCGAGACAUAAAAAAAACAGCAGUUCUGAAUGUACAGAUAAACAGUGUUUUCUGAAUGAAAGUCUUCUUGUGUGGUGUUGCAGCCUCAAGUCCGAGCCCAACUGCAAGAAACGGGCUAGGAUCGCAUGGAGCUACUGGUUCAAGAAGACACUGUAUUACCAAGUUGCUCUCCUCUACAUGCUUGCCAGAUUGAUCACCAACGUCUCUCAGGUUGACUUACACCCUGCUCUCUUGUUGCACUAGGCUAGAUGUUCUUGGUGAAGAUCAUGAUGCCUUUCUUGUGGACUUUGAUUUCUCAAAAUACCGAAGAUUAGCGUCGGUAUCACGGUGAUGAACUUGGAUUGUGAACACUAAUUUUUCUGUUGUUUUCAGUCGCUCAUCGCGUUCUACGUCACCAGAGAUCUGAAGAUGAACGAAUACUCCAAAGCCACUGUAAGUUCUUCAGUUCAUCGGCUACAGCUUCCGCGUCGGAUGACAGGCACAAACAAUUUGAGUACUGUGAUCUUCUUGGUUCAAACUAUUGAUCUUGGACGGGUUUCUGCAGAUUCCGGCCAUCAUAUUCUGCUGCAGCUUCUUGGUGUCCGUGGUGCUCCAGGAGAUGAGGUGGAACAGCCGGCGGCUCAAGUCGCUGCUGACGAUCGGGGCGACGCUGUGGGUGAUCUCCGGCGCGGCGGUCUUCCUCCUCCCGAGCCAGAUGCACAACCUCAUGUACCCGCUGGCCGUGGUCAUCGGCGCCGCCAACGCACUGGUCAUGGUGACCACCAUCGGGCUGGAGAGCGCGCUGGUCGGGGAGGACCUCAACGGCUGCGCCUUCGUCUACGGCUCCCUCAGCUUCCUCGACAAGAUGUCUUGCGGCCUCGCGCUCUUCGUGCUCGAGUCCUACGACGUCGCCUCCAGCUGCGGCGAGGCCCGCGGGCUCAACACCGUCAGCAGGUACGGCACCGGGCUCAUCCCGGCCUGCUUCGCCGUGCUCGCCAUCGUCGUCGCCUCCACCCUCAGGCUGCAGGACGACGACGACACCCGUGCCGACCGCAGGGCCACCGCCGCCGCUCUGGAAGCUCCGCUCCUCGUCUGAAUUCACUUCUAGCGUUCUCGUGUGUUCGUGGGAGAAAUGCAGAUCCUUUUUUUCAAUUAGAUUUGAAAAAGAAGGUAAGAUAAGAUGUAUCAUCGUAGUCAUGCCGGUGGUAAUCGUGUGACGCAGCUCUUUCCAAUUAGAUUUGGGAAGAAGAUGCUCAUGCAUACUAGUCGUCUUGUUCAUCAUGUACACAUCACAGACAGUCCCAGCUCCAAUUUUGAGUACAAGAUUCAGGCGCCCAACAAAAUUCAUAAGGAAUAUUUUUUCAAAAGUUCUUUCAGGCCAAAAAAACUUUGAAGAAGAAACUUGUUCGAUAUCGUGCAAAGGUUCUCUACAGAUGGGUCACAUUAUUGUACAAUAGGAACAUAAGAGAGAAAAAAUACUAGUCCAACACUGAAAAACAUUCAUGGAAGAAAAGCUAUGGCAGGAAAUGAGGAUGGAUCGUGCUCAUUCACAGCUCGUCUUCCUUGCGUUGCUUCUUUGCCUUGCCGUCGGCUGCCGCGCCGGUGACCUUGUCCUUCACCUCUCCGACCUUCUCCUUCACCUUCUCGUACCCCUCGUUGGCCUUCCCCUUGGCCGCCUCCGCUGUCUCCCAGGCCGUGUCCUUGGCCGCCUCCGCCGUCUCCCACGCGGCGUCCUUCGCCGACGCCGUCUUCUCCAACGUGGCGUCCUUGGCCGCUCCUGCCUUCUCACUGACGGUGCUCUUCGCCGCCUCGGCGUUCUUCCACGCGGCGUCCUUCGCGGCCGCGGCCUUCUCGGCGGCCGUAUCCUUGGCUGCCGCUGCCUUCUCUGCGGUCGCCUGCUUGGCGGUGCCGGCUUUCUCCGCAGCGGCGUCCUUCACGUUCCCGGCCUUCUCCGACGCGACGUCGUUGUAUUGCUUGAGCUUCUCCUGCGCCUGCCAUGUGGCGUCCUUGGCAGACUCCGUCUUCUCCCACGCCGCGUCCUUCGCGGCCUUGGCCUUAUCGGCUGCGGCAUCCUUCGCUGCCGCUGCCUUCUCCGCGGCUGUCUGCGUGGCGCCGCCGGCCUUCUUGGCAGCUGCGUCCUUCGCUGCCGCUGCCUUCUCCGCGGCCGUCUGCGUGGCGCCGCCGGCUUUCUCCUUGGCUGCUGCUGCCUUCUCUGCGGCGGUGUCCUUGGCGGCGCCGGCCUUCUCUGAUGCCGCGUCCUUGGUUUGCUUCAGCGUCUCGUACCCCUGUCCGGCCUUCUCCUUCGCCGUCUCUUCAACCUUGGCCUUCCCCUGCUUCGACCGCUCGUGCGUCUCGGCGCCAGUCUUGGCGGCCGCCUCCGUGGCCUCCUUAGUCUUGUGCUUAGCCUGCUCCGCCUUCUUGGACGCCUCGCCGGCCGUGCCCUUCACCGUCUCCGCCGCCUUGUCCUUUGCCUGCCCCGCCUUGUUGGCCGCCCCGGUCGCGGCCUGCUCCGCCGCCUCCUUGGCGUCCGAAGCCUUGCCGCUAGCCUGCCUCCCCGUCUCUGCAACACACACAAAAUCAACGACAGGCAUCAGCAUCAGUGUCAGUCAGAAUGAACAGCGCGCCGAGCUCGGCUGCACGCAUACGUACCGGAGGCGGCGUGCUGGGCGGUCUCGCGGGCGGACUUGACGGUGUGCCCGGCCUUGCGCGCGGCCUCCUCCUCGUCGGCGUGGUGCUUGAGCCCGAGCCCCUCGGAGAUCUUGUCCAGGCCGAGCCCCUCGGAGAUCUUGUCCUUGGCCCACCCCGCCCACGACUCUUCCUCCUUGCCCGGCGCCACCUCCGCGCCGUCCUGCGUCGUCUUCGCCUCGGCGGCCUCCCGCGUCGUCUUGGCGGCAGCGGACGCCGCCAGCGCGAGCAGCACCAGCAGCGCCGUCGCCGCGAGCCUCCUGGACACCGCCAUUGAUGGGAACGUCCCGAGCUGCUAGAUGCGCGUAGCUAGAAUCUAGUGUGAUUUGCGUGCUCUGAAUGUAGGGAGGAUUGCGAAGGGAAUCAGUAGGAGUGAUCGGGUUUGGGUUUUGUGGCACGGCGCGGGGUUUUAUGGGGAGAGAGCGGGCGGACGCGUGGAGGGGUUGGUGCCGGCGAGGCGGGUGGCGCGGCGACGGGUGUCCGGGUGAGGUGCCCACGUAGCCCAGACACGUCGUCUUGGUCUAGUCGGCACACACGCGGCCAUCGGAGCUCGGGGAGGUGAUGGCUCUGGAUGGCAUGCUGGUUCUAGUCGCUUCGGCGCCUUCUUUUCGUCAUGGGUGAACACCUCGCGUAUGUACAGAAACGACGGACCGGCCGCCACUGGACAUGGUUGUCACGCGAAGUGAGCUUUCUUUAUCCUCUUGAACAAUCACCCACGGCCUAAUGUUCACUCGCACACCGUAUGAGAGCCUCCUUGAUUUUUUGAUUUUUUUAUUUUGCAUCGAAAGCCUCCUUGAUUUGCAUGACUUUCAAUACACGGGGACGUGAAAAAAAAUACGGGUUGUGUUUUUUCUUCAAAAAAUUCCAAAUUAUUAUAAAAGUACAUUGAAAGUAAAAUUAGAUCGAGCUCUCUAGUCCACCUAACGACCACUACCACCGUCGCAACGAGUCGUCAAUGCACUACUAUCACCGCUCCACUAUCAGAGUCGGCUUUAACGGUUGAAAAGUAUUUGUAGGCGUGUCCUAAAGACCAUUGCCCUGGACACUUACUCGUCAUCGGCGUUGAAUCCUCAAAUAGAUAUGAAGCAACUGACAUUAAAUCUCGUCGUCGUGCAUGUACGACGAGAAAUCCUCACCUCAUCAUUCCUAGAAGACAACAAGAAUCUACAUCGCAACUCCAUCGACUAUGUCGAGAUAGACGAACUCGGAAAGUGUCAAAGCCCAGAAAACAAACACAGUUGUUAGGUCAGGCCGAGUGGCGGCGGAGACGGCUCAGGCCGCGGAGGAGAAGACGACUCAGUUGUUGGAGGAGGAGAGGGUACAGAAUGAGGCGGCUCACCGGGCCAUGUAUGAACUCCUUGUGAUAAGUUUUUUUUCACAUUAGCCAAAUCAUGCAUGUAAUGUCCGUUUUAUUACUAACUAAUAUAAUUGACUCUUUAAAACCAAAUAUGCAGUCUAUGUGCGAGAAGACCGGUCAGACCCCCUUCGUCGAUGUCAGACAUUUCUACGGUUGGAACGAUGAGUUCCAUUUGAAUGAUCAUUAGUUAAUAGACUAACAUUUGAGUGUCAUCAUGUUAACAAGACAUUGCAAAAUAUCUUUGAUGCAGAAUAACUCCUGAGCAGCAUAGCACAACCCUUCUCCACGACAACCUUCUCCACGUGAACCCGCCCCGAGCAACCCCGGUGAUUCACAUCGCUGAUGACGACGACGGUAAAUUUUCUCUAGUGUUAUACUUAACAAAUGCAUAAUUAGCUCCGUAUAUGCUAGUUAGCCCUAUUAUGCGACAUACUUAUCUUAUUUAGUUCCUUUAUGACUUGAAACCAUAACAGGAGACGCGACUCCUAGAGCCGCUGCCUCCUCCUCCCAUAACCCUAGCCGCCGCCUGCAUCCACUGAGUCGCCGCCUUCUCCCGUAACCCUAGCUGCCGCCUCCCGUCGCCCCCGUGGGCUACCAGGGGUAACCCUAGCCGUCGUCGUCGGUCCUCCCUCGCUCCUCCUUCAUCCUCCCCGCUUCCAGCAGCGUUGCCGGGCGAAGCCUGGCCGAGAGUGGCGGUGGCGGGGAUCCUCUCCCCUUCACACGGCAUGGCUGGCGCGGGACGACUGUUCGUCAGGAGGCGCCGUACUAGCGCGCGGUGCGGCGACGCUGCAUGUGGAUCCUAGCGGCGGCGUGCGGAGCGCAUCGACGACUGGGGUUCGUUCUUGCGGCGCGGUGUAGCCGAUGCGAGAGGGGAAAGACAUGGUGGUCGCGUGCGUCGUCGAGUUCUGGUCAGAUCCUUUUGGAUCCGGCACCCGGAUGUCGUCGGCCAGCGCAGGGUGGUGGUACUCGUCACUGUUCAGAUUGGAUCUUCAUUGAUCCAGAUACCCGUGGUGUGCUUCUUUCCUGCGGUUUCCUGGCGUUGCUGGCGUGGCUGCGGAUGAAGCUGGUGGAGGAGAUUCAGAUAAGGGGAAACCCAUUGGUCGGCCCUGGCUGGCCGCGCCGACGACGAUGCUCAAGGGCGCCGUUUUUCUUUCUCGAGACGUUGGUCUACGUCUGCUCCUCCACUUCCUACCUCACUGCCUCUCAGGUGAAAGCCCUAACUCCGGUGGGCGGCGGUGGCGUCCUUGACGUAGUGACCUUCCUGAAGGCGUCGCCUUGAGGGCUGAGUGGUGGUGGGCACUAUGUGGGUCUUGGACAGUUGCUGGUGGUGGGCACUGCUUCGGGGAAAACCCUAAGAUCUGACUUUCCAGAUCGGACGUUGGCGGUACUGCGGUGCCGUUUCUCUCUUGGGAGCAUCGUUUGUGGAGCAGCGCUGGAUGACAGAAGCAGGAGAUGGAGCGGCUUCGUCUGGCCCAAAGAUUUGGUGGAACUAUCAAGUCAUGCUUGGCCAACAGGCGCUACGCUGAGUCAUGCCUGGUUGGUAGGUGCUACACACGACAGUUCUUCCAGAAUCUUCGUGUCUGGACGAAUGAGCGCAGGGCGGUGGUGCUGUUUGGCGCUGAUGACCCACAAGUAUAGGGGAUCUAUCGUAGUCCUUUCGAUAAGUAAGAGUGUCGAACCCAACGAGGAGCAGAAGGAUCUGACAAGUGGUUUUCAGCAAGGUAUUCUCUGCAACCACUGAAAUUAUCGGUAACAGAUAGUUAUGUGAAAAGAUGAUUCGUAGCAAGUAGCAAGUAACAAAAGUAACAACGAUGAAGCAAAGUGGCCCAAUCCCUUUUGUAGCAAUGGACAAGACUGGAAAAACUCUUAUAGGAGGUAAAGCGCUCCCGAGGACACAUGGGAAUUUCUGUCAAGCUAGUUUUCAUCAUGUUCAUAUGAUUCGCGUUCGCUACUUUGAUAGUUUGAUAUGUGGGUGGACCGAUGCUUGGGUGCUGCCCUUACUUGGACAAACAUCCCACUUAUGAUUAACCCCUCUCGCAAGCAUCCACAACUACGAAAGAAGAAUUAAGAUAAAGUCUAACCAUAGCAUUAAACUAGUGGAUCCAAAUCAGCCCCUUACGAAGCAACACAUAAACUAGGGUUUAAGCUUCUAUCACUCUAGCAACCCAUCAUCUACUUACUACUUCCCAAUGCCUUCCUCUAGGCCCAAAUAAUGGUGAAGUGUUAUGUAGUCGAUGUUCACAUAACACCACUAGAGGACAAACAACAUACAACACAUCAAAAUAUCGAACGAAUACCAAAUUCACAUGACUACUUAUAGCAUGACUUAUCCCAUGUCCUCAGGAACAAAAGUAACUACUCACAAAGCAUAAUCAUAUUCAUGACCAGAGAGGUAUUGAAUAGCAUCAAGGAUCUGAACAUAUAAUUUUCCACCGAGUAAUCCAACUAGCAUCAACUACAAAGAGUAAUUAACACUACUAGCAACCUUACAAGUACCAAUUGUAGUUGCGAGACAGAGAUUGGUUACAAGAGAUGAACUAGGGUUUGGAGAUGACAUGGUGCUGAUGAAGAUGUUGAUGGUGACGAGUCCCCUCCGAUGAGAGGAGUGCUGGUGAUGACGGUGGCGACGAUUUCCCCCUCCGGGAGGGAAGUUUCCCCGGCAGGACGACCCUGCCGGAGCUCUAGAUUGGUUCUGCUAAAGUUCCGCCUCAUGGCGGCGACGAUUCCUCCCGAAAGCCUCCUCUUGAUUUUUUUCUGGAACGAAAACCUCAUUAUAGCAAAAGAGGGGGGGGCAAAGGGCCAGCAGGGAGCCCAGAAGCCCCCUAGGCGCGGCCAGGGGGGUAGGCCGCGCCUAGCAGGCUUGUGGCCUCCUGCUGGCUCCCCUCUGGUACUUCUUCGGUCUAGUAUUUUUUAUAAAUUCCAAAAUAAAUCCUCGUUGAUUUUCACGGCUUUCGGAGUUGCGCAGAAUAGGUAUCUCAAACUUGCUCCUUUUUCACGCCAGAAUUCCAGCUGCCGACAUUCUCCCUCUUCAUGUAAACCUUGCAAAAUAAGAGAGAAAAGGCAUAAGUAUUGUACCGUGAAGUGUAAUAACAUUCCAUAAAGCGAUAAAUAUCAACAUGAAAGCAUGAUGCAAAAUGGACGUAUCAACUCGCCCAAGCUUAGACCUCGCUUGUCCUCAAGCGAAAGGCGAGAUCAAUAAAUAUGCCCACAUGUUUAGGGAGAGAGGUGUCGACAAAACAAGAUACGGACAUGUAGGCAUCAUGAUCAUAGUUAGAACAGCACUAUCAUCAUAUAAUCUCUUAUGCUAAAGUGAUAAUUCCUUCACAAAGUAAAGUAUGGAUCAAGAACUUUAAUGAGAAUUAACAACCGAUAACCCUUAGUCAUUGAAGCAAUUUCAAUUUAUCAUAACAUCGGAAAGAGUCAAGUAAGAGAUUGUAAAGCAAAUCCACAUACUCAAUCAUCCUUUCGUCUUCUAAAAUUGCUACAACUCAUGUGGUACUCAUGAGAUCAAAGUUUCAGUUGAACACAGAGAAAUAUAGGGGCUUAUAGUUUCGCCUCCCAACUACUUACCUCAAGGGUAAUGUCAACAAUAAUAAUUCAUGAAUACUUACUUCCAAGUUGACAUAUGAAUAUAGAUAUUUCCCUAGCAUAUGACGUUAGCCAAGAUAAAGGCGAGGUAAGGAAUUGGUGUAGAUCAACAUGACUCUUUUAGGGACAAAGAGUAAAGGUACAAGAUAGGUCCUUCGUAGAGUGAAGCAGAGGUUGUCAUGCGCUUUUGGGUUUGGAUGUGUGUCCUCUUAGUGUGAAGGAACGUCACUUUAUAUUGCCUCCUGUGAUAAAGAACUUUAUUAUGCAGUCUGUCGCUUUUAUGUCUUCCUCAUCACAGGUUCGUACAAAGCUUAUUUUCCACACACUAAUAGAUCAUACAUAUUUAGGGAGCAAUUUUUAUUGCUUGCACCGAUGACAACUUACCUGAGGGAUCUUCUUCAAUCCAUAGGUAGGUAUGGUGGACUCUCAUGGCAAAACUGGGGUUGAAGGUUUGUGGAUGCACAAGUAGUAUCUCUACUUGGUGCGGGAGUUUUGGCUGAUAUGAGGUGGAAGCAAUCGUCACAUGCUAAGGGAUCUCUAGUCAUAUAAUCAUUGUUCGGAACCAAGCAAACAUAAUUCAUUAUGGUCUCUUCCUUGUCCAACAUCUACUUCUAAGCAUGUAAUAGUUUAAUGAGUGUUCACAAUCAUAGAUGGUGUCAAAGAUGAUAUAUUUAUAUGUGAACCUCUCCUUCUUUACCACUUCCUAUUAAUUGCAACAAUGACCAAGGUCUACGUUUGUCCACCCUCAACAAGUUUCAAUCAACAUUCUUUUUAUAUAUGAAGCCAUCACUUCCCAUAAGAUCAUUACAUGAUCUUUCAUGCUUUUGUUCUUUUAUCAUUCUCUUGAUCAUGGCAUGAGGCAAGGCCCUUAACUAAGACACUCUUUAUUAUAAGGCUCAUGAACUCGAAUACAUCGGGGGUGACACAAAGCAAAACUCAAGCCUAAAACACUAAAAACUUUAUUAUACUAGAGAAAGAUAAAACCAAAAAGGAUCGAACUAAGAAAAGGUAAAGGCAAAAGAUGUGAUGGUGAUACGAUACCGGGGCAACUCCCCCAAGCUUGGCACAAGCCAAGGGGAUUGCCCAUACACAUGCUUAGUUGUCUUCCUUUGGAGGUGAUGGUGGUGGAGUUGUUGCAACAUGGGUUUGAUCCUCCGUCUUCCAAGGCAUAGGUGCUCCAUCAUGGAAAGAUGACCGAGUCUCCAGAAUCCUCAAAUCUGCAGCCAACCGUAUUGAUUUAAAUCUAUACUCAUACUCACAGUUUUGGUUCUGCAGGUCAUAGAUCUGGGCUUGGAGGUGAUCAAUUAUGUCAUAGAGCCUGGAGAGGUGCUUCCCGAUGUCAUUGGCAUCGAUCUUGUGCUUGUUGGUGAACUCCGUGAUCAUCAUGUGGUUGGCGUUGAUUCCAUGCUCCACCAUCCCUUGGCACUUGAAGACUUGUUGCUCCAUUGCUUCGAGCCUCGCCUCCAUGCUUCCGGUCUUUUGGGGCCCCUCAACAUCACGGAUGUGCCGCAUCCCCUCACGCAUCUCGAUAGAUUGAUGGUGUUGCAGCACUCCUGCGAGGUAGGGAUUGAUGACCUUCUCGAAGAUCCUGUCCUUCGGAGCUUUUGGGGAUGCCAUAGCGAUCUAGAUCUGCAGCAGAAACAGGCUCGAAACGAAAACAGAGGAUUUUUGCGUGAUACGAGGGUCACACCUUUCGGGAGAAUAUAUAAUGAUUUUUUACCGACCAGAAGGAGUACUCCGCAAGAAAACGGAGUCCGGGAGGCACAUGAGGUGGUCACAAGCCCCCCAGGCGCGGCCAGGGGGUGGCCCGCUCCUGGCAGGCUUGUCGCCUCCUCGUGUGCUUUCCGGACUACUUUAAAUUUUUAUAUUUUUCUAAAAAUUCCAAAACGGUGAAAAAUUCCUACUGGAAAAUUUUGGAGUCGCUUUACUUACCGAAUCACAUACCUCUUCGUUUUCGGAGUCUGAAACAGGCUGAUAAAUAUCCCUUAUGUACUCCUCCGAAGUUAUGGUAUUGAUAAUAUUGUUUUCAAAAUUUAUGGGAGUACCUAAGAUAUAAUGCUUGAUUCUUUGCCCAUUUACCACUCUCGGAAAAUUACCUUCCGUGUUAUUGAUCUUGAUGGCACCAGAACGAUAUACUUUCUCAACAAUAUAGGGACCUUCCCAUUUAGAGAGAAGCUUGCCUGCAAAAAAUCUUAAACAAGAAUUAUAUAGCAAGACAUAAUCACCUACAUUGAACUCACGCUUUUGUAUCCUUUUAUCAUGCCACCUCUUAACCUUUUCUUCAAACAACUUGGCAUUCUCAUAUGCCUGAGUUCUCCAUUCAUCAAGUGAGCUAAUAUCAAAUAACCUCUUCUCACCAGCAAGUUUGAAAUCAAAGUUGAGCUCUUUGAUUGCCCAAUAAGCCUUGUGCUCUAGCUCAAGAGGUAAAUGACAUGCUUUGUCGUAAACCAUUUUGUACGGAGACAUGCCCAUGGGAUUCUUAUAGGUAGUUCUAUAAGCCCACAGUGCAUCGUCAAGCUUCUUAGACCAAUUCUUUCUAGACCUAUUGAUAGUUUUUUGCAGAAUUAGUUUAAUCUCUCUAUUCCUUAGCUCUACUUGACCACUAGACUCAGGAUGAUAGGGAUAUGCAACUCUAUGGUUGACAUCAUACUUAUCAAGCGUUUUACGGAAAGUGCCAUGAAUGAAAUGUCAACCACCGUCGGUCAUUAGAUAUCUAGGGACUCCAAAUCUAGGGAAAAUAACUUCUUUAAGCAUCCUGAUAGAAGUGUUGUGAUCAACACUACUAGUUGGGAUAGCUUAUACCCACUUAGUAACGUAAUCAACAGCAACUAGGAUAUGAGUAUACCCGUUGGAUUUUGGAAAAGGUCCCAUAUAAUCAAAGCCCCAAACAUCAAAUGGUUCAAUGACAAGUGAAUAAUUCAUAGGCAUUUCCUGACGUUUACUAAUAUUAACUAUUAUUUGACAUUCGUCACAAGACAAGACAAACUUACGUGCAUUCUUGAAGAGAGUGGGCCAAUAGAAACCUGAUUGCAAUACCUUGUGUGCAGUUCUAUCUCCCGCAUGGUGUCCUCCGUAGGCCUCGGAGUGACACUUCUGUAGGAUCUGUCCCUGUUCAUGUUCAGGUACACAACGUCUAAUAACACCAUCUACUCCUUCCUUGUAAAGGUGAGGAUCGUCCCAAAAGUAAUGUCUCAAAUCAAAGAAAAAUUUCUACUUUUGUUGGUAUGUGAAACUAGGUGGUAUAUAUUUGGCAACGAUAUAAUUUGCAUAAUCAGCAUACCACAGUGCACUACAUGAAGUAUUGAUGACAUUCAGUUGCUCACCAGGAAAGCUAUCAUCAAUAGGUUGUGGGUCAUCAAGAACAUUCUCCAACCUGGACAAGUUAUCUGCUACGGGGUUCUCAGCACCCUUCCUGUCGACAACAUGCAAAUCAAAUUCUUGUAGCAAGAGAACCCAUCUGAAAAGUCUAGGUUUAGCGUCUUUCUUUUCCAUGAGGUACUUAAUAGCAGCGUGAUCAGUGUGAAUAGUGACUUUGGAAUCAACUAUGUAAGACCUGAACUUUUCACAUGCAAACACGACUGCUAAAAAUUCCUUUUCCGUAGUAGCAUAGUUUCUUUGGGCACUGUCUAGAGUUUUACUAGCAUAGUGAAUAACAUUCAACUUCUUAUCAACUCUUUGUCCUAGGACAACACCAACAACAUAAUCACUAGCAUCACACAUGAUUUCAAAAGGUAAGUUCCAAUCAGGUGGUUGAACAAUAGGUGCAGUUAUCAAGGCCUUCUUAAGCAUUUCGAAGGCUUCCUCACAAUCAUCGUCAAAAACAAAAGGAAUAUCCUUUUGCAAGAGAUUGGUAAGAGGCCUAGAAAUCUUAGAGAAGUCUUUAAUGAACCUUCUAUAGAAACCAGCAUGAUCAAGGAAACUUCUUAUACCUUUGAUAUCUGUGGGGCAUGGCAUUUUCUCGAUUGCAUCAACCUUAGCCUUGUCGACUUCAGUACCUCUUUUAAAAAUUUUGUGUCCUAAGACGAUGCCUUCAUUAACCAUAAUGUGGCACUUCUCCCAAUUCAAUACAACAUUGGUAUCUUUACAUCUCUGCAAGACUCGAUCAAGGUUGCUGAGGCAAUCAUCAAAAGAAGACCCGUAAAUGGAGAAGUCAUCUAUGAAAACCUCAACAAUCUUUUCACAAAAGUCAGAGAAUAUAGCCAUCAUACAUCUUUGAAAGGUGGUAGGUGCAUUACACAAGCCAAAAGGCAUACGUCUAUAAGCAAAGGUACCGAAAGGGCAGGUGAAAGUGGUUUUCUCCUUAUCAGAUUGUGCAACACGUAUUUGGGAGAAUCCAUAAUAACCAUCUAGAAAGCAAAAGUGUGUGUCUUUAGACAGUCUUUCUAGCAUUUGGUCGAUAAAAGGCAAAGGGUAAUGAUCUUUUCUAGUGGCUUUAUUCAAUUUCCUAAAAUCGAUCACCAUCCUAUAGCCAGUAAUAAUCCUCUGUGGGGUCAAUUCAUCCUUAUCAUUAGGGACAACGGUAAUACCUCCCUCCUUAGGGACGCAAUGCACCGGACUCACCCAAUCACUAUGAGCAACAGGAUAGAUAAUACCUGCUUCCAGAAGCUUUAGUAUUUAUUUUCUUACUACCUCUUUCAUCUUAGGAUUUAAUCUCCGUUGGUGAUCAAGAACUGGUUUGGAAUCAGGAUCGGUUUUAAUCUUGUGCUGGCAUAGAGUGGGACUAAUGCCCUUAAGAUCAUCAAGAGUAUAUCCAAUAGCAGCACGGUGCUUCCUCAGAGUUUUUAGUAACUUCUUUUCUUCAUGCUCUGAGAGGCUAGCACUAAUAAUAACAGGAUAUAUCUCUUUUUCAUCGAGAUAAGCAUACUUAAGAGUAUCAGCCAACUGUUUAAGCUCGAACACAGGAUCACCCUUUGGUGGGGGUGGAUCUCCAACCAGUUCAACAGGCAAAUUAUUCUUAAGGAUAGGUUAAUUGUUCAAAGAUAACUCUAUCUAUCUCAUCCCUUUCAUCCAUAUGCAUAUCAUUUUUAUGCUCAAGCAAUCAUUGCUCUAAAGGAUCAGUAGGAGGCACGGCAAUAGAAGCAAGAGAAAUAGUUUCAUCCUUACUAGACAACUCUUUUUCAUGAGAUUGUCUACCAAACUUGGAGAAAUUGAACUCAUGUGACACACCUUCAAAGCCAACAAUGACAGUUUGCUUCUCAUAGUCAAUAUGAGCAUUGACAGUAUUGAGAAAAGGUCUGCCAAAUAUGAUGGGACAAAAGCUAUCUUGUGUGGUAUCAAGAACGAGGAAAUAAACAGGAUACUUCGUUUUACCACACAAGACUUCAACAUCCCUAACAAUUCCCAAAGGCCAGAUAAUAUCUCUAUUGGCAAGCUGAAUAGUGGCAUCAAUGGGUUCUAUCUCGACAGAUGCAAUCUCGUCUUUGAUUUCAUCAUAUAAGGAUUGAGGUAUUGCACUAACACUAGCACCCACGUCACAUAAACCAUGAUAACAAUGAUCUCCUAUCUUAACAGAAACAACAGGCAUGCCAACAACAGGCCUAUGUUUGUCUCUAGCAUGAGGUUUAGCAAUUCUAGCAGCAUCUUCACAGAAGUGAAUAUCAUGGCCAUCAACAUUGUCGGACAGGAGGUCUUUGAUAAUAGCAAUUCUAGGUUCAACUCUAAUUUUCUCACGGGGUGUAGUUGUUCUAAUGUAGCCCCUACGUAUCACAGUUGAAGCUUUAGAAUGAUCCUUUAUCCUAACAGGGAAAGGUGGUUUCUCAAUGUAAGCACUAGGAACAAUAGGAUCAUUAUAGGCAAUGACUUUCUCUUCAACUGGAUUGGGUUUGAGUACAUUGACUUAUAAGGGAGGAUGAUAUUUAAACCACUUCUCUUGGGGAGAUCGAUAUGAGUAGAAAACGAUUCACACAAUGAAGCUACUAGAUGCAUAGGAUAAAACUUUUGAUGAAAUUCCAAUUUCAACCGGUUGUAGUUCCAUGAUCUAGUAUCAUCAUAUAGCCUAUACCAUGCCAAUGCUUUAUCCCUCAAAGAUAAGGGAAAGACCUUCUUCUUGACCUCAUCCUCGGGCAAACCUGCAAGCUUAAAUAAUCCACAAACUUCAUCUACAUAGAUUAGAUGCAAGUCGGGAUGUGAUGUUCCAUCUCUUGUAAAAGGAUUAGCCAACAGUUUUUCAAGCAUACCCGAAGGAAAUUCAUAGCAAGUAUUUUCAGUAGGUGCAACAGGUUGAGGAGCAACUCCUUGUGCUUUCGUUCGAGGUGAAGAUACCCCGAAUAAGCUCCUCAAAGGAUUAGUUUCCAUACUGACAAGUGACAAUAAAUUUCAGCACACUAUAUAAAUGUUUCGUUACCAAAUUCCACUUACCAAAGGCGCUUCACUCCCCGACAACGGCGCCAGAAAAGUCUUGAUGACCCACAAGUAUAGGGGAUCUAUCGUAGUCCUUUCGAUAAGUAAGAGUGUCGAACCCAACGAGGAGCAGAAGGGUCUGACAAAUGAUUUUCAGCAAGGUAUUCUCUACAAGCAUUGAAAUUAUUGGUAACAGAUAGUUGUGUGAAAAGAUGAUUCGUAGCAAAUAGCAAGUAACAAAAGUAAAAACGGUGCAACAAAGUGGCCCAAUCCCUUUUGUAGCAAGGGACAAGCCUGGACAAACUCUUAUAGGAAGUAAAGCGCUCCCGAGGACACAUGGGAAUUUCUGUCAAGCUAGUUUUCAUCAUGUUCAUAUGAUUCGCGUUCGCUACUUUGAUAGUUUGAUAUGUGGGUGGACCGGUGCUUGGGUGCUGACCUUACUUGGACAAACAUCCCACUUAUGAUUAACCCUCUCGCAAGCAUCCGCAACUACGAAAUAAGAAUUAAGACAAAGUCUAACCAUAGCAUUAAACUAGUGGAUCCAAAUCAGCCCCUUACGAAGCAACGCAUAAACUAGGGUUUAAGCUUCUGUCACUCUAGCAACCCAUUAUCUACUCACUACUUCCCAAUGCCUUCCUCUAGGCCCAAAUAAUGGUGAAGUGUUAUGUAGUCGACGUUCACAUAGCACCACUAGAGGAAAAACAAUAUACAACACAUCAAAAUAUCGAACGAAUACCAAAUUCACAUGACUACUUAUAGCAUGACUCAUCCCAUGUCCUUAGGAACAAAAGUAACUACUCACAAAGCAUAAUCAUGUUCAUGACCAGAGAGGUAUUGAAUAGCAUCAAGGAUCUAAACAUAUAAUCUUCCACCGAGUAAUCCAACUAGCAUCAACUACAAAGAGUAAUUAACACUACUAGCAACCUUACAAGUACCAAUCAUAGUCGCGAGACGGAGAUUGGUUACAAGAGAUGAACUAGGGUUUGGAGAUGAGAUGGUGCUGAUGAAGAUGUUGAUGGUGACGAGUCCCCUCCGAUGAGAGGAGUGUUGGUGAUGACGAUGGUGACGAUUUCCCCCUCCGGGAGGGAAGUUUCCCCGACAGGACGACCCUGCCAUAGCUCUAGAUUGUUUGUGCUCAAGUUCCGCCUCAUGGCGGCGGCGAUUCCUCCCGAAAGCCUCCUCUUGAUUUUUUCUGGAACGAAACCCUCCUUAUAGAAAAAGAGGGGGGCUAGAGGGCCAGCAGGGAGCCCACAAGCCCCCUAGGCGCGGCCAGGGGGAUAGGCCGCGCCUAGCAAGCUUGUGGCCUCCUGCUGGCUCCCCUCUGGUACUUCUUCGGCCUAGUUUUUUUAUAAAUUCGAAAAUAAAUCCUCGUUGAUUUUCACGGCUUUUGGAGUUGCGCAGAAUAGGUAUCUCAAACUUGCUCCUUUUUCAGGCCAGAAUUCCAGCUGCCGACAUUUUCCCUCUUCAUGCAAACCUUGCAAAAUAAGAGAGAAAAGACAUAAGUAUUGUACUGUGAAGUGUAAUAAUAGCCCAUAAAGCGAUAAAUAUCAACAUGACAGCAUGAUGCAAAAUGGACGUAUCAGGCGCCAUGGUGGCGUCGAUCAUCUUGCACGUUGCUUUCGGUGGAGAUGUCAAGUCACGCCUGGCCGAUAGGUGCUACGUUGUGUCAUGUCUGGUCGACAGGUGCUACGCACGACAGAUCUUCCAGAAUCUUCGCGUCUGGACUGACGAGCCAUGGUGGCGUCGACGGAUGGAUGGACUGUCAAGGAUGAUACAAAUCUCUCUCCUGAAUAUGGGUGGGUUAGCGGCCUGAUGUUGAUGGCGGCAUCUAAAACGUGUGCAUGUGGUGUACGCUUUAGGUCUGCUGCACCGGCUGUGGGUUUCGAUAUGUUAUGUGAAUGUAUCGGUGACGGCACCGAUUUUAGAUAUGGGGAGUGAGCGCACUCCACAUUAUCGAGUUUUGUAGGUGCGAGUGGUGGCUUCAGAUGGUUUGAUAUAUGUUCUUGUUAGACAUGUGUUGAAUAAUUAAUAAAAAUGGUCAUAUGCAUCGAUUGAUGCACAGGUCGGGGGUUUGAACCUCCUUUUUUUUAAAGUUCCUUUAUGACAUAAUCAGCUUAUUUAUUUCAUUUAUGACGUAAUUAGCUAAUUAUCCUCCAAAAUGACAUAAUUAGCUUAUUUAGUUCAUUUAUGACAUAAUUAGCUUAGUUAGGUCAAAAAUAGCAUAAGAACCUUGGUUUGCUCAUAAAUGCCAUAUACUUAGCUUAUCUUCCUACUAAAUGACAUAAUAAUCUCAAAAUAAGAUAAGUAUUGUAAUCAUCAUCUUCUUCUCCUUCUCCUCCUCCUCCUUCUGCUUCUUCUUCUUCUCCUUCUCUUCCUUCUUCUUCUUCUGCUCCUCCACCUUCUUCUCCUCCUCCUCCUCCACCCUCUUCUUCUUCUUCUCCUCCUCCUCCUUCUUCUCUUGUUGUUUCUCCUUCUUCUUCUUCUCCUUCUCCUCCUCCUCCUUCUCCUUCUCUUUUUCCUUCUCCUUCCCCUUCUUCUCCUACUUCUCCUUAUCCUUCUUCUUCUUCUUCUNCUCCUCCUCCUCCUCCUUCUUCUCCUUCUUCUUCUUCCCCCCUGCUCCUCCUCUUCCUUCUUCUUCUCCUUCUUCCGCUCGCCCCCGGCCGACCCUCCGCAGGCGGCAAGCUGCACCACGAAGGAUUGCAAAAAAUUCUGCAACCUGAUCUUUGUUGCAAAAGUUUUCUACAACAAGACCUUGGUUGCAAAAUUUUCUUUCGCAAUAAUACGUAUGUUUGCAGAAAGAUGAAGGAAUUUUUUUGAAACAAAACAAUUGUUUCUGGAACUCGACCGUUGUUUCAGGAAUUAAUGGAUCCGAAGUUUAUUUUUUGCAGCAAAUCGAUUGUUUCUGCAAGUAGAACGUUGUUUCAGUAAUUACUCGGUGCCCGGCCGAAGCCCCGCGCACGGAUCGAACGGCUAUCCGUGUAGAUCGGACGGUCGUCCAGGUGACGGAUGUUGACGCGUAGCACCCAAACCAAGAAAGACCACAGUUUUAGUGAUUGUUAAACUGCAUUUUUUUUUCAUCCGCACAACUCAAAGUAUUGAAUACCAAGGUUUUCUUAAAAAACCACAGUAUUCCUUAACAACUGCAAAAAUACUUUUACCUCCCAAAGGCACCCCGAAUCAGAACUGGAACGGCAGAAUUUCUCCGCGCACGUCCAACGCACGCUCGUGAGUCGUGGCACGGCACCUGCCCGGCCAUACCAACGUGCCGGACGCAUCCACCGCCCACCGCGGUGGGAAAAAAAUCUCCACAACACGAGGAGACCGUAGCUGCCGUGCCGUGUCCACGUUCCAUUUCCACUUCCCCUGUUUCACGUCUGUUGACUCCUCCCACCUUCCUCUGCUCCGGUAGACCGUAAAAAUGGCCGCAUCACUGCCGUACCUCCCUCCGCCGCCGCCUACGCCGUCGCCGGCGGCCACCACCCUGCCGAGCAACCUCGUCUCCUUCCCCGCGCCGCGGCCGCGCCUCGCGGCCACGCACCGCCGCGCGGUACUGGCCGCGGCCUCGUCCAGGCCCCCUCCCCCUCCGCCGCCGUCCCCGGAGGGAGGGGACGAGGAGGUGGAGAGGGCCAUGGGGAUGGACGGCGGC
rnacentral:lncRNA from 1 species